rnacentral:lncRNA from 1 species
UGGAUGUUUUAGGUUUUAUAUAGGGUUCAAAGAGAGUGAUUUUAAAGAGGAAAAGAGAAACCUUUAGGUCAAUAUUGGAGCGAUGGAUGAGCUGAUCAGCGAAUUCGGGAUCCCGGAGAAUAUUCUUCCACUUACCAGGACCGUGCUUCCCAAUUCCGGCGAGUAACGCCUCCUCUUCCUCUCCCGUCCACUUUAAUUUCUGGUUUCCCAUCUAACCCUUGUUUAAUUUGCCUUGUAAUCGGAGUUAGACGACGUUUCUUCGCCGUAACCGGAGGAUUCGUUUUUUUUCUGGCUCUGCGCAGUUGUGUGACUGCGGGAGGUUUUUAGUUUGCAAAUUUAUGCUUUUAUUUUGUCUUCCGAAUAAUUCUAUUUACGCUCUCGAAAUUAAAACGAAUUAGUUUUAUUUAUUUCCCUUUUGACUCAAAUUAAAAACAAAUAAACUUUGGAUUAGAAUCCUUAAUUAUUUUAUUUUAGUAUCUUCAGUAAAUCUUGCUACAUUUCAUAUCAUCUAGUCCAACAAUGACCAUAUAUUGCUAUUUACCUAAAUUUUUAAUUUGAUGCAUCUAUGGGUGUUUGUCUAUUGGAUCUGAAUGAUAACACAAAACAAUCAAAAAAAUUUAGCGCGUAGUUAGCGAUACGUAAAUAGUUAAAAACGGUACAAAAUAACGGAUAGAAGAAACAGUAUAUAAAGUAUUACACUUUGAACCGCAACAAUACAUAAUUACCAACUAGAUAAUAUCCUGCACUAUGUGCAGGAUAAAACGAUUAUUAAAUAUAUUUUAAUAUAUUGAUAAUAUUGAAAGUGUUCGAAUUUUAUAUUAUUAAAUAAAUGGUAGUGUAUUAAUGAUUAUCAAGAUUAGUGAAAAUUUUCGUUUAUGUAUUAAAUUAUAUGUUUAUCAUGAUUUAUGAUAUAUAUCUUGUUAUAUUAAUAGAUACACAAUAUAUUAGGUACUCCAUUUUGUAUAGAUUUGUAUCUCUUAAUUACAUACUAUUUUAAUUAUAUUUUCGUUUUAAAUAAUUGAAAAAAAUAAAAAGCAUAAAUCAAUUAGAAAAAAUAAACAUAAGUAAAACUAAUGGCAAAAUCUAUAAAUAUCCUAAUAAAUGUUAGGUCUUUAACUAAAUAGAUUAAGAAGCUCUCUGAAAACGACACGUCAGCAUGAUAUUUUCGUUAAUCACACAUGAUGGUAAGAUUAUUUAAAAAAAAAUGAUUCUCAAUUAAUAUAUAAGAGAUAACAACCAUUAUAAUGAAAAUAAACCUAUUCAUUAUAAAUAUAAUACAAAUAUAAAUGUGAACUGUUUCUAGUGAAUAAUAUUUUUGACAUUAUAAGAAACACAUGAAAAUUCGAGAAUGGUUGGUUGUUGUCACGAUGGAUUGCAAUUUGCAAGUACUGUAAGUAAAUGUGAUUUUGAAAAGUCCAAUGUUAAAGAGGUUAAUUUUGUAAAAACAAAACUUCUGGGGUCAAUAAAAUUCGAAAUAGGAAGCAAGAGAAAACCGAUUUGGGUAUAAAAAAGAGUAAACAAAACAUAGUGGGCUAAAUUCGAAUAAAUUGCAAACGCGAGUAUUAAGCGAAUCUGGAAACAACUGGACUGAGUCUUUCCCUAAAAACCCUAAACAGAGAUUUUUUGUUUUGCUUUGUUUCAUUUCUCAUUUCGGCAACCAACCAAACAAACAUUCAGAGAGAUCCACAACACAGCACAACACAACACAUCAUCACACGUUUCUCUUCUCUUUCCUCUCCGUCGUCUCUCUCUCUAUAGCCACCAUCAAAAUCCAUAAAACCUAGACUUUUCUCACCAAUCCAUGGCGGCUAAUAACAGAUCCGAUCAUGGGUCAGACGAAAACACAAGACUUUACAAUCCUUACCAAAACUACGAAGUACCAAUCAACAAAUCUCAGUACCUUUACAAGCUUCCAACAUCUCCUGAGUUUCUCUUCACAGAGGAGUCUUUAAGGCAACGUAGAUCUUGGGGUGAGAACCUCACUUUCUACACCGGAACAGCUUACCUCGGUGGCUCCGUUGCCGGAGCUUCUGUUGGAGUUAUCACUGGAGUCAAAAGCUUCGAAUCUGGCGACACGACUAAGCUCAAAAUCAACAGGAUCUUGAACUCUUCUGGUCAAACGGGUCGAACUUGGGGUAACAGGAUUGGUAUCAUUGGGUUGGUUUACGCAGGGAUCGAGAGUGGUGUUGUGGCUGCCACGGAUAGAGAUGAUGUUUGGACCAGUGUGGUGGCUGGUCUUGGGACCGGAGCUGUUUGUAGAGCGGCCAGAGGAGUGAGAUCUGCGGCUGUGGCUGGUGCUCUUGGUGGACUUGCGGCUGGAGCUGUUGUAGCUGGGAAGCAAAUUGUGAGGCGGUAUGUGCCCAUUUGAAGACUGCAAUAGUCUAAUUGGAAGACUCUGUUUCGUCGUUGUUGGAAUUUUUGAUAGGGGAAAUGGUGAGAAUUUGAUAGGUUUGGUAUGUCUUGGAAUCAUAAAAAUGAAAACUUUAUUUGGUUUCUAGAGGUACAACAAGUCUGUAUGUCUGUCAGUCAUAAUGCAGUUUCACUUUGAAGAAUAACCUGCAAACCUUUUUUCUUAUAUUCAUACUGAUAAAAUGUUUUACCAAUUGGUAAUUUAAUUUGUCAUGAGUGUGUUUCUUCUAGUUAGUUGUUUUAUGUUUCUGUUUUUGAUCAAUGUUACCUCUUUCUUGAUUCGUUGAGAAACGGAUGUGUUGUAUUACAUUUGUAAUGAAGCUCUUCUCUCAAGUUUUUUUCUUAUCAUUUUGUUAAUUGGGAUGGUUUAGUGUGUUCAUAUAAUUAUAUACCUCUGUUUAUCUCAUUGAGUGCUAACCUGAUAUUUGAUGGUCCUAUUUGUUUCCUAUUUUUCCCUUUGGUUCUAUUUAUCUGGACUGUUCUCUGCUCUUAGCUAUUCAUUUUUUCUUUAAGAUUUCACAAGCUAUGAUGAGGGAUCAGUCACCUUUUGUUUUGUGGCUUUUGGCUCUCAUGUCUCAGUCAUAUUGUGUAAUAAACCUUCCUAAGCUCUUUGCUAUUGCUGAAACAAACAAUGUCUAUUUUCUAAGCUCGUUGCUAUUGCUGAAACAAACAAUAUCCUCAUAUAUUAAGUCUUAAACUUUCAGUUUUGCAGUUUGCUUGAAAAUAUUUUUGUUACAGAAGAUCAUGUUGCUGCAAAACGACAUUUGAUUUGAUUUUCUUGAUUCGAACGAGGGUCUUUAGAUUAAUAAGCAAGUCUUCUUUAAAACUGUAGCAUUUGACAUGAACAAAACAAAAAAAAAUUUCAUAUACAAAGAUAAGGGAACUCCCACACAUUAUGGGAGAUCACCCCACUGAACUCUGGAUGGAGAACAACUCAUGAAAGACCAACCCUUGCCUUUGUACUGGCUUGUAUGUGAUCUUGGAGGUCGACUUCUUCUUGGUACGGGAUGGUUACGGGUCUUAGACGGAUCAAGAUAGUCGUGGAUCUCAGGUACUGCCACUUUCAGCUUCUGGUUGAUCUACGUCGAAUUUCCAUGUUUUUUUAUCAAUACUCAAUAUGAUUUUCUCAAUUGAUCCUCUCUCUACAUGGCAGAGAAAUUAUUCAUGAACUGAGAAAGUUCUGCAGUAAACAUCUUUACCUACUUUUGACAAAAUAUGAUUCUCUCUGAUCUAAAACCCUUCUUGGUGUGAUACAUUGCAAGUGUGCAGAACAAAACAAAAAGUGUCCUCUUGAUAAACUAAGAUCUAAAUCCGUUUUCAGCUAUGUUCAUAAAUUGAAAGGUUUAGUUAAUAUUGAUAUGCUUAUUGUGAGUAAAUCUUUUGUUGCAGGUUCUUAAUGUGUGUGGAAUUUCCUAAAGUUCGAUUUGCAGCUAAGAUCCCUUAAAAAGAACGGUUCUAAGAAACUAACCUGAGAGGAAGGAAUCGGGGAAAGUGGAACUGAAUUGUGUUCAUGUGACACAUGAGAUGUUCUAUCCUGAAUACGUUCAUGAUCCUCUGUAGCAAACUCUUUAAGCCUGUUCAGAGCUGGUAACAGAACUAAGGCAAGAUCAGGUCUAUCCUUUUUCCUCAGUUCACAACACUGCAAAGCCAAUUUAGCCAACUCCAGAGUCUCUUCUUCAGGCCAUUCUGAUACAGUUGGAUCCAAAAUUUCUCUCAGAUUAUUAUUUUCAAUAGCCAUCUCUACUUUAUGGCCUAACCCCAUUGCUGGUUGGGCUGUUAUGAUUUGCAGAAGCACCACACCAAAAGAGUAGACGUCAGAUUUCACUCCAAGCAUUCCGGUUUGCUGAUACUCAGGGUCAAUGUAACAAAAUGUACCUGUUCCCGUACGCCAAAUGGGAAACAUACAUCAACAUUGGUUCGAUGUUAAGACAUUGAAAAGAGAUGGAAGAUAAGUCUCUUACCGGCUGCAGAGGUCAUGUGAUAGUUACUGUAGCUAUCAGACACAGAGGGAGGUACCAAGCGAGCUAGACCGACAUCACUGAUUUUGCUAGUGAGAUGUUUAUCAAGUAGAAUGUUUGCUGGCUUCAGAUCACGAUGAACUAAGGGCUCAGGUUUUGCCUGGUGAAGGAAAAGAAGUCCUGUGGCAAUCUCAGAAGCGAUUCUGAAUCUUGCUCUCCAUGAAAGUGGGGGUGUAUUGUUUUUGCAGAAGAGGCGAUCUUCAAGUGUUCCAUUUUCCAUAUACUCAUAUACAAGACAACCAUACUCGGGACAUGCACCGAGAAGGAUCACCAUAUUAGGGUGCCUCAUGCUACUCAGAACCUCAAUCUAGUGAAGAAACAUAUGUAUGAGUCAGAAGAAGAAGAAAAGAAAAAAGUAAAAUAAGGAUUUCACAAUAUAACUAACACACUACCUCUUGUCGGAACUGUUUUAGUCCCUCUGUGAUACCCGACUUCAAGAUUUUAAUGGCGACAGGAGUGUAAUCGAGAACAGCUUUGUAAACAGGUCCAUAACCUCCUUCCCCAAUCUUUAGAGCAUCAGAAAAACCAUAGGUUGCACCUUCAACAUCUUUGAUACUAUAACGUCUGUAAGACACCGUAGUGACCAUCUUCUGUUUGUCCAAAUUGGCUUGCAUCUCUAGUAAUCUUAUCUUUUGGCUCUCCAUUUUCGCUAUGCGCUUUGCUAUUUCAGCGGCUUGGAUUGCAGACUGCUUUUUCUGCUUUUCCCUCUCAGACAAUGCUCUAGGCAGCUCUAUUUUUUCAUCUGACCUUGGGCUUUCUUGGGACUACAUAAUGUAAUAUCUAAUGAUUAUUAUUCACAACAACAAUUGUCAUCAACAUGGAAGGUAGUGAUAUCUUACGUUUUCGUUUUGGUUUGUAGUGUCUUUGUCCAUCUUAAACUGCUUCAAUUCCAGUCUCAGUUUCCUCACCUCUGCUUCAAGAUUUUGAUUCUGGCAAAGAAGAUAGUCCAUAUCAGUACCAUGUUGACAUUCUGCAAAUCCUGGAGCAAAUUUAUGUUCCUGACAAACUUUACCUGUUGUUCCACGAAAUUUCCCGCAUGUGGACUUUCCUGUGCACCAGUUAUCCAAGAAGGAAAUGUCAGAACACUAAGAAACUGAACGUUUAGUAGAAAGUGAUGAUAUACUACUAACCGUUGACGUUGAAGAGAUCGAGCUUCCGAUGGUAGUGGAACUUUCAGAGACGGUGUAAGAACUCACAGUUGAUACCAUAUCACUACUGCCAUUAUCAGUCUCUGACUGAGAGAUCUCACUCAUAGAUGGCGGUGGUGAUAUGCGAGGUGAAUUGGGUUGGAAGAAAUCUGAAUUUGGUUUGUUGGUUUGUGUAGAUACAGGUGAUGAUAAUGAUUCCCUGUAAAAAAUGUAAACCAAAACUUGUCUUGUUGAGAAGAAAACCAUGGCCAAAAGUUGGAAGAGAGUUGAGAUUACCUAUCAGAGUCAUUGGAAACGGAGCUUGUUGAGUUAUACAACAAAGAAGAGAGAUUUUGUUGUCUGGAAAGUUUAUGAGGGUGACUCGCGGAUCUGCUUUUUAAAAGCCUACCUUUGGUCACAACAAAGACAGCACAAGUCUCUGGAGUCGUCGUAAGCAGAGUGGUUGGUACAUCUGGACUCUUAAACUUUCUGAUCACAAAGAAAGAUUUGAAUGUUAGCAUUUUGUGUAACCAAAGUUGAAAUGGUACCAAGCAUGAAACAGAGAAGAGGAGAGACUUGAGGAAGGAAUUGCGUGCAGAUGCGCCAACAACAAGAUUUGCAAUGUAAUAAUUGUUGGUGAUGUAGUUGACAAUAGCAUUGGAGAUGUCAAUAUCAUGAAGAAUAACCUCCUUUGCUAUGAUCUGAAAAGCGUGUAUACAUAUAUAAUGUCAUGAUAUGUGAUCAUUAUAAGUGAUCUGUUGUUGAAUGAAGAUUGGAAAUGAUCGAUCACUAACUCCUUUUCGAGCGCAGAAUCCUCUGAAAGGAAGAAAGAAUUGAUGCGCCUCGUCCUGAUUGUCCUGAUGAAAAUGUCCUCCUGUGUUUCCCACUGCAAAACAGAUUCCUAAUUAGGGCUCUUUGACGCUGUAGUUUCGAUGAUGAAGAGAAGAGCGAGAGAUGCUUACGUUGAACGUGGAGAAGGACACAUUGUGGAGUAUCAACAACGAUAUUUUCAACGGCCCAUUUCAAGGCGUGUUGGCUGUUCUUGUCCUUAUCAAUGGCAAUCGCCGUGAUUGUGCCAUAGUCCGCCGAGGUCCCUCUUACUCUUCUUGCAUACAUGUUAGAGACUUGCUUCCCAAGAAAUCUGAAUAACCUGCUCCACAAGCAAACUAUAAUACUCAUGAAUCAUCUCAUGUCUUUAUCAUUUACGCCCAAAAACCAUAAUCGAUUGCGUUGUUUUUCUUUUGUCUGGCUCCGAAACUUCUGAGAAGAAACAAUGAACGAUAAAAAGAAACAGAAUUUUGUAUUGUGAAUGAUGAAGCUUCGAGUGGUUUUACAUUUUUGCUAAUUUUGGAGGGUUUAUUCCUCAAACAACUCUCAACAGUCUUGUGAAACAAAACAAACAAAAAGGAAAUUUUCAAUUUAUCUUUAGAGAGUGAUUUUUGGGAAGUUGCUGGUGAGAUCUAGCUUACAUUAAUGUACGCGUUUCGAUUAAAAUGAAAUUCAAUUAUACAUCAUCAAAAUAUUAAGUUGCUUUAAUUUUUUUAUCUUAAUUUAUUGAAACUAGUUUUUUUUAAGAUAAAAUGAUUAGUAUAUGAUUUAGACUUUUACUGCCCCUAUCCCCUCACGUCAAUCCCACGAGCACACAUUUACUGAAUUCGAGUUUAGAUAAUAAUGCAACAGCAAUAUAUCUACGAAUUUUAUUAUUUUCGUCGCUGAUCAAUCAGACAGCCGCGUGGGCGGGUGGUAGAAAAAGAAAUUAUUGCGAUUAUUGACUUGCGAAAAAACAAACACACGUUGCAUUUUCUGAUUUACGUAUCCAAAAAGAACAAAGAAAAAAAAAGGUAACGAUCAAAUUUUCUCGGCCUGUCGUCUUCCAUCUUUAUUUCUUCUUCGCGAAACACCAUAUCUUAUACGUCUCUCGAAAGAUUAUUACUUUUAAGACGAUUCCAUUAUAAACACGAUUGUGAGAACUAUAUACUUUUACGUUGUCGAAAAGAAAACAUAAGACCAGUUCUUAUUGAGAGUUCUAUAGACAAGUUCGUAAUAAGAAUCCUUCAACAAUAAACAUAAAACCAAUCCAAAAAAAAAAAAACAUAAAACCAAUCUUGAACAAAAAAAAAUAAACAUAGAAAAAAACCUUUUUUUUGAAUCACUCAUAUCUUUUAAAACUAAAAUUUAAUCAUUUGGAAUAAAAACAAUAUAUGGAAAAAUUUUGAAUUCUCUGAACCAAAUAUAUCACACGUCAAGAUUUCAUUCAUCCAUAUCUCAUUCACUAAUAUGCAAUUUACAGUUAUAUUAUUUACAAUUACAAAUCAGAUACACAUGACACCUACAAGUCAAAUUGUAUUAUAUGCCACACAUUUAUAUUUCACUUAUCUAUAUCUCAUUUUCGUGGUUAAUAUUACAUGUCAAAAAUUUUUGGAAACAUUUAUAUAUUUUCUAUCUUGUAUAAUAAGAUUUCUGUUUAAAAAAAGUGAGGAAUCAAUUUCCAUUGAAAACAUAUUGGUUUAGAGAAACAAAAGUUAAAUUGGGAAAAAAAAAAGGAACAUCUGUUGUUAGCUGAUCGACAGGUGUUGCCUGAAGGGACCUUAGAAAAAAGAAAAAGGACAAAAAAAAAAAAGGACAAAGUUCUCAAAAUGAUGCAAGAAUUGUGUAUACGUGUCCUUCUAUUAAUCCUCUUUUGUAAUAAAUACUCUUUUUUUUGUUUUUUUAUUAAUUUACAAAACCAACGAAGAAAAAGGAAUAAAAAAAGAGAGAGAAAAAGCAAACCACACAAUAUUCUCUUCUCUCUCUUUGUUUCGCUGAUAGAGAGAGCCUCUCUCUUAGCAAUUUAGCUCGAGCGAGAAAUAAUCCUGAAGGAAGAAAAAGAAAAGAAGAACAUCUUUACUUUGUUCUUUGAUUUUCUUUAAAAAAAUUUGUAGAUGCGAAUAUCUUAAGAUUCAUCAACUGGUUAGUUCUCUCUUCUUUUUUCUUCUUUCCUGAUUUUUUAUGUUGUUUUCUCUGUUUUGUUGUUUUUGUCAAGUGUAUAGUUAGCUUUUUCAUCGGAGGAUUUGUGUUAUUAUGAAUCGAAUCUCUCUUGUUUUUUUCUUCUUUAUCUUGUUGGUUUGAGCUUUGUGUUUAGUUUUCUUAAGAGCAAAGUUUUUAAUUCAUCUUUCUAUUUCUAGGUAAAGCUAAAGCUUGUUUUUUUAAUUUAGAUCCAGGAGAACCCAUGUUCUACUUUGAUUCUGGUUGUUAAUGGUUCUAUUUUUUUAGGGUUUUCUUGUGAUUGAUUUCGCUGAUUUUCCCUCUCUUUUUUUUUUUUAGUUUUUGACAUGACCGUUUGGAUAAUGAAUGAUUCGUGAGUUUUUGAUUAGUGCUUUGUGAUCUCUCAAUAGGGUCGAAAUCAAGAUAAAGAUUUGUGCGAAGAUCAACCAAGUUUUUGGGAUUUGGGAUCAGGACAGUGAUAAAAUCCGUCAGAUCUGUUUAUCUCCGCUACCCAAUUCUCGUUGAUUCGUCUUUUAACUAUGCUAAGUUAGUGUAUGAAUAUAGCGGCAUUUGGGUCGCUGACAUAUACUUUAAUGGAGCAAGGAUUCUUCAACAUCAUGAAACCAUUGAAGAAGAUGAAUACAAUUGAAUACUCCUAAGUUCAUCUUUGAAAUUAAAGCUUUUUUGUGGUGUGGUGUGGUGUGGAAAUCUCUUAUUUUUGAGAGCUCAUGGAGGAGAUGACUCCGGCAGUUGCAAUGACUCUGAGCUUAGCAGCUAACACCAUUUGUGAACCAUCGCCUGUGGAGAUCACUCAGCUUAAGAACGUUACUGAUGCAGCUGACUUGUUAUCUGAUCAAGAAAAUCAAAGCUUUUGCAACGGAGGGACUGAAUGCGCUACGGAAGAGGUAGGCGAACCGGAUUUGUUGAAAACUUUAUCCGAUACGAGAAGCGGGUCUUCUAAUGUUUUUGAUGAAGACGAGGUAUUGUCUGUUGUGGAGGAUAAUAGUGCUGUCAUAAGUGAGGGCUUGUUAGUUGUUGAUGCAGGCUCCGAAUUAAGCUUGUCUGAUACAGCUAUGGAAAUAGAUAAUGGGCGAGUGCUUGCAACAGCGAUUAUCGUAGGCGAAUCAAGCAUCGAGCAGGUUCCCACUGCGCAAGUACUUAUUGCGGGUGUGAAUCAGGAUACAAAUAGAGAAGAUGGUUCAGCUGUAACGGCUUCGGAGGUUGUCAUUCGAUUGCCAGAAGAAAAUAGUAAUCAUCUGGUGAAAGGGAGAAGUGUUUAUGAAUUAGAUUGUAUACCGCUUUGGGGCACGGUUUCCAUUCAAGGUAAUAGAUCUGAGAUGGAGGAUGCUUUUGCCGUGUUACCUCAUUUUCUGAAAUUACCCAUCAAAAUGCUAAUGGGGGACCAUGAGGGUAUGAGUCCAAGCCUCACACACCUCACAAGCCAUUUUUUCGGUGUUUAUGAUGGUCACGGAGGCCAUAAGGUAUGCUAUAUUCACAUUUUCUAUAAGUUAUUUUAGCAACGGAGUUUGUUACACCUCUCUGAAUCCAGAAUACCUUAAUUCAUAGAUUUUAAAUCUACGAUGGGUUGCAGGUUGCUGACUAUUGCCGAGAUAGACUCCAUUUUGCUUUGGCUGAAGAAAUAGAACGUAUAAAAGACGAAUUAUGCAAGAGGAACACAGGAGAGGGUAGGCAGGUCCAGUGGGAGAAAGUCUUCACUAGUUGUUUUCUAACCGUUGAUGGUGAGAUUGAAGGAAAAAUUGGCAGAGCUGUUGUUGGUUCUUCUGAUAAGGUUCUUGAGGCUGUUGCCUCUGAGACAGUAGGAUCAACUGCUGUUGUUGCUUUGGUUUGUUCAUCACACAUAGUAGUUUCUAACUGCGGUGAUUCAAGGGCGGUUUUAUUCCGUGGCAAAGAAGCCAUGCCCUUAUCAGUUGAUCACAAAGUAAUUUUUUCCUUAUAUCCAAGAUUCUACCCAGUCUAACGUACAUAGUUGAUGAAGUGUUUUCUUACCUCUUUCCAUUUUUCUGCAGCCAGAUAGAGAGGAUGAAUACGCAAGAAUAGAAAAUGCUGGAGGCAAAGUCAUACAAUGGCAAGGCGCACGUGUUUUUGGUGUUCUCGCCAUGUCUAGGUCCAUCGGUAAGCAAUGCUUCUUUCGAUGACUAGAAAUGCAUCUAUGAAUGUCUUAAGGUGGCUUCACAUGCACAUCACAAAAACGUAGCUUGAUAAUGUAUUUACUGCCCUUCAUCAUGAAACAUUAGAUCAUCUGCGGUUUUUUCCUCCCCUGGACCAAUGCAGGUGACAGAUAUCUGAAGCCAUAUGUGAUCCCAGAACCGGAAGUGACAUUCAUGCCUCGGUCAAGAGAAGACGAGUGUCUGAUACUAGCCAGUGACGGUCUUUGGGAUGUAAUGAACAACCAAGAAGUUUGCGAAAUAGCAAGGAGACGGAUCUUGAUGUGGCACAAAAAGAAUGGAGCACUGCCUCUAGCAGAGAGAGGCAAAGGAACAGACCCAGCUUGCCAAGCCGCGGCUGACUACCUCUCAAUGCUUGCUCUACAAAAAGGAAGUAAAGACAACAUCUCCAUCAUUGUGAUUGACUUGAAAGCUCAAAGAAAGUUCAAGACCAGAACCUGAAGCUUAAUUACAAACAGUACGCUUACUUACUUUUUUUUAGUGGGGGUAAGUUUCGAUUUUUCGUAUAUUUUAGAUCGUUACGGAUCUAAUUUCGACAGGUUUUUACAUAUUAAUUACUCAAUAUUGUUAGAGGGAAGGAAAAAAAAAGAAAAAAAAAAUGGAAAUGCGGGUUGGGGGAGGAGAAGUAAAGACUGGAGAUUAAGAAGAUGAUGCAUAGCUAAUUAUAUAAGUUCAUUCCUGUUUUUUCUCAUGGAACUUGGAAUUCGUAUGUAUAAGAAGUAGUCAAAGAAAUGCUUUUUUUUUUGGGUAUUGAAGUAGCUGAAUGAAUAUGUUGUAAUAGUUUGAGAGAUGUGGCAGAUGAAAUUGUAAUUGAAACUAUGUCACAUUAACCUUCUUGCAUUUCUCUUUUCUUUUUACUAUCCUUUUCUAUUCAUUAACUUAACAUUGAUUGAGAUGAGAGUUCUGGAUCCUAGAGAUUCGAUGUUGUUUCUAAGUACUAAAUAACCAUAACAUUAAUCAAAAGGUGGACGUGCCGGAGUGGUUAUCGGGCAUGACUAGAAAUCAUGUGGGCUUUGCCCGCGCAGGUUCGAAUCCUGCCGUUCACGUUUCUUUUUUUCCCAGUUAUCAUCCAUAUUUUCCAUAACUUACCUUAAUCAUCUUACAUACAUACCGUGAGUCUUUACGAAAUGUUAAUCUUUUUUUUUCCUUAAUUGAGUAUAAAUAGAGAUCAACCUCUAUCUACAAAUGUGGAAGUGACGUGUGAAACCGUAAGUGUAUUUAAAUCAAACUUAGAAAGCUAUUAAUCAUUGGCAAUGGCACCGCAUAAGAUCUAGCUUGUGAAAGAAAGUUUAUCAUUUUUAGAUAAGUUUAUCAAGAUGACAAGACUUGGUUAGAUAUAUUGUAAAAGCCACGACAACAACACCGGCUCUCCUCCAUUGACCCAAAUCCUAGUUUACUUAUUUUGAUAAUAUAAAUAUUAAAUUAAAAGACUAAUUACAGCCUCGACUUCACAUAGAAAACGUGUUUAAUUAACACGUUAGACAUAUAUGAUUCCUUUGAACAAUUUGAUUAUCUGACGUACCAGUAUGUAUUUGCUAUUUUGCUUCAUGUAAUCCAGCUGUACGUAGGCCUUUGAAUUUCAGUUUCCAACUUUUUUUUUUUAAUUGAAAAAUGCAGAAUUUUUUUUUUCUGUUUAUAACUUUCACAAACAAAUACCACCAUUUUCCAGCUUAUCUAACAAGUCACUAAAACUUUCAAAAAUUUCCCCACAAAAACUUAAGUGUCAAUUGACCCCCUUUUUUUUUAGGUAUGACCAAAGUUUGGUUCGAAUUUUAAAGAUUGAAAUAUGACAAUUUUUUUUUUUUUUUGUUGCCGAGAGACAAACUCAAGAACUGGUCAGAUCUACCGAGUUAAGUUGUGUAUAGUCAACUAGUACUAAUUUGAACAUUAUACAAUUUAUUCAGAUAUCCUCUACGUAAAAUGCGAAAUGUAUUUCCAUGUAUUGAUGAAUUUGCAUAUAUUCAACAAAAAUACGUCAAUUAUCCGAUUACUUGUCUCCUAUAAAAUAUGUCUAAAAUACUCCAAGACAGGGACAUAUUUUUUUGUUGUAACAAAAGGUGUAAAUUAAAGUAGGAAUCCACAAAAAAAAAUCGAUAUAAAAAUGACCAAACCCAAGUCCCCAAGCAUUUAAAAAGAAAUAUCAAAUAUCAAUCCAAGCAAAGCAUAAAAGCAACACAUUACAGCAUCGUAAGCCAACCACUCCCAAGCUAAAAAGUUUUCUUCUAAAAGACAAAUAAUAGACAAACAAGAAAGAGUAUGGAAGAAGAAGAUGGAGACGCGUCUACGCCGUUUUGGCUUCAAUCACGCCGCAAUAACACUUACUUCCGCCGCACUGCAAGUCUCGGCGGCCGUGCAACCACCGUCGCCACUCAAAUAUUCUUCGCCGGGACAGCUGCAAUCCUUAUAGUCUUCUUCAUUAUCCCUCCUCUCUUUUCCUCUGUUUCACAAGUUUUCCGACCUCAUUUAGUCCGUAAAAGCUGGGAUUAUCUCAACUUCGUUCUCGUCCUUUUCGCCGUCCUUUGCGGCUUCCUCAGCCGCAACACCAAUAAUGACGAAACCAAUCAUAACAAAGAAGAAGACAUUAGUAACAAAUUCUCGAACUCACCUUCGAUCAUCGAUCGAGGAGGUCGUGUAUCUAACAGUGCCACGCCUCGUUAUUGGAUCGAUGAUCGCGGUGGUGGCGGCGGUGAUCAGACGGUGUACAAGAGGUUUAGUAGAUUACGGAGUGUUAGCUCGUAUCCAGAUCUGAGACUCCGGGAAUACGAAGCCGAUGAACGGUGGAGAUUUUACGAUGAUACACGUGUAAGUCAAUGUCGUUACGAAGAUGUAGAUCCGAUCUAUCCAAAUCAAAGUUACAGAAACUGGCAGGAGGAAGUUAAACCACCGCCGGAAGAUUUAGAUCAAACAGAGGACGGUGGUAAUGAAGGAGGAGGAAAGGUCCAUAGCGGCGGUUCCGAAACUGAGAAAGUUGAGGUCUUUGAGACGGCGGAAGCUGAAGUAGUAGAGGAGCUAACAGUGCCUUCUGCUCCGCCGUAUAUUCCGUCUCCUCCGCCGUCUCCGCCACGUCCUCCACCACCUAAGCAAGCGAAGAGGAAGACUAAAAGAGUGUACCAAGAUGUUCCUCCAAAGGAAGAGAAUAAUGAGAGAAGUGAUUUUGUAGCGGCGACGCCGAUGACUCCGAUUCCACCUCCGGCGACUGUGUAUCAAAAGAGCAAUAAACAGGAAAAGAAGAAAGGCGGAGCAACUAAGGAUUUUCUGAUUGCGUUACGGAGAAAGAAAAAGAAGCAGAGACAACAGAGCAUCGAUGGACUCGAUUUACUCUUCGGAUCCGAUCCUCCAUUGGUCUAUUCACCACCACCGCCGCCUCCGCCUCCACCACCUUUCUUCCAAGGGCUAUUCUCAUCCAAAAAAGGUAAAGGCAAAAAAAACAAUUCAAAUCCACCGCCUCCUCCUCCUCCGCCACCACCUGAACGGAGAUAUGAAUCACGCGCAUCAAUGACGUCGAUUCGCAAAGCUCCGGUGGAAUCACGGACAUCUAAACCAAAUCCGCCAGCUAGAGUAACUCAAUUCGUAGGCACAGGAAGCGAAUCGCCAUUGAUGCCGAUCCCGCCGCCGCCUCCUCCUCCGCCGUUUAAAAUGCCGGCUUGGAAAUUCGUGAAGCGUGGAGAUUACGUCAGGAUGGCUAGUGACAUCAGCAUAAGCUCCGACGAACCCGAUGAUCCCGACGUAGCUCAAUCAGCUGAAGGUAAGGUCGCCGCCGGGAGUAUGUUCUGUCCAAGCCCCGACGUAGAUACCAAAGCCGAUGAUUUCAUCGCGAGAUUCAGAGCUGGACUCAAAUUGGAGAAGAUGAACUCUGUGAAAAGAGGGAGAUCCAAUUUAGGACCCGAACCCGGACUUAAUGAAUCCGGGUCUUAAUAAACGGGUAGUGGUUAUAGGCCUAGCCCAAGCGUAUAGUGGUUAUUACUUUUGGAUUUUGGAACAUCGAUCUUUCUUUUUGUUGCAUUUUUGGAUUACACUGUGUUGGGUUUUUCCUACUUUUGUUUAAUUUUCUUAUACGUAAUUUUGUGGAUUACACUAUACGUUUUUUAUAGAUUUUAGCCCAUCUUAGGAUUAAGAUUAACCAAAAAAAGCUUUAUACUUGAAAUGCAACUAGUUUUUCUUGUAAUAUUCUCCAUUUUUAUGUUUGGAUAGUAGAGAACAUAUAGCUUUGAAAAAUAUAUUUAAGACUUUUAGAAACAAAAGAAAAAAUACUAUAGCUUUAAUUUUAUAUCGUCAAACAAUUAACAAAUUGACAGUUGUUUAUAAAUAUUUAAUUUGAUUAAGUUAACUUUUUAAUCAAAAAUAAAUAAUCAAGCAAAUCAACACAAACAAUUGGAAAAGCCACUUCGUUCUUUGCCUUUCUUUAGUUGAUUAACAAAAUCUUUAACAAUUAAAUAUAUUAAUUAAAAAGCAAUUAAAAGGACAUAUAAAAAAAAUUUAAUAUGGCGGCUACAAAGCUUACAAAUGACGAUGGACCAUCACCGCGUCUUAACUGUGUUGCGUUACAAAAACGCCAUCUUUUAUUUAACCUAAUAUAUAUAUAUAUAUAUAUCUUAAACAACAGUCAAGGGUUAUUGUCUCUCGAAAACCUAGAAUCGUUCUUUCUCUUUUCUUGUCAAUAUUCUCCAUGGCUGGGUCUAGCAAGAAAUCCGACACCAAAAGUGAAGCAGCAGCUCCUGCUGUGAUUAAGGCCACGAAGUCUCAGGAUUCAAGGACCAAAGUACAUCUGAAGAAGCCGAAGAAAGUCGUGAUUGCUCCUGCCGAGAAGAAAAAGAUCACGAAAGGAUUCGUCAGGAAAAACUUUGAGAAGAAGGAGAUGAUCAAAGAAUUCGCUGAUCGUCUUCAGCGUCUCGAAGCAAAGGUGGAUUUGUUGGUAACAAAGGCGGAUUUGUUGGCAACAAAGGCGGAUAUACAGGAGCUUUUCAUCCCAGCCAAGUGUGAGAAAGUUCCUGCCAUGAAACCACUUGCUAAGGCUGCUUCUGACAGCGAUGACUCAUACAUGGACACCUCUUCGGAGGAUGAAUCAUCUUCUGGUGAGGAACUUGCAAAGAAACCUGCUGCAAGUGCCGCCAAGCCAGCUGCUAAUAAUUCUUUAUUCUCUGUUGGUGGCAAUGGUCAAUCGUUCUCUGUUACGGGAUUUGACUCUUCCCUUCCUGUGGAUGAUAUCAAGAGCGCAUUGAGUAUAUAUUUCAGUUAUUUUGGGGAGAUCACACGCGUAUUUGUUCCCCCAAGCCACGGAACCGGUGGUUCCUUAGGAUAUGCUUACAUUGAUCUGAUAGAAGGAGCAGACAAGGCGUUGGAACUUGGUACACAUGACGUGGGAGGAUGGAAUCUUGUAGUUGGUAAGGCUGAACCAAUACGCAGUGGAAGUACUUGGCCUUUUCCUGGCCGUUGUGGCAAUCAGGGCCGUUGUACCUUCUGUUGAAGGCUUGAAGCUUUGGUGGUAAUUUACCACUGGUAAAGUUAGACACUGCUCGUGGAAAUAGACCUAGUUUUACUCCCUCCCUAAAGUAAGAAGACUAACUAGAAGCAGAGGAAGAUAUGUGGUGUUUUAAUUUGUGAUACAAUGCAACAUUUUUAUUACUUGUGAGUUUUUUCUUUAGGUUCUAGUUAAGUUUUUGUCCAAUGUUAAUGUAAACUCAAUUUUGAGUUCUAUUGGUUUUAAAGAAGAAAUAAAAACUCAGGUCGCGAGUACUUGUUAACUGGUGACUGUAGAGGAAAAGACAGGCCGUGAGAACUUGGUAGAGCACAUGUAAAAGUCAGUUGUACUUUGAUGUGGGCGAGCAUCACGACUAACCGUACCAGUCCUUGUAUCUUUAUUUUCACAAGUCCAAAGAAACGCAAAUUCAUUACUUCCUCUAAUGACAAGCAACAAUAUUAUUAUAGGACCUCAAGAUACAAUAUUCGUUUCAGAAGAGACACAAACAAAACAAAGCUUAUUUAAUAACUAAUACUUAGAUUCAUUGCUCUUCAAAUACUCCUUGAGAAAAUCCAUAACUGAACCAAACUUUGGUAUAUCGGAUAUCUAAUAUACAAGAUUGAUUGAUUGUAAUUGUUGAGGAUUCUUGGAAUUAGAAUAAUACUUGAAUGGAUAUUUCUGCAACAAGCAAAAUCUUCUCAAGGUAAUAUUCUUUUUGGGAAUAAUAUUUUUAAAAUCACAUUACCAAAUUUUACAUGUUCCAACCUAAAAUUUUCCAAAACUAUUAGGAAGGCUGAAAGUAAAACAAGAUACUCAUGGCUUCCAAAUUGAUAAAAGUGACAUAUGCGAGAUUCACAUGGAAGCUGAAAGAGCACAAGGCAAGGCACAAAGAAAAGAAGAGAGGCCAAACUACUUAACUGCUAAAACUAACAACCAAAUCUCUGCUAACCCGAAAAGGAUUUUAAAAGAAGAUGAGCAAAAGGGUAGUCAAUGAAAAAACUUUGUUUUUUUUUUUGUCGUCUAGAUUUAUUAUUAAUUGCAAAUUAUGAGAACUGUUACAGUUACGAUUUUAUAAUAAUUGUACAUCGCUGGAGAUCUCUUGCACAUUUGCUCCAUUAAUCUGCAAAUUUGUUAAUAAAUCGCAAUAUCUGGGACUCGAACCCCAGACCUCCUCCAUUAAUCUGCAAAUUUGUUAAUAAAUCGCAAUAUCAUGGACUCGAACCUCAGACCUCUUGGUGUAGAAGCAUUAAUCAACCAAUGGGCCAAGGGCUUCUACAUAAAAAAAACUUUGUUAACAAAACCAUUAACAAUAAAAACAAUUAUUUAUUUUUUUCCUUUUUUUUCUCCUAAACAAGUUGCGUUACGAAGACGCCAUCUUUUAUUUAACCUAAUAUAUAUGCUCUUAAACAACAGUCUAGGGUUAUUGUCUCCCGAAAACCUAGAAUCGUUCUUUCUCUUUUCUUGUCAUCUUCUCCAUGGCCGGCUCUAGCAAGAAAUCCGUCACCAAAAGUGAAGCAACUCCUGCUGUUAUUAAGGCCACAAAGUCUUUGAAGAAAGGUAAGAGGGAGCCGAAAGAUGAUUCGGAGACCAAAGUAAAUCUGAAGAAGCCGAAGAAAGACGUGAUUGCUUCUUUCGAGAAGAAGAAAAAAUCUGAGACAAAGGCUAUCAUGAAAGGAAUCGCUGAUAGUCUUCAGCGGCUCGAAGCAAAGGUGGAUUUGUUGGCAACAAAGGCGGAAAUAGAGGCGAUUUUGAUCUCAGCGAAGGGUAAGAAAAUUCCUGCCAUGAAGCCUCCUACUAAGGCUGCUUAUGACAGCGAGGACGAAGAAUAAAUUCUUGCGAGAUGUGCAACAUUAUUUUUGGGAUGAGACAAUCAUGGAGUUUACGUUCAGCCAAUCCUCUUCCUUUUUUCUCAUACAUGGACACAUCUUCGGAGGAUGAAUCAUCUUCUGAUGAGGAACCUGAAAAGAAACCAGCUGCUAAAGGUUCUUCAUCCUCUGUUGGUGGCAAUGUUCAAACGAUCUCUAUUAGGGGAUUUGACUCUUCACUUCCUCUUUAUGAUAUCAAGAGUGCAUUGAGUAAGUAUUUCAGUUCUAUUGGGGAGAUCACACGCGUAUUUGUUCCCCCAAGCCACGGAACCGGUGGUUCCUUAUGAUAUGCUUACAUUGAUCUGAAAGAUGGAGCAGAAAAGGCGUUGGAACUUGGUACACAUGUCGUGGGAGGAUGGAAUCUUGUAGUUGGUAAGGCUGAACCGAUACGCAGUGGAAGUACUUGGCCUUUUCCCGGCCGCUGUGGCAAUCAAGGCCGUUGUAGGUACUGUUGAGGCUUUGAUGGCGCAGAAAGAGACUGCUCGUACCUAAGUUUUACUCCCUCAAGUAAGAAGACUACAUAGAAGAAGAGGAAGCUCUGUGGUUUCUUUCUCGUUAAGUUUACUAGAUGAAUAUCCACGCUACGCGUGGGUUUUUUUUGAAAAUUGUGAAGAAAAAAUUAUUGAUUGUUCUUGCUAAUUUAUGUUUAUUUUUUAUUUGUUAUUAUGUAGGUAAUAAAACUAAAUCUUUCUUAUGUAGUUACAAUUUUUAAGAUAAUAUCUAUUUUUUUACUUGAAAUAUAACCCAGGAAAAAGACUUACUUGUCAGUUGAGACCUCUUGCUUGUUCCCGUAAUAUCCUUCAUCGUCCUGAUGGCUCUGCUAGUUGGUCAGAAGGUACUUUAUCAGCUUUCUUAAUAUCUAUUAUGGGUACAAAGUUUUUUUUAUCAUUUUUGAAUGAGAUUCAUUGAACUCUCUCGUUUAUAUUUUCAGGGAUACAAAAAUUAUAGCUACAGAAUACGGACCUAAAGCAGGAACGAAGAAGAACGAAAAUGCUGAGAAGGCUUGUUUUGAAGUCAUAUGGAAACCUUAGACCGGAUAGAUUGGUAAUCGGAAAUGCGCUUAGUUGUUCAAAAGGAGGCUUGUUUUGUUGCUUGAGUAUGUCGUACAGGUGAUUCUUGGUUUUUAGAUCUGAAUUACUUUUGCUUUGAAUAUUGAUAGGAAAAGAUGAAAAGGAGUAUGAAACGAUACUGAAAAGGACGCUACAGAGUAUUUGUGUUUUGACAGUUGUUUCAAAUACCACCACCUCAGUGAUAAUUCAGGUGAGUAGCUAUUCAAUGUUGUGUAUAUCGAUAUUGUCAACUUGAGUUGUAUCUGAUGUUUUCAUUUUGUAAUUCCCAUAUAGGUUGUACAUGAUGGUGGUUCUGUAUCGUUUUUAUGUUCCUUACACCUUGGUAAACAUUUACUGAUGUUGUCUGAAACACAUAUAAUCUGGUAUAAACAAUGUCUGUUUGAGUAUUUAUAGAGUUUAUAGUAGUGAAAGUUUGUAAUCCCAUAAGCUGAGAGUGUGAAUAUCUUUUUGUGUAACUUCUACCGUGGCCUCCAUUAUGGCAGUUAAAAGGUAGAAAAUGUUUGUUCUAAAGAAAUAUGAUGUACAUAAAGGGAGACUAUGAAGGAUGGAAUUUACGAUGUCGAGAAAUUUGCCUUGAGAUCCUUCUUCUUUCAUAUUGAAUGAUCGAGCAGAGAGUGGGAGAGAAUUAUUUUGUUAAAGUCUUGUGGAGAAUUAGAAUAUUUGUUGGGUUUAGAAGCAUUAAGCCUUUUUUUUUUAAUGGGCUCAACUCAUAAAUAUUACACUCUAAUAGAUUCUAAAACACAUAUGGUCCAUCUCUCAUGGGCUAUUUUGUUUUUCCAUUUGACACUUAUAAUUAGAAGCUGAUGUGUAUUAAUGAAAUGUUUUGAUUGGACGAAUAAAAAACUAAUGUGUCAUCUCCAGAAGAGCCAAAAAUGCUGACGUGGCGGAAGGAUUGAGAGAGAUAGCCUCCUUUCAUAUAUAUGAUUUUCUAGUUAAGUUUUUGAAUGUUAAUGUAAACUCAAUUUUGAGUUCUUUGGGUUUCAAAGAAGAUUAAAUAAAUUCUUCUGUUCUAGUUAAGUUUAUUUUCUAGAUAAGUUUAUGAUUUCUUGAAUGAUCCGAAAAAGACAGGUCGUGAGUACUUUUGUUAGCACAUGUUAAAGUCAGUUUUGUGCUUUUUGAUGUGAAGCAACUAGCAAGCAUCACAGAACCAACCAGUCCUUUAAUUCCACAAGUCCAAAGAAACGCAAUUUUAUUACUUCCUCUAAUAACAAGCCAACAAUAUCAUCAUAGGACCUGAAGAGCUUUAGAAGAAAUAAACAAAACAAAGCUUAUUUAUCAUUGCUCUUCAAAUACUCCUUGAGAACAUCCAUAACUGAACCAAACUUUGCCUUGACCUUCACUGGUGGAUUCGCCAAUCUACAAGCCAUCUCUUUUAUGUUCUUAGAAUGAUAAUCAAUCUUACUCUGUGUAAACUUCAAUCCAUGAGCUGUACUCACCACCACAGUCCGAUCAUUCGCUUCGAUAACUCCAGACUUCCUCAGCUUCAUCAACGCCGUCAAUGCAACACCUGUAUGUGGACAUAUAAACAUACCAGUAGAAUCAGCAAGAGCUGUUGCAUCCAUCAACUCUUCUUCUGUAGCUUCCUCAACAAUUCCAUUAGAUUUCUUCAACGCAUAAACAGCUCUAUCAAUCGAAACAGGGUCGCCGAUCUGAAUCGCAGAAGCAAAUGUAGUGUUUGCUUUCAAUGGAUUGAAGUCUUCUUUAAACCCAGAUUUGUAGUGCAAGUAAAGUGGAUUAGCGUUAGCAGCUUGAGCACACACAAGUCUAGGGAUUCUAUCAACAAGACCUAACUCUUUACACAUAUCAAACCCUUUGUAAAACGCAUAGAUGUUACCAAGAUUGCCUCCAGGAACAAUGACCCAAUCAGGAACUUGCCAAUUAAACUGCUGCAAAAUCUCAAUCGCCGCUGUCUUUUGUCCUUCGAGACGGAGGCUGUUGAGAGAGUUGGCUAAGUAAAUCGGAAGCUCCGCCGUUACUUCUCUGAUCAAAUGCAUACAUCCAUCGAAAUCAGUAUCAAUACUAAGCACAAAAGCCCCAUUAGCAAUCGGCUGAACAAGCUGAGCCAUGGAGAUUUUAUCCGCUGGUAAGAAAACGAUCGACGGGAUUCCAGCGGAAGCACAGUAAGCAGAGAGAGCAGCGGAGGUAUCUCCAGUAGAAGCGCAUCCAACUCCGAUGACUGGUUUGUUCAUUUUCCGGAGACGAUUCACCUGAGAAACAAGAACCAUCAUAUAUAGAGUAAAGUCGUGAACUUUAUCAAAGAUAAUUAUAAAGUUGUAAACUUUAUGAAAGAUGACUAACCUGAGAAACAAGAACAGUCAUGCCCAGAUCUUUAAAGGAACCAGUGUGGGUGAUUCCACAAUGUUUCACCCAAAGAUCGUUCAUUUGCAGAUACUGUUUACCAAAUCUCUCAGCCCAGAAGAGAUUUGAGUUUCCUUCGAAAGCAGAAACGAUGUCGUCAUCGUCAAUCUCAGGAAGAACCCACUCUUUCUUCGACCAAACGCCUGAUCCGUACGGCCAAUUGGUUUUACCGACGCGAGAAUCGAAGAGGUUACGCCAGAAUUCUCCGUCGUAGCGUUUCAAGGCGGCGAAAUCGUGUUGGACGUCGAGGAGACCACCGGAUUGUGAACGGUAGACGAUCUCGUCGAGGGAGUAGGAUUCGGUUGAAGAAGGUGGAGCGUUGAAAGGGACGUAGCGUGCGGAGAGGUUUUGGAGUUGAUGAGGACGGCGACGAGCUUCGUCUCGAAUGUUCUCAUCAGGGGAACGGCGGUGUUUCUCCGGAGUUUGUGGAGGAACGGCGGGAGAGGCGGAGGCGGAGGAGGUGCAGCGGACGGUGAAGGAAGCGGCGGAGUAAGGUUUAAGUGAGGUUUCAGAGUGGGAAGGAAAGUAGGUGGCGGAGUGGAGAAGAGAGAAUGAGGCCAUUAUGAGAGAGAGAGAGAGAGAGAGAGAGAGAGAGAGAGAAGAGUUUGGCGAUAUUGAUUGGAGAGAAGAAUGUUGACACCUUUAGAGCAAGAUUAUUGGUGGGACUGGUCCAAACCAUAUUUAUAAUUGUAAAAAAAUGUAAAAUUUGAAAUUUACACUUAUUUGGUUCUCCCUAAUAACUUUCCACCAAUAAAAUUUACCUAUGCGAGUCCAAAACAUUACAAAAAAUUCAUUGUUGGAUACGAGUCUAUUGUUUUUUGGUAUUUGUGAUUAAAUUUUUGAAUUUUUUGGCUUUGGAUAUACACUUGGAUAUGCCGUUAAGGAUGGUCUUAGUCACAAGUAGACAUGUCAAUUAGGGCCAAAGCUCGUAUGCUGGCUCGGUCCAGCCCUGAAAAACAGCGGGCUCGGACUUAAAAAUAUACGUCCAGAAAAAAAUCGGGCCUUUCGGACUAAGCCCGUUGGGCUAAAGGGUUUUUAGGGCUUAGCCCGGCCGGGUUCGGGCCGGCCCGAAAAGCCCUUAAAAAGAGAUUUUAACUUCCUUUUUUAUAAAUAUUAUUGUUUAAUUAAGAGAUUUGUUUAAAGAUUUUUUUAAUAGAGUUAAAAACUCUAAACCUAAUUUUCUAAUUGUGUCUUACUAUAAGUGUUAUGAUUUUAUAUUUUAUUUAAUGUGGGUUUAAACAAUUUAUUUGGAUUAUUUAUUUGAUUUUAAACUUUUUUUAAAACUAGAUUGAUUUUAGUGGGUUAUUUAAGUUUCGUUUGAUUCAUUUUAUACAUAGAUUUUUUUUUUCAAGAGGUAUUAUAUAUUAGAAGAGUUUAUUUUUCUCGAAAGAAAAGCCCUAAAAAGCCCGUAAAAGCCCUGUAGCCCUGUUAGGGCCGGGCCGGGCUUCAAAAUCUAGGCUCGGAAUUUUUACGGGCCGGGAUCAAACAUAUGCGGGUUUUGCGGGCUUCGGGCCGGACCGGGUCGGGCUAGCCCGAUUGACAUGUCUAGUCACAAGUCACAACAAAUUUAUUUUUAUAACCUAAAAAAUAUUGGGACGAAAGUAUUCAUUUAUUGUUUUUCAUUGUCAUUCCAAAUUCCCAAUAAAUAACGUGUGUAUGUGUGAAUGUAAGUCACAAGUCAUGAUAAAUAAUGGGAGAAUAACUAGACAAUAAAUAAAUAGUAAGUCACAAGUCAUGAUUUUUCUUUUGGUGGUAGAGAAUGCACUAUGGAGAAAUGAAUCUUUGACAUUCAUAAAUCAUGUGUGAAUACUUAUAUCUUAGACAAUGUGUUUAGAUAUCAAAUUAUGCAAAAAUAAAAAAGAAUGUAUGGAUUCAGCCAUCAUCAUUCUAUUGACUAAAGUAGUGUUUUUCUUACGAGAUGCACAAGGGUUAAGCAUGUGUGAUGUCUCUCACAUGAAGUAUAUAUAUUCUUAUGAGUGAAAUGUUAUUAUUUGAAAUUAAUAAAAAAAGAAAAGAAAUGUUAUUAUUUGUAUGGAUUGUUCUUCUAAUAAUCUGUGAUUUCGUCUCAUUUUUAUUAAUCAAAUAAUCAUAUUACAAGCCGCCAAAACAAAAUCUAAUUAAGUGUUAAAUUUUGUCCUUUUAACAUAAGUGUGUUACAAACAUGGUCUAAGAAUUUUAAUGAUAAAACUAAAUAAUGAGAGACCUUCAUAAAGUAGAGGACACUUCAUAAUGUAUGUAUGGAGUUAUGAUCUUUUUUUGAGUUGGAAAAAAAGAAAGAAGGUAAAGGACACCACUUUAUGGACCCUCUUUUUUCUUCACAGAAUCUUUAAUACGGAUUGGGUCAAGAAAUACAGUAAAUGGAUGAGCAAUGUGAAAAACCAGCCCAAUAAGCUUACUUAAAGACUUCAAUUAGCCUUGAAUCAAGAUGAAUACAUCAACAAUUAACCGCUAUGUCUUCCUCUAAAUUUUGGGAAUAGUGUUUUUGGCUUUUGGGAGAAAACGACACAAGAAACAAAUAAAUGAGAAGGGGUCCAUUUUCAGUGAUUUUAAGCUUUUUUUUAUAGGGAUAACUUGAGAAACUCGAUUUCAUGAGGGUCCUUUUCGAGUACUUUUUUGUUAUGUGACUCGUGAUCUUUUGCUCGAUAAAACGCUUUCCAUAGGUCUUGUUGGUUUUUAGUCUGCGGAAACUGCUAAUUUGGCUCUUUAUCUACAAGUUGUGUAUCUUGUUUGCUCGUAAACAUAAAUGCAAUCCACUGCCAUUCUCUUAGUUAUUGCAUCUCUAAUGACUAAGGUACGUUUUUCAAUUACAGCCACAAAUUCACUUCUCUGUUACAUGUCUAAAAUGUUCGGACGGGUAUACAUUCUUGAAUCUUGAUUUUUGAUGCUUAUUUCUCUGUUCUCAUGCUGUUAUGUACCUAGAGAAAAUAUUCAUUACACCAUCUCUUUUUUAUGCCUGGAUACUUCUAUCUUAGCAAUGUACGUUAAUACUAUCAUCAAGUAGUUCACCAAAUAUUACAUCAUUGUUUAAUUUGUUGAAACCUAACAUGAAAUGUGAUACAAAUGAGAUCAAGCAUGUAUGCAGGUUAUGAUGACAAUUUGAGAAUUCAAACAUUACACACAAGGAUAUCAAUUCAUCAACAUUGGCCUUAAAUAAGCAUUAAUUGUUCUAUUGAAAGCUAAAAAACAAACUUGUCAUUAUUAAUGUUCUUUGUGAAGUUAAGAUUAUUAGAUUGGUGCGUAUUUCCCACUUCUAAUCACUUUUUUUUUUUUUUUUUUGAUCCAAUUUUUCUUUGAAAAACGGCUUCUUGGCGACUAAACAUGGAGACUAUUCUGAACCAACCAAAGUGGACCUAUAAAUAGACAAAUUGUGGUGGGCUGAAAUAAUGGUCAUUAUCAGUUCAUACAAAACCAACAUUGUUGUUGGUCACUCAAGCCCAUCACAGUUAUAAUGUUCUUUUUGGAAUCAAAUCACAUGGAUGGAUUCAGUCUAAGCUUGUCUACUCACUUUAACAUCUAAUCUGUUGAAGAUAAGGAUUAACGAUGUAACUAAACGUGCACCGAAAAACAAAUGUAUAUAUGUGUUGGGUAGUGGGCGUUUCCAAAUACUAUAGUAUUUGAUUUGAUACUAAAAAAAUAUGUGAAACUCCCAAAGCUAAUCAACAUUUUUUAUUCAAGUUAUGUCAGUAAAUGAUACAACGACAGAAAAUUGAUUUCUGUUGGUGUUUGGUAUCAUCUUGUCCAAGGACCACCACUGUUCCUAGAAAUUUAGCAUCUCUAGGAACUCUGAUAACUUGUACUAUAAAUUUAUAAAAAGAAAACCUCAAGCCGAUAGUGGAAGUGGAACUGUAAAAAGAAUCGGAUGUCACGUGACAGAUCACGUGCCUCUCACACUGAUUUCUGCUCUCUUCUUCUCUGCCCAACGGCCCAAGGAUAUGGACGCCACGUCAUCUUAUCCAAAUCACAAAAGCGGAUCCAUUUUCUCUCUCCUUUGUUGGGUCUGAUCCGAGAACAAGAUCUCAGCCGCUACUUUUUAACUUUUUCCUAUCUCUGCCGUCGAUUUCUUCUUCUAAGAGUGCUACCAUUUUGUCGUUUUCUUUUAUCCUUAGUCAUGAUUGACACGUGUCACCUGCCAGCAUCUGAUUUUACCAGAUCUUCCUUAUUUCCUUAAUAAAUCCUUUAAUAUUCGAUCAAAAUCUGUAAUUCAAUCUUAAAUAUAAGCAAACAAAUUUGUACAUCGUGAUCAAUUUCUGAUUACAUUUUGCACAAUAUGAAAACAAUAUCCCAUUGAUUAUACAUCGUUGAAUCAAAAACUAAACAAUUUCCACUUUAUUUGUUUUCGGUUAGGUCAAUUAACCGGUAAAUUUGGGUGAAAACUGUAAAUGGCAUUGAGUUACAUAGAGAAAUUAGCUAAUCGAAUCGGAAAAUACAAGCCGGUUUAUAAUCUAUACCGGUAUCUCAAUUUGGUUUAUUUACAGGAAUAAAAAACCGGAACCCUAGACUCGCUCGUAACAGUAUAACUGUAUAAGGUCUCAUUUGCGUGUGCUCUCGUCGCGAUUACUCUCUCCAGCUCUCUCCUUUUUUUCACAUCGAUCUCGUAUUGGUGCUUAUUGGAUAUCUCCGGCGAAGGAAACGGGUUUCGCGGUUAGAGUUUCUUUAUCGCUUACCGGCGACGAUGAUCGUAUCUUCGGUAAGGUCGAUUAAUCGGUUCUGUUUUCGAAGAUGUUGUUGUUAGAGUUAGAUCCGCAUGGUUUUGGUGAUCGUUUUGGAUCGAAGACGUGGUUCCACAGACGCAAAAAAUGCCGUCGUCUCUUGGUUUGAGAUUUGUCUUCUGAAAUCUUUCCUCUUUUGUGCUCGUUGAAUCCUUUUUUUAGAAAUUUUUGGUCUUCGAAUCCUGGGGAUAGGUUACAGUCUCCGAUUGUAAAUAGAAAUUUGCGGCGUCGUGACUUUUAGGUUAGGAAAAGUUGUACAGAUAGAGAUUGAGCUCUGAAACACAUCUCAGGAACAUUUUUUGUUUCUUGUAUAAAAAAGGGUUUUUUUUUUUUUUUUUUUUUUUUUGUUUUGUUUCUCUGUGUUGGUUAGAAAGUGGCGAAGAUGAAUCUGGGUGCGGCCGAGGAAGAAUCGGCUCAGGAGAUUCAUUUACCAGCUGAUAUCAAUUGGGAGAUGCUUGAUAAAUCCAAGUUUUUCGUUUUAGGCGCUGCUUUGUUUUCAGGGGUAUCUGGAGCUCUGUAUCCUGCGGUUUUGAUGAAAACUCGGCAACAAGUUUGUCAUUCGCAAGGUUCUUGUAUCAGAACUGCGUUUACCCUUGUAAGACAUGAAGGAUUAAGGGGAUUGUACAGAGGAUUUGGUACUUCUUUGAUGGGAACUAUCCCUGCUCGUGCUUUGUACAUGACUGCCUUGGAGGUUACUAAGAGUAACGUUGGCUCUGCUGCUGUCAGCUUGGGGUUGACAGAGGCUAAAGCUGCUGCAGUUGCUAAUGCGGUUGGAGGUUUGAGUGCUGCCAUGGCUGCACAGCUUGUUUGGACUCCUGUUGAUGUGGUUAGCCAAAGGCUUAUGGUUCAAGGAAGUGCUGGUCUUGUCAAUGCAUCAAGGUGUAAUUAUGUUAACGGGUUUGAUGCAUUUAGAAAGAUUGUUCGCGCUGAUGGACCAAAGGGAUUAUACAGAGGGUUUGGGAUAUCGAUUCUGACUUAUGCACCGUCUAAUGCGGUUUGGUGGGCUUCUUACUCUGUUGCACAACGAAUGGUUUGGGGUGGAAUUGGGUGUUAUGUCUGUAAGAAAGACGAAGAAAGUGGGAACAAUAGUACCACGAUGAAACCAGACUCUAAAACGAUAAUGGCUGUUCAAGGAGUUAGUGCUGCCAUUGCUGGAAGUGUUUCUGCUUUGAUUACAAUGCCACUCGACACAAUCAAGACGAGAUUGCAGGUUCUUGAUGGGGAAGAUAGUAGUAACAACGGGAAGCGUGGACCGAGUAUUGGACAGACUGUAAGAAACUUGGUUAGAGAAGGUGGAUGGACAGCUUGUUAUAGAGGAUUGGGACCAAGAUGUGCGUCAAUGUCAAUGUCUGCAACAACUAUGAUCACUACCUACGAGUUCUUGAAACGGCUUUCUGCUAAGAACCAUGACGGGUUUUAUUCUAAAUCAUAGUGAUAACAACUGAGAAUCCACAUAGAAGAAUCUUUUAUGGAAAUGUCUCUAGUUUUCUUACUUAUCUUGUUCUCUGUCUAGCUGUUCUGCUAUUUCAUUUGUUUCCAGUCAUAUGUAAGGAAUGUGUUAAAUUCAGUUGUUUCUGAAUAAAUAAAUGUUAUUUCCUCAUUCGCUUGGAUUCGGUUUCCUGGUUUGGAUUGGUUCACCAUAACCGCGCUACUAAACCGACAUGGUAUUUGCGAUGUUAAAAGAUGACUUGUAACUUUGUAAGACUGCAAUCUUACAUCAAUAAGCACACACGACAAGAUUUGAUUUGGCAACAUGUUAUAUUUAGUAAUUCAUGAAUCACUUAGAAAGUGAUUUACAGGAUUGUGACUUUAUAUAUUUCACAAUGCUGUCUUUUUCUUUACAGAAGUUAAAUUAUGAUCAUUUGUUAGUAUCUCAGGAACACAAGUGUGUGUAUCUGUCACAUAAGUCAACGUUUCUUGGAGCAGAAAUUUACGUUUCUUCUUACCUUAUCAAAAUAAAUUAUGAUUUCUUAAAUAGGAUAUAAUGCAUAGAGACGGCCUUGAUAUUUUGACAAAAAUAUUCAUGAACGUGUGGAAGAAAUGGUAGUAUUUUCAAGUAUCUUAAAGUGUAUGACAUCUUCUCAGACAGAUAAAUGAGACUCAAAGUAGAAUCUUUCAACCUCUUUUCUUAAUUAUUAGAAGUGUAUCAAGAAUAAGACAUAAUCUAAUAUAUACUGGAUUCUUCAUUAAAUAUUUCUCAAUCAUUGUCAACGAAAUUGUAAAAUACUACAAGAAUCCGAAUGUGUCUCUUCACAUAGAUCAAUGGAGUGGAAGCAGAAUCUGUAUUUUUCUUCAUCUUUUCAAACAGAAUAAGGAGACUUCUUCAUUGCCGACACGACACAAAUGAAGCAAAAACAAACAUAUAUAAAUCAUGAAAAAAGAAAGAGGAAUUGAAAGUUUAUUAAAGCAAUCAUAUUACUAGUUUACACAAGAGAUACAUGGUCACAGAAGAUAAAAAUGCGAUAGAGUGUUCGAAAUGAAGAUCUUGGUCGUUCUUGUGAUGUCUAACACAGACAUAAUGUGGAAUAAAAACACUAAGUUACAACAAUCGAAAGAACUAGUAGUAGCCAAGGAUGACUUCCCCUUUUGGUGGGAACAUGAACACAGCACCAAGAUACAAUGUCUCAGAUAUGGACAGAGAAAUGGUGCAUGUCUCCACCUCCAUGCAUGUCAUUAGACUGACCAUGAACAAGCAUGGCUCGGUUUGUCUGAGUUGAGAAACCUGAAAACUGGAAUUCAGUGUGUCCAAAGAGAUCUGCACCGUCGGAAAUAGAGGUGAUGUCAGAGCCAGAAGUGGUUGAACCAAGGUCUUUGCUGUGCAGCAUAUGAGCUUCGAAUCUAGACAUGUUUGUCUUUCUGUUUUCCUGUUGGUCCGACUUGUCAUUUUCUUGUUCUCUAGCAGCUUGUUCGGCUUCUUGAAGAAGUUUUUUGGUGUUUAGGAAUCUUCCACCGGAUCCUCUUGGCCUUUUAAGAGCAUGAACAUGUCGAGAUUCAUGAAGAUACGGCUGUUGCAAUAAGGAAAACAGAUAUGAGCAAAGCAAUUUUAAAUGAGAUGUUUUUGUUUCUGUUGCCUCAAAAGGUAAAGAGAUACAUACUUUACGGGCUCUGAUUAGUUUGUUUUGAGCCUCGAGCUUAGCACGUUGCUGUCUCCUCCUCAUAAUUGCGUGGUAUUGCUUUGCAUUGACAAAGACUGGCUCAGUUUCAGUGAGCUCCGCUGGUAAAGGAACACGACCAGGAAUCAUACUCACCAUUUGAGGAUUGCAUGUCUGCAAAAGAGAAUAAGAGAAUUGAGAUCUGAUGGACAGAUAAAACUGAAAGAUAAUGACCCACUUGGGAUUUGCAUUUCUAUGCAAGGGAACUGUUUAUAUCUGAAACGAAGGGUGUACUUACCGGUGCCUGUGGUAGGUAAGUAGCAGCUAAUAAACCACCAUAAUGUGGAUCAGCAUAGUGAAAUGAGAAAUUAGCCUGCACCAUGUAUAAACAUAAGAAUAUCAGUCCCCCAUCAGAAGUUUUGCUAUGAUUACUGACUCAUAGUCAUAGAUUAACAAAAAUACCUGUGCAGGAGCAAAGUGAAUAUUCGGAAAUCCUGUCAUCAAGCCUGGUUUAGGAUUACUUGCAAACCCCUUCCGUUGAGUUGCUUCAGAUCCUAGACAAACAACUGACAAAGUAAGAGAGAGUAUAACAUCUUUUAUGGCAAAAGGACGAGUCUUUUGUCAAUGACACAAGAAGUAAAACAUAUAUACCAACAAUCUAACCUGAUUUAGCAGAAAACGAGAUUUGCCUGGAAGGAUUAUCAUCUUCACUAGUAGCAACUUCAGUAUAAGAUUGGCCAGUGGACUGCGUUGAAGAUGAAUCCUGGUCCUGAAAACUGAUUUGCUUAGUGGUUUGUAAAAGUUCAGGCCUUGCAUCCAUCUUCAAGCUUAGUGAUGAUUCAGUAGUAGUAACGCGACGAUUAACAAUGGAAUCAGUUGGAACCACUCCCCAUGAGAUGCUAGUAUUAAGGUAUGGCAAAGUGGAAUGAGUAGCUGAAUCUUUCUUAUUCAUCAUUUGAUGCAUCAGAACCUCUUCCUUAACAAGCUAAUUCUCACAAUCAGCAACCUAAAUAACAAGCAGAGAUGACUCAAAGAUUAGAUUUUUAAAGCUAAUAAUCCAAGUGGGUGAAAAAACCCAGAAUAGAAAUAAAAGAGAAGUUGGAAGUUUCUAAAACUGUGUAAAAUUUUUAAUCAUCUAAACGAUUUCUGAUUCGAUCGUACUAUCUUGGGUAACCAAAUCAAUUGCAGAGAUCGCUACGAUUGGCUAAAAUUAGUAAUUUUCCGACCAAGAAAAAAUUUAUGUUCCCGUCAUCACUUUUGGGCAAAAAGUCGUUGACUUGAAGAUGAAUUUUUUAGCAAGAAUUUUCCAAAAUCAGUAAUCGCACGCCACAAGACAGAUACACCAAAAAUCGAACAAAGAAAAAAGGGGAAAAUUAAACAUCUUUCGAACAAAGAGUCUACAGAUGCAACAAGGAAAGAGAUAAGAGAUAGAGAAAGAAACCUUUGAGUAAUCGAUGAAGCAACGAAGAAGAAGAAGAACUAGGGACAGAGAUUUAUUUUUGCAUGUCUCCUUGUCCGAAACAGAACCAAAGUAAACCCGAUUGUUUCUCUCACAGUGAAUCACAGAGUGGUCUUCGUAUGUAAGAUCUUCUUUCUUUUGGUUCGUCUCCGUCUCUUUUACCUGUCCUGGGAAAUCAACAUCGCCAUGAGAACCACCACCACACCAGCUUCUCCUUCUGGGUUAAUUAUUGUCUUAAGUGCCCUUAAUUAUUCAUUUAAUGUCUUAAUUUAUUGGUUUCACCUUUACCCAAAACACAGAAUAAGGCUCUCUGGCUAUCCCACCUCACCUUAUAGCAUCAAUUACCCCCAAAUAAAAAUUAGAGAAGACUCUUUUGUUAAAAAUUCUUCUUUAUUAUAUAAAAUCGUCUAUUAUUAGAUUCCUAAAUUCCCUAACACAGUUUUUAAAUUUUUAAUUUGGGGAAAAAACCAAAAUGAUUAACAAUUAAAAGCCAAAAAUAUAAUGUAAUUAUGGAAAGGUAAACGUACAAUUCAAGAUUUUUUUUUCUCUCUAAAUUAAUGAUUCCUAUCUCUACAAAUCCGUUAAGCACUUUACUUUUUUUGUUUGUUUUAUCACAUUUAGGUAUUAUACUAUAAGGUUUGUUUUAUAUUAACUUUUCCCCCAUAUUUUGUUUCGAAUAUAACUAAGGUUGUUUUGGCUGUAUGAUUUCUUAAUUUCCAUUAUCUCUAAUAAUGAUUCCAAAAAGUAUUAGCUAUCUUGGCCACGUUAGCUUUUGUUUAAUUAAAAAUAUUGUGUGAAGCUUUUAAAAUGUUACUUAGCUUUUUGUCCAAAGUGUGUUGUCGUUUCCAGACUAAAAUAUUUCUGAACUCUGAACCGUCCUUAAUUUCCCCUUAUGUCUUUACUCGUUAGUCUUUAGCCGCCCCCUCCCCAUAUUAAUGUCUCAGACGCUCUCCUAAUCUCGUGAUUCACACGCUCUUUCGAAUAAACUUACAAUUUUCUUAUGGGAAUAACAUUUAACAAUUUUAAUCUACAAGUUAUAGACUGGCAACCAUUUUCCUUGGGUAUAGUAGUUUAAGGAAAGUGUAAGCAUGUAAAAUGAGAUGGGAAUACAAGGAUUGUAUAAUACUAAAACUUAGGUUGGGUUCUUAAUCAAGUACCUAACCUUUUUUGCAAUCAAAUAAAGCUUUAGUGCAAGUCAAGCAUAGUCAUCCAUCCUCCUUUAUCCUUGGAAGUAACAACCAAAACAUAAUAAUUGCUACUUGAUGUUUUCUUAAUUCGUUUUUAACAUUCUUUUAUUCCCUAUGUUUAUGGGCUUUUUAAGCCCUUGAUUGAUCCAUGAGAAUUAGGACACGUAGGUACUGGGUACUCAAUACUCAUCAUCCCCUAUGGACCAAAAUCAAAAGUUAUUCACCUUUCUUUUGGGUUUGUCCAAAAUUUUCCUGUCUCCAUCUAUAGCCUAAACUAAUGAGGCGCACGUUUCAUGGAAACGCCAUACACAAACAGAAGCACAAUCUGGUAAACUUUUGUUUAGUAAAAGCAGAGCACAGAGUAUAAUAAGCCGAGGAUUUUCUGGUAAUUCUUUGAAAAACAAGUGAUCUGAUGUUACUCUUUGGACGAUGAAUGAAAUCUGGGUUCAGGUUUUAAUAAUUGAAGAUGACAAUUGACAAGAAUUGCAGAUGCAAGUCGCAAGUAAAUAUGAAAAAUCUAGCAAUUUUUGUUGCAGACCAAAAUAUAUGAGAUCAGCCGGUUGUUUGAGAAUUUCCUCGCAGCUGGUUUAUUUUGGUUAUAAUUCGUACACCAAAUUAAACCGGAAUUCAAUACUAAACCGGGCCGAAGUUAUCUUCAGUAUGAUUUGGGUUAAUGAGUUGACUCGGGAAUAAAAAACUCUCCAUCAGGAGACGGCUGCAGGCAAAUCUAGAGAAGAAGUCGAAUUUAGAGGCGGCAGAUUACUGGGAACUUGGGAAGAACCUCGGUGGCUUGAUCGUUUGAUGUGGAAAGCAAAGCGCGUCGUGAUGAAACCCUACAAGAAUUUUGGUGGUCUCAUGGCAUAGAGGGAUCAAGGAAAGCGAAACUUUUUUACCCACCGUUAUUCAGCAUCAAACGAAAGCAGUGGUCAACUUCUAAAGCAUGAAAUGAAGAACCGGAAAAAGUUUCCAGCUUCGGUAACCCAUUUUUGCGGUAGGCUGAUCCUCGUACAUGUCUCUGGGACUUCAUCAUCAAUAUGGCUGCGCAUUCCAGUUUCCGGUAAGCAAACACAUCUCCGUGAAUCCUACGAAAAGGGGAAUAAUAUAUUCAUAAUGUCCAAAAUAUAACCAGACUGAUUGGAAGAAAAAACAGGUCGAUGGUAGUAAGCUUACCUCUUGACUAUGUCCGUCAUAUAAAAACAGAUCCAUUAGAUGCUUGUGUUCUUCUUGGUUCAGGCGGGGGCAAUGGCCAAGAUCGAAGUGUUUGAUUGAAUGAUUUGGGGAAAGGGAAACAGUCUCCAGGGAAUCGCAGCCAUGUGCAUAGAGAUGCUUGAGGCUCAGUGGAAGCUCUUCCACUGAUAUGAGUCUCUUGCAAUUAUUGAGGCAGAGAGUUUCCAAGGAUAAAAGCUCUCUGAUGCUUGAAGGCACUGUCAUAAUAUCAUGGCUGCUGAGGUUUAAAUAUGUUAAAUUGGUGAAUAAAUCCGAAAUAAUAUAACUCAAAGUACACAUCCUUGCAGUUAUCAAGCCAAAGCUCAAGCAAGCAGUAUGUGUCCAGUUCGUCCAGCAACCAUGAGAGGUUCACACUGUCAGAAAGUAUGAGCGUCUCCACCUGAGUAAGUUGUGGCAGUUCCCUAAGUUGGCGACAGUUUCGAAGGCUGAGAUACUUCAACUUGGGCAGUUGUCCCAAGGUUUGUGGUAGAUACUUGACAUCAUUUCCUUCGAGGUCAAGUGUCUCUAAGAAUUGCAAGUGGCUUAUGUCUUUCGAGAUGUAGUGGAUGUUUAAGUUUAUCAGCUUUAGCUCUGUCAAACAGGGAACAUUUUGAAAGUUGGAACAACGGAAAGGAGCACGAUUCUCAUUGUAACUAAACUGCUUGAUCUCAAGCGAUUUUGAACUGUUAGAAUCUGACAUGAGCUGAGGCAUUCCUGGUUCCUCUUCUAUCGUCAUAGACUGAUCAGGGAUCUGUUGCUUGGAACCAAAAGAGAGGUGCUCUGUUUUUCCGUUAAGGCCCAACAACUCUAUAUAUAGUUUGCCUUCGAUUGAUAGAUUUUUAAGAAACGGGAACAUCAUUGCGUUUUUCGGAAACGACAAGGAAGUUCCGGAGCUGCCUCCACAUAUGUAGUUGUUACUUAACUCAACACUGAACUCGACACCCCUAAGGAAGCAGUCGAUUGCAUUGAGUUUUUUGAGAGUAUGUAAUCUUCUUAUGGACUCUGGGAUAUUCCGUAGCCUCUUGCAGCCUUGUAUUAUCAACUCCUCAAAGUUCACGGCUGUUGAAAGAUCUGGAAGCUCUCUCAGAUUCUUCGAGCCUGUCAAAUCCAGUCUUCGUAAUUUCCUAAGGUUCUGAACCAGUACCGCCAAAGCGGAAGACAUUAUUAUUCAUUUGUAUAUAAAGAGUGAUCAAAUAUAUGAUUUAUAAAAUUAGCUUACCACCGUGCUAUCCCAGAGGCUCUCGAGGUUGCUCCGUUGGAGAUUGAGUUCGACAAGGUGGUGGUGUCGGAACGUGUGGAUGGCAAGGUUUUCAUUGGAUAGUCAUCCCAAUGUAGUAGCCUAAUAUUACGGGGAAAAUAGAAACCAUCUUCGCUGAGCUGCACGUUGGACUCUGCAUCACCCAAGUGCUUGAAGAACUUGAGAAAUUUGAUGCUAUGCAUAAUGUUGAAUACUGUAAUACUCAUAGGUAACUUAUCAGGCAUCUCACACAUGUGCAGUGUCACACCUUCAAUUUCGUCUGUACCCUGUUGAUAGAAACGUCAAAGUCACUGUCAUAAAGGUUAGAGAAAUACAUAUCCAGAUCAGCGAAAGGAUCGGAAACAAACUUACUAUGUUGUUAUCUAGGACAUCAUAGAUCUCUUUAUGAUCCCAUAGAAACCUUUGCCUGGAAGGCCUAUUCCUGGAUUCUUGGCGCACAAUUGCCUUUCCUGUUUGUACGACCAAGAAAUGCAUGUUUAUACAUCCAUCCAUCGAUAUGCUGAUAAGAGCCUUUGCAGUUAAAUGAUUCAUCCUAGGACGGCCGUCAUCAAGAAGGGAAGUGACAUGGUUGAAAGGGUAGCCGUUAAGGAGACAUGCAACAUAAAGGAAAGCUGUCUUGUCUUGCUCAUCUAAGUCGUCGUAGCUAUUUCUCAGAAUCUCCUUGACAUUCUUGUGAGGACUUGUUUCAAGUAAACCUAAUUCCUCUUCCCACUUCUUUAUGGUUGUGUUUUGUCUGAGAUAUGUGGCAUAAGUCACAAGGGCAGAGGGAAGACCGUGUGCCAGCCGAGAAGCUCUGAUGAAGAGUUGCUCAAAUCCAUCUGAAGGUGGCGGGCUUCCUCUCAAAGCUGAAAUUUUAAAUACCUGGAGGGCAUCCUUAUCAUCCAAGCACUUAACCUCAUAUACAUUGUUUACUCCACAGGAAUUGAGCAGGCCCCUGUCUCGUGUGGUUAUGAUGAUUCGGCUCCCUGGACCAAACCAGCUCGUGUCUUUUGCCAGUGCAUCUACCUGCUCUGCUUUAUCCACACCAUCAAGCACAAUAAGUAUUUUUUGGUGCCCGAGUCUUGCGAUUAUCUCCUGCGAUCUUGCUUCAUGGCUUCGAAAACCAAUAUCUAAACCACCACAAAUUCUGGAGAGGAAUCUUUCCUGUAAGUACGCAGGACUCUUGUCCUUACAAAUAUUCUUAAUGUCUUCAAUGAAAUAACGAGCUGAGAAUUGACUUGAAAAUCGGUCAUAUAGACAAUUGGCAAUGGUGGUUUUGCCUAUGCCUCCCAUACCCCAUAUUCCUAUAAAGAGAACCUGGUUUUCAGAUCCCAUAUUGAAAAUGAGAUUCAUUUUAACCAUGUGUGCUUCCAUCCCAACUAAACUGUUCAAAACAGUUGACUCCAUCCUUAGCAGCAGGUGCCUUGAGAUGCUUACAACUACUUCGUCUAUCAUCGCUGAGUCAUCAUCCCUAAUAUGGAAAACAAGUAAGUUAAUCCUCUCCAAAACAAGAAAAGGUAUACAUCAAGCAUGUAUUUCUUGCAGCAUCGCUUUUUUUUUUUCAUUCAUUGGAGUUUUUGUUGUGGAGAAAAAAUUCACAUCACAACUUACAAUAGUAUAUGUGCGAGUAAACCAACUUACAAUAGUAUAAGUGUGAGUAGAACAACCCACACAAGUACACCGGAAAGUGGAAGUCAAUAGAGGUUCAAAAAAGUCGAUUUCUUUUAUUAAUGUCAAGACUGAACUCAAAUAUAUUACAAGAGAUUUCUAACAAGCUUGAGGAACAAGUUAGGGGUUUCUUUGCAAGUAACAAAUGUAGGGUUCUUGAGGUGUCAAUUUGCGAUCCUUUGUUCGAUGGCCGAACUCCCUAUUUAUACCGAGGGUAUCCUAGUUUUCGGAUAUGUUUUUUUCCUUAUUCUUUGGGAGAGAAUCUUUCCUUUCUCCGAUUAUUUCAUUAUUCAAGUAGAUCUUUGAGUUAAUCCUUCCAUUUUUGUUUAGGUCGGUUGGAGUUAGUUAUUGCCGAGUUAAUCGUGCUUUUGACGUAAAGCCGAUCCAACCACUGGACCAAAUCGGUGGGAUACUUGGUUUAUUUUUGGUUUAAAUCGGGUUAAUCGGAUGGUGCUAAACUACAAUAUCCUACAAUAUAUAAGGGAUAUGAGCCAGUAUACUAUUGUCAACUGGUUUUGAGUUGGAAAUGUAAGAAACUUAACAGCUUCAACCGGUAACCAUUAAAAGAACAAAUAGAAAAUGAAUAAAAAAAACAAUACAAAUAGAGAAGCACGGACUCGCACUCGGGCACAGAGAUCACAAUGGAAUCGACCAAGCAGGAAUUUUCUCAAGUGUAAUUAUGAUUGCAAAUAUGCUCAGGGAGGGAACGCUAUUCAAGCAGGCUGGAUAUUCCGUGAUUCCGAUGGUUUUUUUGUGAGAGCAGAGAUAAGUAAGGGUGAUCAUUGUUCCUUGGUAGUAGAAGCAGAACUCCAAAGUUUACUCAUGGCGAUGCAACACGCGUAGAUACAAGGUUAUAGGAGAGUCAUCUUCGAAGGGGAUAAUAUUACUGUCUUUAGACUAAUCACAGGAGAAACAAGAAACUUUCGAUUACAUAAUUGGAUUAGAGAGAUUAUUUCAUGGAAAUCAAGGUUUGUCACUGCAGAUUUCCAGUGGACAAGAAGACACAACAAUCAAGCUACAGAUAGAUUGGCAAAAGAAACUUUAAGAGAUACUUCAAGCUUUAUAUCCUAUUUCUAUGUUCCAAGCUUUAUUGUAAACAUCCUCCAUGAGGAUCACAUUUCGAGUUAAUGAAAAGCAGAUGUUAAAAAAAAAAAAAAAAAAAAAAAAAAAAAAACAAAACAAUACGUAAUGGAACAAACAAUUUUUGAGGAACGAAAAGAAAAAUAUGCAGAAAAGGAAUAAAAAGUACCAUUAUGAUGAAUGAUAACUAAACAAUAAAAAUAUUUUUAAAAAUACUGGGAGACUCACAAAAAUGUCUCUUUUUCAAUACCCCUUUUCAAAAAUGCCCCAUUUGGCUGUCCAUUUUUAAAAAUACCCUUUUUUAUGUACAAAAUGACUAAAUUACCCUUCUUUUAAUAAAAGAUAUCACAAAUAUAUAAGAAAAACAUGAGAAUGUGCACACAUCAAAAUUACAAAUUUGAAUUUGUAAAAACUUGUAAAAUUUUCCCGUAAAAAUUUUUUCCACCAAAAAAUUUUCUCGCCAAAAAACUUUUUUUUGCGGGAAAAGUGAUUCCGCAAUUUUUUUGGCGGGAAAAAUUUACAAGGUAUUUAAAGGUUUUUUACAGGGUAUUUAUAAGGUUUUACAAUGUAUUUUAAAAGGUUUUACAACGUAUUUAUAAGAUAUUAUAAGAUUUUACAAGCUAUUUUAUAAGGUUUUACAAGUUAUAAGGUUUUACAAGUUUUUUAGAAGGUUUUACAAGUUAUAAAUACUUUAUAAAACCUUAUAAGUACCUUGUAAAACCUUUUAAAAUAUAUUGUAAAACCUUACAAAACAGUUGUAAAUACUCUGUAAAACCUUUAAAAUACCUUGUAAAUUUUCCCCACCAAAAAAUUGCAGAAUCACUUUUCCCGAAAAAAAAAAUUUUGGCGGGAAAAUUGCGGGAUCAUUUCCCGCCAAAAAUUUCCGGGAUCACUUUUCCCGCCAAAAAAAUAUUUUGUAUUUUGUGGACCUAAUUUUGUUUCAAAUAAGGGUAAAAUGGUCAUUAAAAUUAAAAAAGGGCAAACUUAAAAAUGGACUCUCAAAGGGGGCAUUUUUGAAAAGGGGUAUUGAAAAAGGGGCAUUUUAAACAAUUUCUCAAAAAUAUAUUUAAUAGUAAAUAAAUCAAAUUCAAUGAAAAAUACUAAUAUUUUUAUAUUUAAUUUUAAAUUAAAAUUUGUGAACUAAAUUUAGAAAUAUCAUGUUAAAUAAUAAUAGUUAAUAUUAACAUAAAAUAGAAUUGUAAUAGUGAUUUAAAAGAUAUUAUUCUUUUAUAAUAAAAACAUUUUUAAAUUUAUUUUAUUUAUAUAAUUUUCAAAUAAAGUGUUAAGAGUAGUUUAGCAUAAAAUUCUUUUCAAAAAUAUUUUCCCUGUUAAUAUUGCGAAGAUAUGCAAAUUAGUAUAUACUAAAAUACAAAUAUUAUUGAUAAACAUUAUUUUUUUAUUUAUUUUAAAAUAAAAACCCAAUUUUAAUAUUUGUUUUUUUUUGUUCUUUUUUGUUCCUCAUCAAUUUUGGGAAAAAAAAAUUUUGUUCUAUUGUUCCUCAUUCGGUGAGGAAUGUAGAGGAAUGAUGAUGUGAAAAAAACAUUAUUUGUAAAUUGUAAAAAUAUUGGGGAACAAAGAAGAAUAUUCUAGAUUUACUAUUGUGAUAAAGAUUAAGAGAUUUAGAAUAUUUACUUAUUAUGUUUAUAUUUAUUUUCUAAUCUAAUUAGAUUAAACGUAAGUUAGUCUACAUACAUUGUACCAACUCUCUUGACAUCAAUAACUUCUUCUCAUUCUUUUCUUAAAUCAUGGUUACCAAUUGAAACCAUCAUAUAUUUAUUUAUUUCUUGAUUCCCUUCACUUGAUAACUUGAUUUUCAAUUCUAGGAUCAAUACUAUUCGGCGAAGUUAAUUAAAGACUAACAAUGGAGAAUUGCAAAGGUUGUAAAUGGCUUAAAAUUGACUUUUAAGGUGUUGUCUUCUCUUUAAGAAUAACUAUUAUUGGAGAUACCUUGGGGAGCAAGAUGCUAUCUUGGGGUUAUGGACAGUCAAAAUCCGUUCAUGAAAUGAACCCGUGAAGCCCAAACCGAAGAAUAUUCUAGUACUAUUGUGAUAAAGAUUAAGAGAUUUAGAAUAUUUACUUGUUAUGUUUAUAUUUAUUUUCUAAUCUAAUUAGAUUAGUUAGUCUAUAUACCUCUUGACAUCAAUAACACAUAAUAAAUAGUCCCCUCCCUCCCGGAAAAUUCUUCUCUAGUUUCUUCAACUAUUUUGAUCCUCAACCAAAAGAAAAACAUGUCUAGGGGUUACCUCUAAAAACAAAGUAAUGUUUCCAAUCCAAGCGCUCAAAAGAUAUAGAUAUUGAAUUUCUUUCGUGGGCCAUUUAGCAUACUGAAUUCAAAUAGAGAGCUAUUGUCUUUAACUUGUUUUAAGAAAAUUCAUGAAGCAGUUGAAGAUAAAUAAAGAAAGUAUAAGAUUAUGUACCGGUUUACUAAACCGAGUUAAUUACAGUUUGUACCGGUAAACCGGAUGUAUAAAUACUCUAUCCCUUGUAACAGAUCAUUUAGUGAGAAUAACAACCUUUUAUCGAUUCUUUCGUUUUCUCACGAACACUAACAUGGUAUCAGAGCACAAUUGCUCCGUUUUUCGUCGCAAAUCUCGCUGAUUCUUCGAGUUUUCUCGUAGAUCGCUUCAUUUUCAUCAUCUCCAUCUUCGAUUUCAUCCAUUUCCAUCAAUUUUUCUUCGUUUUCUUUAAAUUUUCACUUCUCCGAUCAAAAUCCGGUGAAUACGAUGGUUUCCGUUUAUAAUUUACGGCGUCGUACGGUGCGAUCACGUCGUUCAGCUGAAAGAACUUCUCCGAUUCGAUCAACAACUCCGAUUUCAUCACCAAUUGCUCCGAUUUUCACUCAAAUGGCUUCCGAUCCUCCGAUUGAUUACACGGAUUUGUACUCGCCUUAUUCUUUGACGAAUGGAGACAAUCCGGGGAAUGUUAUCAUCACUGAGGUACUAGAUGGAACCAAUUACUCUUCUUGGACUAUUGCUAUGUCUGUUGCACUCGAUGCGAAGAACAAAAUGGCUUUUAUCGAUGGGAUCUCUUCCUCGACCUCUUGCUACAGCCACUAGUUUUCGUUAUUGGUCUAGAUGUAACAGCAUGGUAAAGUCUUGGAUCUUGAACACGGUUAAUAAGCAGAUCUAUAAAAGUAUUCUUCGAUUUGAUGAUGCGUCUGCAAUUUGGAAAGAUUUGAUGACCAGAUUUCACAUUACUAAUCUUCCUCGGUCAUACCAACUUACUCAACAAAUUUGGUCGCUACAACAAGGUUCGAUGAAUCUCUCUGAUUACUAUACUACUUUGAAAACUUUAUGGGAUGAUCUUGUUGGUGCCAGUUGCAUUGGAACUUGUCAUAACUGUAAAUGUUGCAAGAUUGUUGAUACGAGUAAUGAACAUGCCAAGAUUAUCAAGUUUCUUGCUGGUUUGAAUGAGAGUUAUGCAACAGUUAGAAGUCAGAUUAUCAUGAAGAAGACUGUACCUGAGCUUGCAGAGAUUUACAAUUUAUUGGAUCAAGAUCAUAGUCAACGCAGUAUUGGCUCAACUUCUCAUGUUUCGAAUGCUUCUGCUUUCAAUGUUUCUGUGUCACAACCGGCUUCUGUUAAUGCUGCUCAAUCAUCCUAUCACACUAAUCCACGACAGCCUAAGGUUCAAUGCUCUCACUGUGGUUAUUUGGGUCAUACUGUGGAUAAGUGUUACAAAGUUCAUGGAUAUCCAUUGGGUUUUAAACAUAAACAAAAGUUUGGAUCUGCUCAGAACACCACUACUCAGCCUGCUAAACCAGUAGUUGCCAGUCUUACUUUGAAUGGUCAAGAUACUACUAUUGGUUCUACUGAUAUUGCUGAUCUUGUUGGAGGAAUGUCUAAGAGUCAGAUACAAGAUGUUAUUGCCUACUUUAGCACACAGCUUCAACCUAAUGCACAGCCAAUUACAGUUGAUUCAAGUUCAACUAGUAAUAUUAAUGGUUCUGCAAAUGCUGUUGCUUCCACUUCUACUGGUGUCACUGGUCCUGCCCCCACUGGUAUUUCAUUCUAUUUUUCCACACUUUGUUUUAUUGGUAUUUUGACAGCCUCUAGGAGUGUACUAAGUUCUCAAACUUGGAUAAUGGAUAGUGGAGCAACCCAUCAUGUUUCUCAUGAUAAGGAUUUGUUUACCACUCUAUCUUUAGCUUUGAGUUCUUCAGUUACACUUCCUACUGGUAAUAAUGUCAAGAUUGCAGGUGUUGGGAUUAUUCAGCUCAAUGAGCACAUUAUUCUCAAGAAUGUAUUAUAUAUCCCUGAGUUUAGACUCAAUAUCUUGAGUAUCAGCCAAUUGACCAGAGAUAUGGGUUCACGGGUAUAUUUUGAUGAAGAUGAUUGUGUGAUACAGGAUCGUAUCAAGGGAUGGAAGAUUGGCAAAGGUAAGCAAGUUGCGGGUCUCUAUGUGCUGGACAUUGAUGCAUCUUUGCUGGAUACUCCUAUUAAUGUCAAUCAAUCCUUUUGUUCUUCUGUUGUUGUUGAUGCUGCCAUGUGGCAUAGUAGACUAGGACAUCCAUCCUAUUCUAAGAUUGAUCUACUUCACAGUGUACUUGGUUUACAUAAAAGUAAUAAAGAAAGUUCUCCACAUUGUGAGAUUUGUCACCUUGCUAAACAAAAGCGUUUACCAUUUGUCUCACACAACAAUAUGUCUUCUGCUCCUUUUGACUUGAUUCAUAUCGACACUUGGGGACCGUUUUCUGUUCCUUCUAUUGAUGGUUACAGAUACUUCUUGACGAUUGUUGAUGAUCAUAGUCGAGCAACAUGGGUGUAUAUGAUGAAGACUAAAGAUGAAGUACUAAGAGUUUUCCCGGAGUUUCUGCAAAUGAUAGAAACACAGUUUCAGAAACAAGUUAAGUCUGUGAGAUCAGACAAUGCUCCGGAGCUCAAGUUUGUGGAAUUAUACAAAAAGAGAGGUAUUAUUUCAUAUCACUCUUUUCCAGAAACACCAGAGCAAAACUCUGUAGUAGAAAGGAAACAUGGUCAUAUACUGAAUGUGGCAAGGUCUCUGCUAUUUCAAUCACAUAUUCCACUUGAAUACUGGUCAGAUUGUAUUCUCUCUGCUGUCUUUCUCAUCAACAGAUUGCCUUCUCCACUACUAUCUGAUAAAUCACCAUUUGAGCUUCUAUAUGGUAAAUCUCCUGACUACAGUUCUCUGAAAGUUGUUGGUUUUUUGUGUUACAAAUCUACAUCAACUCAUCAAAGACAUAAAUUUGAACCAAGAUCAAGAGCCUGUGUCUUCUUGGGAUAUCCUGCGGGCUACAAAGGGUAUAAGCUUCUGGAUUUAGAAUCACAUCAGAUUUCUAUAUCACGACAUGUGGUUUUCUGUGAAACUUUGUUUCCCUUUGCUAAUAAUCCCAUUCCAGAAGAUUUGUUUGAUAUUCCUACUAAAGCUCAGAUUGAUGAAGUGAUUAAUGCUGAAGAAGAAGCAGUUGUUCUUAAUGAAAGGAAAAGCUUAGCAGAUACAGUGGAUCUAGAAUAUGUUGAAAGAGAAGAAGAAGAAGAGACAGAGAUUUUACCACUGGUAAAACGAGCAUCUUCUAAGAGAACAAGUAAGCUUCCUAUGCAUCUUAGAGAUUAUUACUGCAACAAUGUUUCUGAUGUGAGAUAUCCUAUUAAUGCUUACAUAAAUCUCUGUCAAAUAUCCUUGGAUCAUCAAGCUUUUGUGUGUGCUAUAGAUGCUUAUUCUGAACCAAGUAGUUAUACACAAGCUAAGAAGAUUAAAGAAUGGAUUGAUGCCAUGGGUUUUGAAGUAGAUGCUCUUAAGGAGACAAACACGUGGUCUGUUUGUUCUCUUCCUGAAGGUAAAAUUCCCAUUGGUUGUAAAUGGGUCUACAAGGUCAAGCUUAAUGCUGAUGGUUCUCUGGAACGUUUUAAGGCUAGACUUGUAGCAAAAGGCUAUACUCAGAUUGAGGGAAUUGAUUUUGUGGAUACUUUCUCUCCAGUUGCUAAGAUGACAACUGUCAGAACACUUUUAGCAGUCUCUUCUGCUAAGAAUUGGUUUCUGCAUCAGUUGGAUAUCUCUAAUGCCUUCCUUAAUGGCGAUCUUGAUGAAGAGAUCUAUAUGAAGUUGCCUCCAGGUUAUUCACCAAAAGAGGGGGAAUCAUUGCCUGAGAAUGCUGUGUUACGACUACACAAGUCCUUAUAUGGUUUAAAACAAGCCUCUGGGCAAUGGUUCUUAAAGUUCAGUUCUACAUUGAUUUCUAUGGGUUUUACUAAGUCACAUGCAGAUAAUACAUUGUUCAUUCGCCAUACAAAGGAGAAUUACAUUGCCUUACUAGUGUAUGUCGAUGACAUUGUCAUUGCAAGUAGCAGUGAAGAUGCUCUGCAACAGCUGAAAUCAGAUUUGGCAAGCUGCUUCAAACUUAGAGACUUAGGCCCUCUGAAAUAUUUCCUUGGAUUGGAGAUUGCACGGAACAGUACAGGGAUUUCAAUAUGCCAAAGACGAUAUGUUCUAGAACUUCUUGAAGAGACUGGAAUGCUUGGUUGUCGACCUUCUUCUAUUCCAAUGGAGCCAAGUCAGAAGCUUACUGCUUAUAGUGAUGAACCACCAAUUGAUACUCCAGAGGUCUAUAGAAAGAUGGUAGGUAAAUUGAUGUACCUCACUAUUACCAGACCAGAUAUAAGCUUCGCAGUCAAUAAACUUUGUCAGUUUUCUUCUACUCCUAAGAAGUCUCACCUUAAUGCCGCAUACAAGGUGCUUGCUUAUCUCAAAGGAACAGUUGGCUUGGGUCUUUUUUAUCCUUCUGACUCAGAUCUUCAGCUCAAGUCCUACACUGAUGCAGAUUGGUCUAAAUGUCCAGAUACAAGUCGCUCAACUUCUGGCUACUGCAACUUUCUGGGAAAUUCUUUAAUCUCUUGGAAAUCUAAAAAGCAGGAAGUCGUUUCUCGUUCAUCAGCGGAGUCUGAAUAUCGUGCAAUGGCCUUAGCAGGAUGUGAGAUUUCUUGGCUGGUCAAUCUCUUAACAGAGCUACAGGUACCUCAACAUAAUCCUGUUCCUUUGUUCUGUGAUUCUACCGCAGCUAUAUACAUUGCAAACAAUUCGGUCUAUCAUGAAAGAACCAAACACAUAGAACGAGAUUGUCACACCAUCAGAGAAUGUAUUGAAAGUGGCUUGAUCAAGACUCUGCAUGUGCGCACACAUCAUCAGCUAGCAGAUGCUUUUACAAAGCCUUUAUUUCCGACUCUGUUCAGGGAUCUCAUUGGCAAGAUGAGCUUACUUUCUAUCUUUGGCUCAUCUUGAGGGGGAAUAUAAGAUUAUGUACCGGUUUACUAAACCGAGUUAAUUAGAGUUUGUACCGGUAAACCGGAUGUAUAAAUACUUUGUCCCUUGUAACAGAUCAUUUAGUGAGAAUAACAACCUUUUAUCGAUUCUUUCGUUUUCUCACGAACACUAACAGAAAGAUUACCAUUCCGUGGAAUGAAUGCCUGAUAUAUGACUAAUUUGGUUGAGAGCUCUUCUCCAUUGGGAAGCCCUAUUCGGCUCCCUAUCUUCGUGCUUUUGAAAGGCAGCCGCGAAUCUUCCUUUCUGGUGUCUCACGUCAGAAGGAUCGACUCUGUAGAAGAUGGGAACCACAUGAAUCCGAUUCACGCUAUGAAGCUCCAUUAUCAAUCGGAGCUCCUCCAAGCACCAUUGCGAGGUAGCAUAGUUCUCCGAGAUGAAGACAACAGCGACCUGUGAAGUUUUUAUGGCUUCGAUGAGCCUUUCCUUAAUUUCGGAUCCUGCCCCGAUCCCCUGAUCGUCUUUAUAAGUAAGAAUUCCCUGGCGUAUAAGAUCUUUAUACAAAAAGCUGACUACGGUGCGCCGAGUGUCUUUCCCUCUGAAACUGAGGAAGACAUCAUAGUUGCUCCUAACAAGAGUUGACAAGGACGAGGAAGCCAUCACCGAAUAUUAUGGCGUUUGAGACUUAUAAGAGAGCUAUCUAUCUGAAAAAUUGGAAAAUUAUUUGUACUCUUCUAUAUAUGUUAGAAUUACUGGGGGUUGGAUUCUAGCUAGCCCAGGAAAGAGUGCCAAGGUCAGCGUUUACUUUCACAUUAAUCCAACUUGACCACUUCCCUUUUAUGUUUUAAUGUACCCAAUUGAACUGCCUUGCACGUUCAACAUAAGAAAUUGUAUUUUGACGCAGCAAUUUCAUAUUUAAAAAAAUCCAUCGUUUACUAUGUCCAAGUAGGGGAUCUUCUUCUGUUCCGAAGUGUGUAUCUCCCCGUCGUAGUCUCUGAAAUUCUCAUCUCUUCAGCGAAAGACAAUCUACACAACCUUUCUUAAUGUCUUCCUCUUCUUCAUCUCUUAUCCCCAAGUUUGAUGUCUUCCUAAGUUUCAAAGCAGAAGACACCACCAACAUAUUUGUAUCAGAUCUUCACCGUUCGUUGUCAGAAAAAGGCAUUACAACUUAUCAAAAAGAUGAAAAACAGGAGGAGAAAGACUCCUCCGUUGUUUCUGACCUAAAGAAAUGUAUCAUAGAGUCAAAACUCGCCGUUGUAGUGGUCUCAAAGAGCUAUCCAACUUCUGUUCUAUGCCUCAACCAGCUUCAAACAAUCAUAAACUUUCACGAUGAAGGUCAACUCUCUGUCCUACCCAUCUUCUACGGAGUUGAUUUGUCGAAUAUAAGAAAUCAGACUGGAGAAUACACAGAAGCUUUUAGAAACCUUGCUGAAGAAUUUUCACCUGAGAAGGUUCAAGCAUGGAGGAGUGCUCUUGCCAAACUCACCAGUGUAUCUAGCCUGGAUUCACGUUUUUGGUAACUAUGUUUCAUAACAUGAUUAAAACCACAUGAAUAGAGUGAUUACUUUAGGACUUAGUUGUACGCUAACACUUUGUUACAUAUAUGGUACUUUUUUAUUUCAAUCACAGGAGCAAAGAAGAGACGAUGGUAGAUUUGGUUACGAAUGAAAUCUUGCUUAUGGUUUCAAAUAAGCCGAAUAGUCCAUCAACAACCAAAGCAGAUGGACAUGUCGCAUUGGAUCGUCAUAUGCAAGCGAUAUAUUAGUUACUGGAUUUAAAAUCUAACAAGGAAGUUCGUUUGGUCGGCCUUUGGGGUCCCGGAGGCGUUGGCAAGACGACACUAGCGAGAUACGCGUACGAAGAACUGUCUACCAAUUUCCAUGUCCGUAUGUUUUUAGACAACACCGAAAAGAUCUAUCACCAAGACAAUCGGGAAACAUUCACAUCAAGAGAGACUCGAGAGGGGUUUCAAAAGCUGACAAGGGGAAUAAAUGAGAAAAGUACUGCAGGUGUGAUCAAAUCAGCAGUUAGACACCGAAAAGGUCUACUUGUGGUUGACUGUGUGGAUAAUAUCGAACAGUUAAAGGACAUAGCAGAGAUCGUUCGUUGGUGUGGUUCAGGAAGUAGAAUCAUCCUUAUCGCACAGGACGAGAAUUUGUUAGAUAAAUUUGGUAUGGAGCAUGUCUAUGAAGUGUCCCUGAGAUACGACGAAGCCCUUCAAAUCUUCUCUCAAUCUGCCUUCAAACAGCAACACCCUCCUACCAGUUUUGAAUCACUCUCCCUUCGUGCUAUCCAGAUUGCCAGUUUCCUUCCUCUGACUCUUAAAAUUCUCGGUUCGUUUUUACAUGGCAAGGAUGAAAAGAGUUGGGAGGAGGAGCUGCAAAAUCUUGAAGGAGACCAAGAGAAAACUAUAAUGAAAGUUAUGAAGAAAAGCUACAAAAUCGAAAAUGAGAAGGAGCAAAUCUCUUCAUUUAGUGAUGAUUAUAAGGAAAAAUUCACCUGAAAAGAAAAGGUGUUUGCUUUUUCAAAUGUGAACAUGUGAUAGAUGUAUUUUCAUAAUGUUUGAUGUAGCAUUUUCACUAUAAAAGCGAACUCUUCUGGGCUUGUCUAAUCUAAUCAAUAAAGACGCCCAUGGUACAAAGAGGUAGCAACUUGGUCAAACUUGCUCAAUAGAAGGCAAAAUACUGCAUAGAGUGACUUUCGUAAAGUUAAGAAUCUAAAAGUACUCACGUCAAUCAAAAAGUUAGAUUCUGAAACGAAAAUCAAAGGUAGUAGUAAGUAGUAACAUACCAAAACAAGAAUUUUGCGAUGUUAUUAGGAAAAGGAAAAAAAAAUCAAGGCCGUCAUGCUCUGUUUGUUGUAAAACCCGGUUGUUUAGGAAUGAUGUCCCAUCGCUGGUUAAUUUUUGGUUUUAGUUAGAAAACACAAUAGAACCAAAAACAACCAAACCGAUUAUAAACAUAAACCUCAAAUUGACCCAAACCAAGCCGAAGUCACACCGGAUUUGCUUCGUCAAUAAUGCGAAUUCCACAAGCUCUUAUCUCGCCUAGUGGAAACUGAAACUCCUCCUCUGGAAAUUGAAGAUGGGAUUCGAGUCGCAACUCUUCGAUUUUCUCGGUGUUUAAGCUACUCGGGACGUGGAUGAUAACCAGGUGAUGUGAUGCAACAGUUUCUUCUUCCUCAAUCUCCGAUGAAUGAUUGAGAUUUGGUUUGAGGUUAAUCCAAAUUACUUCAUCAGCUUCGCUGUUCCAGUCAUAACUAAACGCUGGGAAUUGGAGAUUGAAGGACCUCUCACAAGAAAUCAAGAUACAAGCAGCAAAACCCAGAAGGGUCGGUGUAAACAGGCUGAUCUUCGUAGAUGUUCCAUGGGAUUGAUUAUCGAAAUUUCUGGGCACUUCAUUUCCGGGUAAGCAAAGAAAUCGUUGUGAAACCUAGAAAGAAUUAAAAGCGAAUUGUUUCAUAACAGAGGAUUAGAAGAAUCGAAAAUAGCAAUUAACGAUAGCAGGAAGCUUACCUCUUGGCUACAUUUGUCGUUUAGAAACAAUGUAAUCAGUUGCUCAUCUUGUUGCAAACCGAAGCAAUGGCUAAGAUCGAGGUGUUUGAUUGAAUGAUUUCGGGAAAGGGAUACAUUUUCCAGGGAAUCGCAGCCGUGUGCGUAGAGAUGCUUGAGGCUUUGUGGAAGCUCUUCCACUGAUUUGAGUUUCUUGCAGUUAUUGAGGCACAUAGUUUCCAAAGAUGACAGCUCCUUGAUGCUUUCAGGGAUUGCGUCAAAGUCGUGGCUGCUUAGGUCCAAGUGUAUUAAAUUGGUGAAACGGCUAAGCUGUUCUGACAAUGCUUGGAGAUUCUUGCAGUUAUCAAGCUCAAGCUCUAGCAAACGGAAUCUGCCUUCAUCUUGAACUGCACAAGGAAGUUCCAGCAGUGAUUCGAGGUUGGAACAGCCGGAAAGCUUGAGCGUCUGCAACUCAGUCAGCUCUGGAAAUGUCUUGAGUUUGAUGCAAUUAGAGAGCCUCGCGUAUUUCAACUUCGAAAGGUUCUUCGUUGAUGCGGGUAAACUCCUGAAAUCAUUUCCGCUGAGGUCCAGUUUCUCUAGUGACUGCAUUAGACCAAUGUCGACUGGGAUUUUCUGGAUAUUUAAGUUGAUUAGAUUCAACUCUACCAAGCACGGGAAAGCUGAGAAGCUAAUGCAUCGGAAGGGGACACCAUCUGCGCUGUAGCUAACUCGCUUGAUACUUAGCGAUUUAAAAUCAUAGAAGCUUGAGAUGAACGGAAGUCUUUCCUUUGGAAUUACCAUAUAUUCCUCAGGAAUUUGUUGCUCGGAAAUAAAGGAGAGAUGCUCUGCAUUGCCCAUGAUAUCCCACAACCCGAUGUUUAUUUUCCCCUCUAUGGAUAGGUUUGCCAAAGAAUUUAGUUUCUUUACUGCUCUGGGAAGUCUCAAUAUUAUUUGCCGCCGUCGCCUGAGUCCAGGUUCUCGGAGGACAAUCUUUUCUGAUAUAUGAAUCUGAAGAUUCGUUAAGCCAUCACAAUUGGAUAAAUCGAGUUUCCGCAGGCAAGAUAAGCUUCCAAUGGACUCUGGAGUUUGCUUCAGUCUUGUACAGCCUUUCAUUAUUAAAUCCUUCAGCAGUGCGGCCCUUGAAAGAUCUGGAAUUUCGGUCAGAUUCUUUGAGCCAGUAACAUCUAGUCUCUUCAACUGACCGAGGUCCUGAAUAUAAGACAAAAAAAGAAGAAGGUGAAAUCUUAGAUACUUUUUAGUAAAUCGUGACACCUUUUAGUUGCUAUAACAGACUCAACACCAACGUGUUUCGAUAGCUUACCAGGGUUCCAUCCCAUAGAUGCACAAGACUGCUGUAACGCAAAUUGAGUUCAACCAGACAAUGCGGAUAGUAUCCAGGAGGCAAAGUUGUCAUAGGAUAGGAAUCCCAAUGUAGUAACUUGAGUGUGUUGGGAAGCAUAUCUGUGCCUGGAAGGAACUUCAGUUUGGACUCUUUGUCAUUCAAAUGCAUGAAGGCUUUGAAGAAUUUGAGAUUGUUGAUCGCGUUAAGAACGUUUCCCUCGAUAGACAACGCUUGAAGCAUCUCACACAUGUGUAGUGCUACACCUUCAGUCGUUGUUGUACCCUGAUGAGAGAAUUGGAGUCAGCUGAAAUGAAGACAAUACAAAUAUGACCAAAACCAGGGAAUUUUUUUAAUCUAAAUGUGUUUUAACACUUACUGUGUUGUUUUGUAGCACAAAGAUGAUUGGAUCAGUUUUCCACAAAAUUCUUUGUCUCCAAGGCAUGGAGCCAGAUUCUUGGCGCACAAUUUCUCUUGCUGCUUGUUCUAUCAAGACAUGCAUGGUGAUGCAUCCAUCAGGUGAUAUUUCUAUGAGAGACUUCGCUUCUAAAGCUUUUGUCCUUAUGUCACCAUCAUCGAUAAGGGCAUUUACACGCUGGACAGAGGUUCCAUUGAAGAGGCAUGCAACGUGAAGGAACGCAGCCUGUUCUUGCUCAUCUAAACCGUCAUAGCUAGUUUUCAAAAUAUCCAUGAUACUUUGAUGGGGAACUGUUUCAAGAAUACCCAAUGCCUUUUCCCACCCUUCUAUCCAGGUAAUCCGGCGGAGAUAUGUGCCAAAAGCUUCGAGGGCUGAAGGAAGGCCUUGAGCGAGCCUAGAAGCACGGAUUGAGAAUUGCUGGUAGACAUCAGAAGGAGCUUGCCCUCCUUCAAAAGCAACCUGUUUAAAGACCUGGAUAGCAUCACCGAUGUCCAAAAAGCUGACAUGGUAUAAUAAUCUCACUCCAAAGGAGUAGAGCAAGCCAAAGUCUCGUGUAGUUAUGAUGAUUCGGCUCCCUGGUCCAAACCAGCCAGUAUUUUUUGCCAGGGCAUGCAGCUGGUCCACGUUGUCCACAUCGUCAAGGACAAGGAAAAUUUUAUCCUUAAGCUUUGACUUGAUACAACUGCAUCCUUUCUCCACGCACCAUAGGGUCUCUUGUUUCUUUCCUCUGAUAUUGGAAAGGAGCUUUUUCUGCAAAUACGGGAGGCCAUUCUUUGCAGCAAUCCUAACGUUUUCUAUGAAACAGUAAUGAGCAAAUCGACGUGAAUAUUUUUCAUAGAGACACUUGGCUAUGGUGGUUUUCCCGAUGCCUCCCAUUCCCCAGAUUCCUAUCAUACGAACCUCAUCCUCCGAUUCAAUACUCAAUAGAGGAUUCAGUCGUUCCAUGUGAACUUUCAUCCCUACAAUAUCACUGAAGUCUAGUGGCUCCAUUGAGAACACUUGUUUUGAAAUUUGCCCAACAAUAUCGGCAACCAUCGUGGCCUCGUCCUUACUAAUGUGGAGGACAUACAAAAAAAGAAAGAAAAAGAUGUCGCUUUAGAUAGGUAACUUCAAAUAUAGUAGUUCACAAAGCAGCAUGCAGAGGAAGAGGCCAAUGAAGGAAGGGACCAAUGAAAAAGAAGGUAGCAAGCACAAUAAUGGCUGCAUUUGUCUACAUCACCCUAAUAAGCAUCGGAAUAUUUUUAUUAGACUAUGUUAACAGCUUAGCAAGGAUGAAUAUGGAUAUAUUAUGUAGAAGACAAUGCCAUGACUCAAGGAAGAACCAAGAUGGAGGUGGCAUGCAUAUAUAAGCUAAUGGGCACGGGUACGAUGAAGUAUAGACGACAGUAAGGCUCAUUCAGAGGACUGUGGGAAAGGUUUGAUAUUCUUCAUCCGCUUUCAUGGUCAUUUCUCAUGACUCAUCCUUUAUUAUAUAAAAGAGAAGUCAGUCGGCGAUUUUCGUUGCGACACGUGUAUCUUCAUUUUUCAUAACUAACAACUUAUUCUAUAUCAUCUUUGUUUGGUUCCACUAUAGAGGAUGCUUAGUAAUAGUGAUUUACAUGGAAAAUGCAGCUGAAAAGUGAAAACUCACCAAGUACUCAAAUCUUUGCCUGAUGUUCCUGCGACCUCCCUGAGAGCUUCUCUCCAUUUCUGAAUCUUUGCCGCCAUUGCUCUUUUCUUGCUUGAAAAUAGUAGCAUAACUCUUGAACAUUCGUACCUUUCUAAGGCAAAGGUUCCUCUCUGGUGUCGUACAUCGGAGGGAUCAACGUUGUAGAAGAUUGGAACGGCAGUGAGUUGCUUUUCCUUGUGAAGCUCCAUUAUCAUUUGGAGCUCGUCUAGACACCAAGUCGAGGAAGCAUAGUUCAUUGAGAUAACUAGGAUUGCAAAUUUCGAAUUAUGUAUAGCUUCCUUGAUUUCUUCUGAAAUGGAGUCGCCAAUCUCAAGUGUUUGAUCAUCUUUGAAGAUUUUGUCAAUACCCCUGGCAAGAAAUGCUCUGUGCAAAUGGCUGACUAUGCCUUUGCGAGUAUCUUCCCCUCGGAAGCUGAGGAACACAUCGUACUGCUUCACAACACGAGGUAACUCCAUCGGUACAAUGUGUAUCUGUGCAGAUUAUAUUUUUGUCUUGGGCCUUAAUAAGCAGUUAGGCCGUUGUUUUUUUUAAUGUUGAUCGAAGAAUGUUCAUGAAGAUAAAUGGAGGUCAACGUGUUUAGUUACACACUGCCAUGUUGUACAUAGGCGCGACACGCCUGAAACUGUGAUUUGAAUCUUUCAAGCUUGUGACAGAUUGGCUUAUAUUAUAAAAUCAUCAGUGGCAACAUAAUAUAGCUCUUGAAUUUCAAUCAUACGCCUGGCCAUUCUCUGUAUUAUUUUUUACUAGAUACUCGGGAAAAAAUUUCCAAAAAAUAUUGUGUGAUAGAACUCUUUUUUUUUUUUUUUUUUUUGGUAUCGGUGUGAUAGAACUUUAGAAUUCUUUUGCGUUGUUUGACCAUACGCAGAUAAAAUACGAGAUAUACAGAUUAAGCAACUUGAUUUCUAAAUACCUGAGUCAAAUGGAAUUCUGACAUAUACUCGUAUAUUCCACUACUUUAAAAAGUGUCAUGUCAAUAUCAUUCUGAUGUAAGAAUCUAUCUUCUUAUCUCAAAGAAGGGAAUGUUUCGCGUGUGUUUGUAAUAGAGAUGUGCAAGCGACGACUUCAUCAGUUGCUUUAUAAUCUUUCCAAGGAACUGUAGAACUUUCUUUGCAAAAAAUUCAAAAAGAAGGAAAGAAGAACUUAGCUUCCUUAAUUUUGCCUUUCUCCUAAUCAUGACGCACGACGUGUUCCUGAAUUUCCGAGGAAAGGAGAUGCGCAAAACUUUUGUGAGCCAUCUUCUUAGCUCGUUCACGACCAAAAACAUCACAAGUUUCAUAGUCUCUGAUCCUUUCGAGGACCCGGAUCUGAAGGCUAUGGAACAGUCGCUAGUUGCGAUCCCCGUGAUAUCAAAGAACUACGUGAUUUCUAACUUGUGGAUGGAUGAUUUGAGAAAGAUAAUAGAGUGUGAGAAGAUAGGAACUUUGACGGCAAUUCCUAUAUUCUUCCAAGUUAGUCCUUUGGACAUCUUACACGCAACAGAAAAAUACGCGGACACGCAGGAUGAGACCUUGGAGAUGGUGAGGAAGUGGUUGUACGCUCAGGUGUCCCGUAAACCUAGCUUCCAUUCCAAUGACUGGUACACUCUUUGCUAUUAUAUAUUGCUCUCCUUUUUUUGGGUUACUCAGCAAAUAUUGUUUUGAUGUGAUAUACUGGCUAUAAACUAGAAUUGUUCCUGGUCUCAAGACUUAGUAAACAAAACAAAAAAAAAAACAACUUAUUUGACAUGAAUGAUAGGGACGACGACUCCGAGCUGGUGGAUAAAAUUACGAGUUUCGUUUCUGAUAUCCUGGAAUCUUCCACAUCAAGCUAUCAAAGUACUGGUUUAAGUCCGGCUCCGAGUUUGAAGCUAGAAAGUGCGUUCAGGGUAAGCAAGUUUAUGCACUGGAGAUCUCUGUCGCUACCAAGCUCAGCUUUUACACCGAUCUCACUGUCUGCAUUCAGUCAAUUCCCCCUCCUAGACAUGAAGGGUCGCUUAGAAAAUCUGCGCGCUAUGAUAUUGCGCGUAGAGUCUAGAGCAAUUGGUAUUUGUGGAAUGGAAGGAGUUGGGAAGACAACUCUUGCUAGGCACCUUUACGAGGAGAUGGCACCACGAUUUCAGCACCAUAUAUAUAUAAAGAAUGUCAUUAACAGGUCCCAGUGCCCAUUCAGUUUACUAGAUAUGCUUGCUAGUGAAACUUUCAAGGAAAGUAGCUUCCGCGGGAGCUCUGAUAGUGCCAUCAGAGAAAUGAUUGGGCACCGGAAGGUUCUGCUUGUUGCUGAUGGUGUUGAUGACAUUAAGCAGCUUAAAGGUAUAACCAAAGACGCAAGUUGGUUUGGUCCAGGAAGUCGGGUCAUUGUAAUCACUCAAGAAAGGUCUUUGCUUACUGAAUGUGGAGUGAAACACAUCUACGAGGUUGAGUGUCCGAGAUACGAGGAAGCUCUUGCUUUCUUCUCAGAAUUUGCAUUCAAGCAGAGCAGCCCUCUCCCUGUUUUCGAAAGUCUCUCUUUUCGGGCUGUCCAUGUCGCUAAUCGUCUUCCUCUGGCCCUGAAAGUGUUGGGAUCGUAUUUACGCGAUAGGGAAAUAGAUGAAUGGGAAAGUACAUUGCGUAAACUCGAAGCAUCACGUGAUAACUAUGCUUCAGAGGUUAAGAGUUACAUCGGAGCAGAUGACUAUGCACCGAGACGUCCGAUCAAAGUGGAUCGACACAUUGGAGUGGAUGAAGCAAAUUGUUUCCCGUUAUAUUGCUUGGCUCUUGAAUGAUCAUUGGUCUUGUUCAUGAGUCUACUUCACUUGGAUUUGUUUGAAAAGUAAUGUUGUGCAUUUAGUGGUUGAAUAAGACGAACAAGGACAUCUGCUCGUCACUAAACUCUUUUGUGUAUUGGUUAUUUAUUAUGUGUGUGUGUGUUUUUUAUUUUCUCUUUUGUGUUUUUAUGAUGGAUGGAUUCAGCUAAGUCUCGUCAACACUCGUUGGAUUCAGAAGACGGAAGGCAUUAGAACUUUCGUGCUUGAAAAACCGAAUCAAACCGAAAGCCUAGCUUUCUUUUCUUGUUUCAUACGCUUUAGCGAUCUGUUUUCUUAUCCUUCCACCGAACUUGGUUGAAACAGUUUCAACACCUUCUCGUUUGCUUGUUAUUCAAUUCUUUCAAACUAAGUAUUCCUUGAUCAGUUUUACCAGCAACACCAACCGAUUCAAUCUCCACAAUACUCUUCUUCUGAGUGGUAAAUCGAUGAGCUUUCCCUGAGAUUGCCAGAUAUCUAAACAUCAUAGUCGAAUUUACUAAUCUUGGACCUUCUGAACCAGCAACUAAUAUAAAAACAGCAAAGUCGAGGUAUAAAACUCCUAAAUAGGGAAUAAACUCAGAGCAGCUCUGCCAAGCAGGCGAAGCUGAGCUCCUAGACUUGAUUGAUUGGACAUGAAAUACCCAGCACCCGGUCACGAUGAGCUGAAACAGCUUGCCAACUAAGACUCUGCCUCCACAUGUUUUGUUUUGUCACCUUGAAACACUAUUCAUAUGUAGACAAAAUGUCAACUUCCCUAAAUCAUUGAACACUGAGGCUCAGAUUUCACCAUCACAGAAUAUCAUCACCACAGCACUGCAUAUAUCAUGUUCUUCGCAUACAAAAGUCAAUACCACAAAACCAGAUUCUGAGACUGAGUUUUAUUAGAAAUACCGACCUUGUUAUAUGAGGGUGAUGUUGGAAUUUCCAUGUUAAGAGAGCAGUCUUUAGGGAAACCUUCUUUCUCUAAGUCUCUGAUAGUUGCGUUUAUCAGAGGUAAGCAGACACCAGUAGCAUCCUUAAACACACUUUCUUGGCUUUCAUCAUUCUUCCUAUAAUCGAUGUGCCGGGUACAAUAAAAGUGAUGUUUCUGUCAUCUAUGUUGAUAGUUCGUUACACUAAUGUUGUUCAGUGUUCAAUAAGACUAGCAGGAGAAAAAGGUGGUGUUGUCCCUGUUGUAUAACCUGGAUAGGGAAAAUGUGCAACCAUCAAUGCAAAAGUUGUAAUUUACGUUUAUAAUUCUUGUAUCCAUAUGUGAUUUGUAGGUCAUGUCAUUAAGGACUGAGAUUGAAGAAGAUAAAAUCUGAGACAAGACGCUUACCAGAGAUUUGACUAUUUGAGAUUAAAAUCAGUGACAUGAUUCAAUAUUAUUCUACUCAGAUUUAACCGAUAGCCACAUAAUUCAUUCACAUUCCAAAGAGAUGCGUUUGAUGAAAAAACUGGCAAAAUUCAAAGGUAGUUCAUGUAUCGGCAGAGCCGCAGAGGCAAUAGUAUCAGCCAUAGUAUUUUGGGUAAAAGAUCGUUCUUCUCAAUCAAAAGGUAUACAAAAAAAAUACAAAUUGUAUGAAUUCGAAAUAGAGAAAAAGCAGACCGACCUUUUUUCCAAUUACAAAGGUAAAAAAGCUACUGACAAACAAACAAGCCAACAAGAGCAACCCAUACUUGUAGGGAGAUCAAAUAAAUAAAAUAAACAACUGGGUUAAAUGACAACAAGACCACAAGAACAAACAAAUUCAGAAUCCAGUAAUCAGAUUUGUUGGGAGAGUUUUAGCCAAAUCAUGUAACAUAAUUUACGAUUAUGACCUUUUUCAUUGAUCAGAGUUAAAGGGCUUUGGAGAUCCAUUCCGAUACUGCGGCUUGAGUGUCCGAAUCAAUAUUUGGAAGUAGAGACAAUGGAGUCACAGAAACCUGCCAUUGCCAAAAGGAAGUAAUUUAGAAUCCAGGUAUAUUUUCCUUAGAAAUAUCUAGAGACUUAAGACUUUAACCAAACAAAAUGUUUCAUGAUGAGCGCAAGUUUUGAUUCAGAAAAGAGCAGGAUGCAGAAAAGGAGAAUGAAUGAAUGAUACAAAAAAGAGUAUGAUCAUGCCAACUUACGAAACCAUCUUCUAGAGCCUUGACAUCCAAAUCUUCAUCUGUGUGUUCUUGUUCUUUAGCAAGUAACUGCAAAUAUAUAUAAGUCGGAAUCAAAAACACAGUGGUAGACACUGAUUAUCCAAAGGAUUUGUGAAGAGAACGGUUCAAGUUUUCUUUACCUCUAGACGAAAGAAUUUCUUAACACGGGUAUCAGUUUUACCAGCAACACCAACCGAUUCAAUCUCCACAAUACUCUUCUUCUGAGUGGUAAAACGACGAGCUGCCCCCUGAGAUUGCCAGAUAUCUUAAUAUCAGAGUCGAAUAUACUAAUCUUGGACCUUCUGAACCAACAAUUAAUAUAAAAACAACAAAGUCAGAGGUUUGAAACUCCUGAACAGGAAAUAAACUCACAGCAGCUGAAGCAUCCCUGCCAAGCUGGGCAAGCUGAGCACCUAGACUUUGUUGGUUGGACAUGAAAUUCCCAGCACCAGGGUGACGGUUAGCUGAAACAGCUUGCCAACUAGGACUCUGCCUCCACAUGCUUUGUUUUGUUACCUUGAAACCCUGUUCAUAUGUACACGAAGCAUCAACUUCCCUAUACCAUUGCCUAGUGGAGUGUUGUUAGAGAUACAAACCUUGUUUGAUGAGGGUGAUGUUGGAAUUUCUAUAUUGAGAGAGCAAUCUUUAGGGAAAACGCCUUUUGCAAUGUCUCUGAUAGUUGCGUUUAUCAAAGGUAAGCAGACACCAACAGCAUCCUUAAAGUGACUUUCUUGGCUUUCAUCUUUCUUCCUAUAAUCGAUAUGAAACAUUAUGGCCAACAAUUCCAAAUAUGUAUCAGCACACAUUCGCAUGAUAUACUCACCAGUUCAACGAUAUUGACAAAGAGGGUACUCCAGAAAUCAAAGCCUCCCUGGCUCCAGCAACUGCACCUGAAUAGAACCUGGAGAAUUCUCAAAUCAGGAAACACAGCGGAGACGGCCAGACAAGGAAUAACCAUUUAUAUACAAGACAAAUGCACUUACAUUUGAUGGCCACAGCUUGAACCCUGAUUGAUUCCACUAAUUACCUGAAGAAAAUAAGCAAAGGCACAGAUACAAAAAUUACAAAAUACCAAAAUGUCAUACAGUCAAAUGAUGAGACUGUCAAAAUGCUAACCAGUAAUGGUUUUGACCAAGCAAAAAGCGCUCCAGAUAAUCCUAAUGAGAUGCAGUCCACAGAAGUCCCUGAGACAAAAGAAUAAUUUCAAAUCCUAUGAACAAAAACAGUACUCACACCACAUGUAUUAAAAAAACAAGAUCAAUCAAUCUUCUUGUUUCAACAAAGACUCCAACUUUCACAUUCGAUAUACUUAUUCGUCAAGCUUAUAGAUGUUGUGAACUUCAGAAAACUGUACUAAUAAUCAUUUCAAUCAAAUCCGCAUACCUGAAACUUCAAAGGCUGUGGCACCUUUGAUACUAACAGAGCUUACAGCGAUUGUUUCUCCAGGAGUCGUAGAAUGAGCAGAAGCUGAUUUAUCCCUGCAAAUUCCAAUUCACAGGCCUUGAGACUCACCAAAAGUUCAGAAAUUUAACAAAAAAGAUUAACCAAAACUAAAUAUAAACAAAUCAAAAUCAAAUUAACAAUCAAAAGGAGAAACCUUACGUUUGAGGAGCACAAACAUGAACAUUGUAAAUCCCUUCAAGAACCAAAGCCUCAACGAGAGAAACAAGCCCUGGCGAAUCAAUCCCAUCACCAUUCGUAACUAAAACAAUAGGUCUAGAGUCAUCGAUCUCUUCCUCCACCGCCGCAACAUCAACGGAAUCAGAUGUAGACGGAGCCUCCUCCGCCGAUCCAUCGCUCCCAACUUUUUCCUCGUUCCCUACUUUUCUCUUCGAAAGCACAUCUUGGAGAUUCGAAACAAGCGCGGCAGACAAACCAUUGUUCUUCGAGGUCAUCGUAGACAACGAGAGAAGAAACGAAGAUUGAUUUGGGUUUGUGUUGAAAGAAUCAAAAACCCUAACGAGAACACGAAGAAGAAGAAUAACAAAAUUAGAACAGAGAACGGGUCUAAAGGAGUUUUCGUAGAGAGAGAGAAAGAAGAAAAGAGAGAUACUUUAAUUGGUAGAGAGAGAAAGCUUGAAGAAGAGAUUACUUGUGAACUGUAACAAUUUGAGUUUCCUCCGCUUAGAUAGAAGAAGAAGAACAGUGACGCGCAAUUUAUUUUCAGACAAAAAAAACAAUAUAUUAUUAAAAUUCAAUCCGAAAACAUCCAAUAGGAAAUUAGGAAAUGCUUUUUUUUGCUAUGUAAAUAGUUAAUUAUGCAUUAAGACAUAUACUCUAGAUCUUGAAAAAUUAAAAUAUUUUUAUGUAUAUUAAUUGUUUUAAAAUUAAAAUAUUUUUAUGUAUAUUAAUUGUUUUACUCUUACUAUGGUCAAAAAGAUGAAACAUGUUAUAAAUGGUCCACAUCUAAUAAUUAUACAGUUAUCAGAUGUAAUAAGAAGAAUUAUGACAUACAUUUAAAGAUAUUGGAAAAAAAUAGUUUGAACCGACAACAUUAUAGUACCAUGUUGGUUGAAAAUUUUAAAAUGUUAAUUGUUGCUAGAUCAUAUGCUAGUUAAAUAUUUUUUAUUUUUGUCAAAAAUAGCCUUUUGACUUAAUUAAGUUUAGAUGCACUAUGUCAUCAAUUUGCUUUAUUACUGAAUUAGGAUAUACUAGUAAAUUCAAAUUUAUAGUUGAAGGAUAAAAUUAGCAUUUAUAAGUUUGUCUAUUUGGUAGCUUACUCCAACUAAUAAUUAAUUUUCUUAGUUUAUUGUUGCAUAUUAAUGAUUGAUGAUUUAAACCUUUAUUAAGAAUGGUAAACUAUAUUGUAGGAUCUGAAAGUCAACAAACGAAUUGGAAAAUGUCAAAACGAGAGAUGUGGAGUCAUUGUGAUAAUUGUCUUCGUAAUCAUAAAUGUCAAAGGUUUAGCUCCUUUAGUUUUGAACUUUUGAUAAUUGAAGUGAUCGUCACGUCGUGAUAAUUAUUCGAGUAUUCGAUAAUUUUUUACAUUCAUUGUUUAAAGGAAAACAUAAACAUUGACCCAAAAAAAGAGGAAGACACAUCUUAUCAAAAAAAAAGGAAUGCAUAAACCGUUGUAAAGUGAAACGAAUUGGAGUAUUUAUUUGUUUUCACCUUAUCCAUAGUCCGCUUAACGAAUUCAAAAUACUUUUUUGGUUGUCUGAUUAUUUGGGCUCUCUUUUGCUUUUAGUGUUUAGAUCUUUUAACAGUUGGCUACAAACACUUCUAGAACUUUACAGAUAUAAAAUAAUAAUUGAACAAAAUGUAAUUCAAAGUUAAGAAUGGUUCAUUUGUUUUCUUUCAUAUUUGGAUAGACUCUUAUGCAUUGCUAGGAAAAGUGUUGGGCCAAACUUAAGUAGCCCAUAAGGAUGAUGCAAAGUUGCAAACCAAGAAUAAAAAGUCUGCCUAUACGGAGUUACGGACGCCAAACAAUAUUGAAUAUUCCAUAAUACACUGCUUUGACCAAAGAAUUUAAAUUUGUUAUUAUCUAAUAAGUAAUAACCAAUUCACCUUCACUCGUUCGAAAAAUACUAAGUAUUUUUCGAACAACUUUAUAUUAUUUGGAUGGCUCAAAUAAACCAAUCCAAGAAAACAUUAUUUACAUUCGGUUAUUAAAUAGCAUUGGAAUCGCCAAAAUCAUUUUAUAUUUUUAUCCGCUAGUAUUUUUCAUGUUCAGUUAUUCGUCAAAAUCUUAUCAAACUUGUAUUUCACAUUUUGCCAUUUUAAUUUUUUAAAAUACUUACGAAAACUUUUGUAACAUUUUUUAUAUAUCAAUAUUAAAUAUUUAUACCAUUUUCCAAAUUUACUUUUAUAACUUGUCUACUUAAUUACUCUAGUUUGAAUUUUUCCCUGUUUCCGUCUACACGUCUACAAAAGUAAAUUAGUAAAUUUACAGAGAUAUUUUACAACUUUAUCGACAUUUCAAACUAAAAAUCAGAUCAAAUGUUUAGCUUAUGACUCUUUCUUCUUUUGAGUUGGUAAUAGCUCCGACUCUUGCCCUUGAAUAAGAAAACAAUAUAUCCAACGAAAAAAAUUGUAUUUGACUUAUUGAAAAAGCAAGAAGAAAUUGGUCAUGGCACUUUAAAUUGAACUGAUAAUAGUAUAGAUAAUGAAAAAUAUAUAUGGUCGAGAUUAAUUACUGUCAGGCCCGGCUCACUCAUCAGUAAGACCCGGUGCCAUACAAAAAAAAAUCCUAUCUUUAAUAAAAAAUUUAUAUAUAUAUAUUUACAAAAAGUUAUAUUUCAUAAAUUAUUUUGUAUUUUAUAGCUAUUUGGACAUGUUAUUUUUGUUUAUUAAUUUUGGGCCUCAAUAUUACCUUUUAAAAUAAAAUUUUGGGACCUUUACAUAUGAAUAUUUUAUAAAAUUUCAGCAUAAUUAAAUAAUUAAAUAAUAGAAAAACUAUGAAUUUGGACCUUAAAUUUGUUGGACCCGGUGCAAAUGCACCACUUGCACAUGCCAAUAACCGGCCCUGAUUACUGUUCGUACGGUCGACGAACAUUUGACUCGGGAAAGUAUAGUAGCAUACGUUACGUACGUUGCGAACUCGAUGACUACAUGUCUACAUUGUCUACAACGACAAAACGUAUAAAAUAUGUUAGAAUCUUUCAACGGCGAAUAUUUUCAGCAAACAAAACGUUUUUAUUAAGAGAAAUUGUUAAAAAUGCUUCUUUUUCAAUACCGUUUUCAAAAAUACCUCUUUUGAGAGUCCAUUUUUAAGUUUGCCCUUUUUUAAUUUUUAAUGACCAUUUUACCCUUAUUUGAAACAAAAUUAGGUCCACAAAAUACAAAAUAUUUUUUGGAAGGAAAAGUGAUCCCGCAAUUUUCCCGCUAAAACACUUGUAAAAGCCUUUAAAAUAUCUUGUAAAAUUUUCCCGCCAAAAAUUUAACGCCAAAAAAAUUGCGGAAUCACUUUUCCCGCAAAAAAAUUUUUUGGCGGGAAAAAAUUUUACGGAAAAAUUUUACAAGGUAUUUUAAAGGUUUUACAAGUUUUUACAAGUGUUUUGGCUGGAAAAAUUGCGGGAUCAAUUUUCCCGCCAAAAAUAUUUUGUAUCUUGUGGACCUAAUUUUGUUAUAUUUUCUUAUAUAUUUGUGAUAUCUUUUAUUAAAAGAAAGGUAAUUUAGUCAUUUUAUACAUAAAAAGGGGUAUUUUUAAAAAUGGACAGCCAAAUGGGGCAUUUUUGAAAAAAGUAUUGAUAAAGGAGCAUUUUUGUGAGUCUCCCUUUUAUUAAUUCUAAGAUACAAAUCAAGGUACACAAAUCUUCAGAAUCUGUGACGUUGCAUGCAUGUGUUAUACAAAAAAAUUAAAUAAUCACUUUAGAAUAUAUGAUUGCAACAAAAACAAUUCCAAGAUUUUAUCCAAAAUUAUUUUUUCAACUUUAGGAUGGUUAUUAUAUUGGCGUUUACACGUAAACAUGUCUCCAGAGGUAGAACAAUUCGCUGGUGAAUUAAAAGAUAAACUCGGUUUAUAAGCGUAAAUUUCCCGUGAUCUAGCAGGAUGUACGAUGCGUCAUGGACUGCGUCAUGGACCAUGCCUUCAAAAAUAUCUUUUUUUUUUUUUUUUUUUUUAAUUUUUUUUUUUUAAAUUUAUUAUUAUAAAGAAAACUGUUACAAGACAGUAUGAUAGUAAUCGUACAAUUCAACAAAGCGGCAAUGAGUAACAAAGCACAACAAAAGAUGCCAAAGCAUGACAACUAUCGAGACAAUAAACGAUUAGAAACAUGAAUCGAUUAAAUGGGUUCAGCCAAACCCACCUCGUCGACCCCGAUUCCCUCGACCGCGUCUUCCCCCUCCUCUUCCUCCACGACCCAUAUUUAUUGCCUUGAUCGGCAAUUGCAACGGUCUGUCAUGUAGAUAUUUUUCUGAAAAUGAUGACUUAAGAUUCAAAAUGAGAUCCUCAUCUGAAUCAUCCGACCCGGAAGAAAAAUCUCCUUCUGAAUCAUCUGGCAGUACCACAUCCGAUGCUAAAUCGAGCACUGCAAAUUUAUUUGAACUAGAAGCUUUGCGAAAAGAAUUAGCACUAGAUUGGACAACUGAAGCCGAGGUAGUGAUAAUUGAAAAAACCUUUGCGGGAGUAGCCAUCACAUUCGUGUCUGAAGAAGGCAGCUCCUUCGCUUCUGAAUAAUGAACGACAUCCACAUUCUUACUUGCAUCAAUAACUGCUACUGAACCCAAGUCAAUGGCAGCUCCUUCAUUCGGGAUUGAAGAGGAGAGAAACUCGGUGUUAGGUUCUACUACAUCAGUAAUCCACUGAGAUUUGCCUUUGCUCUUUGCGUGUCCAGAGGAUUUUUUUUUCCUGGGACAAUUUUCUGAAGAGUGGGAAGAAGACUUACAAUCCAGACAAGUGAUGGGUGCAGUGGGACACCGGCGGAUGUUGUGACCAACUUGGUUGCAAUGGGAGCAAAUCGGAGGGAGCCAAGGGCAAGAGACAUCCACCCUAUGGAUUUUUCCAGACUCAAACUGGACAUUCACAGCUUUAGGGAGAGGCUUAGUAGGGUCAAUAAUAGUAAAGACCUUACCCACUUCCAAGUUAGUCAUGUUGACAGUAGAUGGAUGGCAGAAGAGGGGAUGGCCAAGCAUACCAGCGACGUGUUCGAAACCUUCUUCAGAAAAGAAAUGAGGGGGAACUCCACGGAAUUCCAACCAAACAGGAGCUUCUGUAAGUUCUGGCAUUUCAGGAUUAAGGCCAGGUUCCCAUUCAGCAACAAACAUACUUUGUCCCUCAAUGUGCCAAAUCCCUUGACUAAGAACGCGUUUUCGAGUCGUUGGGCAAGGAAUUCUGAUAAGGACCGACUUUGCACCUAAACGGGAAACAGUGAUAUCACGGUACCGAUUACUCCAAAUUCCGUUGAAGAUAGCAUGAAGAGCACCCCCAGAGGGAAGGUUACCAUUGAAUUGACCAAUAAUGAAAGAUUCCCAUCUUUUGAGGUUACGAGUGAUUAAUUCAUUAGGGAUCUGAACACAAAGUUCACCAGAUUCAAGCAGAAACGGAGACCCUUUCUUUACCAUCUUACUCGAAGAAGGUCCUUUCACAACGUCAACCCAGGGACUUUUGAGAAUAGGUGAAGCUGAGUCAACCGGUGAGGAAGAGUCAAUAUCCAGAAGCUGGGCUUUGGAUCCAGGUUCAGGGAUCUUAGAGUUAGUAGCCGAACUCGCAGCAACAUUUGUUUCAACAACAAAAACAGGAGCAGUCACAGAUCCCGUGAUUGGAGGACCCAACGUUACCGUAGUAGAAACCACAGGAGAAGCCGGAGGAAUCGCAGACGAACCAGAGGCCACCGGAGAAGCCACAAGCGAAGCCGGAGGAUUCGAACCAGAAUCCACCGGAGACGCAGAGGAAACAGAAGGCGGCGGAGGAACACGAGAAGGAAUCGAAGUUGGAACAGCGGUGGGAGGGAGCUUAGGAGGAGGUUUCUUCGGCGGGGACCGCUGAGACUUCCCCAUCGGAAAGAGAGAAAGCCGCCGCCGGGAACGGCAACGGUGGAUUCGAAGCUAUUAGGUUUUGCUUUAAUCGCCCUUUAAUCGCCCAUUAAUCGCCCUUCUUUUCUGCCUUCAAAAAUAUCUUAUGCCAUGCAAAUAUAAUGGACAUUUAAUUUAUUUAAUUGUAUUUUAUUUUAAUAUGUGGUUUGCAUUUUUUAUUUUUGAAAACAAAAACAACAAUAUACAUAUAUAUAUAUAUAUAUAUAUAAUAUAAUUGUUAAAUUUCCAUGAAAUGAUUAAGCAAUACAUACACCACAGAAAACUAAACUCAACUUCUUCUUAGCUAAGCAGCAUAGAACUCAGAGUGGGCGGCUGGACUUAUCUAUAAUAAAAAUUUGAGUACCUCUAACGAAUAAAUUGGAGAUAUUCUUAUAGUUUUACCCUAAUUAUGAUCAUCAAACAAUUAGAAAAGUUUCUUGGAAAUGUAAUGGUAAUUUCAUUACCGUAAAUUGUUUUUCUUUCUUCCUCACUUUUUUUUUUUUGUCAAACUUCUUUAGAAGUUAUUAGAAUCCUCCUCUAUAAAAAGCAAACUUAAGUACUUAACUCGUUGCUCCCUUUUAAUACACUUGCUAAAUGCUCUCAAACUCAAAAGCCCAAUAAAGAGAGUAAAACAAAACAAAACAAAAAAGCAUGAACACGAUCUUAAAAAACUUAUCGUGUUUUAAGAAAAAGGUUAAAUCUUUACGAAUAUUCGAAUCCAGGUCACUAUCUUCUUCGUCUUCUUCCUCAUUCACUCCUCAAAUAUUCGACGUUUUUCUAAGCUUCAGAGGCAAAGAUACUCGCAAGAACUUCAUCAGUUUUCUCCACAAGGAGCUAGAAUCAAAAGGGAUUCGAACUUUCAAAGACGACACGGAACUAGAGAGAGGCCGUCCGAUUUCGCCGGAGCUUCUCCAAGCAAUCAAAGGGUCGAGAAUCGCCGUCGUUGUGGUCUCUGUGAAUUACCCUGAUUCAUUCUGGUGUCUCGAAGAACUCAAGGAGAUUUUGAAACUUGAGAAUCAGGGUUUGCUCACUGUGAUACCCAUUUUUUAUGAGAUUGAUCCUUCAGCCGUGAGGAGACAGAUCGGAGUAGUCGCGAAACAGUUCAAGAAGCAUGAGAAGAGAGAAAGCAAAGAAAGAGUCAAAUCGUGGAAGGAAGCCUUGAACAAAUUGGCUAACCUCUCCGGCGAAUGUUCAAAGGAUUGGUAAAAUCUCCUAAACCUUACAGAUUUAUGAACCAGGUCGAGAAUUUCAGAUCUAUAUCUGUUGAAUCGUUUCUCAAAGUUACGAUUUUUGUCUCUGUUUCUCAAAGUUUCGAGUUUUAUCUCUGUUUCUCAAAGUUAGGAUCUUUGUCUCUGUUUCUCAAAGUUAGGGUCUUUGUCUCUGUUUCUCGAAGUUUCGAUUUUUGUCUCUGUUCCUCAAUGUUAGGAUCUUUGUCUCUGUUUCUCAAAGUUAGGAUCUUUGUCUCUGUUUCUCAAAGUUAGGGUCUUUGUCUCUGUUUCUCAAAGUUUCGAUUUUUGUCUCUGUUUCUCAAUGUUAGGAUCUUUGUCUCUGUUUCUCAAAGUUAGGAUCUUUGUCUCUGUUUCUCAAAGUUAGGGUAUUUGUCUCUGUUUCUCAAAGUUAGAGUCUUUGUCUCUGUUUCUCAAAGUUUCGAUUUUUAUCUGUUUUUCAAAGUUAGGGUCUUUGUCUCUGUUUCUCAUGGUUAGGAUCUUUGUCUCUGUUUCUGUUUUAGGGAAGAUGACUCGAAGCUGGUCGACGGAAUUACUGAGAAGAUAUCAAAAAAGUUGUUCUCGGAAAAACCAAGGAAUGAUAAUAUCCUAAUUGGGAUCGACCAACACAUGGAGGAAUUGUAUCCACUACUUAAUCUGAAUUCCAAUGAAGAUGUUCGUGUAAUUGGGAUUUGGGGAAGAGGAAGUAUUGGUAGAUCAGCACUAGCAAACCACGUUUACCAAAACAUCAAACAUCACUUCGAAGCUCAUUGUUUUCUCGAAGACGUGAGACGGAUUUCACUACAUUGCCGCAAAUCUCAUUUACAAGAUGAGCUUCUUUCGAAGAUGCAAGGAGAAGGUUUGACAACAAAGAGCUGCCGUAGGUGUCUUAAGACGAUUAAAGCAAGGCUCAGGAACAAGAAGGUUCUUCUUGUGGCGAACGAUGUAGACAAGCUCGAACAAUUCGAUGCACUAGCUGAAGAAUUUAGCUGGUUUGGUCCUGGGAGCAGAAUCAUCAUUACCACACAAGACAGGCAAUUGCUUGUUUCAUCAGUGGUGAGGAGUGUCUACGAAGUUGAGCUGUUGAGAUGCUACGAAGUUCGUCAGCUCUUUAGGUCAGAUGCCUUCAAAGAAAGAGACGAUCCUGUUGGUUUCGAGCAGUCUACAUAUCGAGCCAUGUAUAUUUCAGGUCAUGUUCUUUUGACCUUGAGAUAUAUUUUCACUUUGUUGUGUGACAGAGAUCAACUCAGAGAAAGAAUAAAUGCAAUAGUACAUAGUCUUUAGAUUCAUUUGAUUUUAAAUACAAAGUGUAGAUUUAGAGGUCAAAUAAGAUAGUGUUUAGAUUCAGGAAUAUUAAAUUGAAGUGUUUAUUUGUUCCUUAGUUCUUAACAUGUUAAGCCAUUUUGUACAUCUUGUAUGUAAUACAGUUCUCCCUUAAAAGAAAUAAAGAAAACACCAUUUUUUAUAGAUUUGUCUGUACAAUUGGGGUCUUUAAAAUUUAGAACAGGAGACACAAAGUUACAGGUCUAAAGCAGACAGGAAAAAGCUUUGCUUUUGCCCUUUACAUGAUUUGUCCUCUAAUACUACUUACAGUAAUACUGGUCAAAGCCACUGACAAAUUUCUCGCCUCUUUCCUCAUAAUGAGAAACUCUCAUCUGCUUUUCUGAUUUAUGCUUUUUGGGGGUACUUGGAAAGUUGGAAGAUUCACUCACAGGCAGACACUAAUGAAAAUGUGAGCCUUUUAUUUUUGGUCAACUGAUGGAUUUUUAUAUAAGUUAGAACUUAGAACAUUAAAAACAAACUUGAGAAAAGUCUCCAAAAAGUCAUGACCAAGGAGUAUAGAACUCACUAAGCUACUAGUCGACCCACUAAACUAUGAGUCAACUGGCCUUCACAAAAGAAAGAACCUCCUAACUGAGCCAUACACUAGAAACAAACCAGCAUAAAGAGGAAAACAAUCUCUCAUCAAGAAAGAGACCUGCAAGCCAAAAAGGAUAGCUACAAGCAACAUAAGAAUUAAGACGAGAAUCCUUAGUGACACUUUGUGCGAUGAGAGAAGCUUCUUUAUUCGAUGUCUCGGAGUUUCCACAGCCAUUCUCCAUUCCAAAAUAAAACUCAAUAUCGACAAUAUUUGAGAUGACUGAAACCUGAAAGCAGGCCCUUCUCAAAAUUGUAAUGGACCUUCUGCCCAAACCUAAAAAAAAUUCAAAUCUUAGCUAGAAAUUAAAAAAUAUGGACUCUUUUUACAGAAUUUUAAAAAUUUAGGACUUUUUUAUCUAAAGAAAAUUUAGAAAGAAAAAAAAAAAAAGACCCCAGCACAUGCCCUAUGACGGGCCUGCGUGAAAGAUGGGCAAGCUUGAGGCCAACUAGAACUACAUUCUCUACAACGAAGACAACUCAUUUUACUCUGUGGCUAACCAUAUUCUCCCCCGCCUAGACAAUGCAAAGAAAAUGGGCUUCCGAUUUAGUUUUAAAGUUUGUGAACGCCCGACGACUAUAUAUGCUACAAAACAUGUCAUGAUUCCUCUCUUAGAUGUAAUAACCUUGAUGUAAUCUAUUCGUUUAAACUUGUAAUUGUUUUUUAAAUUAUCCACAUCAAUCAUCUUUGACUCAGUUGUAACCAUUCGUUUGAUCGAUAAUACAAAAAACAGUUGAAUCUUCAACCAAUCACCACUAAAUUGCAAAACACCAGAAAAGUAAGAGGAUGAUUUUUGUUCGUUAAUAUUUUAUCCAUGUUCAUUUUCUUAUUUUGGCGGCCCAUCUUAUCUUUCUGAGUAGUCGAGUGAAACAGAAGCUGACAGAAGAAAAAAAAUAGAGAAAAUGCGAGGAAAUAUACAUUUAGCAGGAAGACUCAUUAGGUCAACUCCUCUAGUGUUAGUGUGCCUAUAAAUAUCAUUUUGAGUUAUUAUUCAUAGAGAAUCAGAAAUCAAAAUGACUUCUGCUACUGCGACUAAGUACGAUGUUUUUCUGAGUUUCAGAGGACUCGACACUCGCCGCACCUUCAUCAGCUUUCUCUACCAAGAACUGGCUCGAAGGAACAUUCGAACUUUCAAAGACGACAAAGACCUGGAGAAUGGCCAGAGGAUUUCGCCGGAGCUCAAACGAGCCAUCGAGGAGUCGAGAUUCGCCGUCGUUGUUUUCUCCGAGAACUACGCUGCGUCUCCUUGGUGUCUCGAAGAGCUCGUGAAGAUCAUGGAUUUCGAGAACAAGGGUUCCAUCACCGUGAUGCCCAUCUUCUACGGCGAUACCUGUAGAAUGUGAAUAUGUAAAGGGUAGAUUAGUCUUUGUUUAAUCCCUAAUUAGCUUAUGAUUCUCCUUAUAUAUAUUGUAACAUGUAAAUCUAAAUCAAUAAGACAUUCUCAAACCUAUAUGGUAUCAGAGCUACGAUUCUCUUAACAAUAGCCGUCACACUUUCAAAUCUCAUUUCUCUUUCAAAUCGCCAUGGCUUCCUCUCCGGCCUCCUCCUCCGACACUGUGAUCACGACGGCCGACUCGCACACUGUCCUCAAUGUCAAUAUGACAAACGUCACCAAACUCACCGAUCUCAAUUUUCUAAUGUGGAGCCGUCAAGUUCACGCGAUGCUCGAUGGCCAUGGUCUCGCCGGAUAUGUUGAUGGCUCCAUCGUCGCACCACAGCCUACCAUCACCACAGAUGGUACCACCACCGUUAAUCGUGAGUUUACUAAAUGGAAGAGACAAGAUAAGCUCAUCUACGGUGCCUUACUUGGUGCGAUCUCCGUCAAUGUCCAGCCAAUUCUCUCUACGGUUGACACAUCUGCUGCGGCUUGGGAGAAGCUAGUGGAUACAUACGCUAAGCCUAGCCGGACUCACAUUCUCCAACUGCGACAACAAAUCAAACACUGGAAGAAAGGUUCCAUGUCGAUCAGCGAGUACGUACGGGGCUUUACCACACGAUUUGAUCAGUUGGCAUUACUCGGUGCUCCCUACACCCACGAAGACCAGAUUGAUUUUGUUCUUGAGGGUCUCCCGGAUGAAUUUAGGCAGGUGCAGGAUCAGAUUGCAAGCCGUGAGAGAGCUCCAUCGAUCACGGAGCUUCAUGAGAAGUUGAUUAACCAUGAGCUUAAACUUCAAGCACAAGCAUCCGUUGACUCAUCCUCUCUACCAAUCACAGCAAAUGCUGUUAACUAUCGAGGCAACGGUGGCAACAAGAACAACAAUGGCAACAACUAUCGCCAACAGCAACAACGUUUUAACAACAAGCCGAAUCAGCCUUGGCAACAAAACCAACAAUACCGACCACGCAAUGAUCAGCAGUCGCGUGGCUAUCAAGGUAAAUGUCAAAUUUGCGGUGUGUUUGGUCAUAGUGCUCGCCGUUGUUCGCAACUUCAAAUUUCUGGUGGUACUAUGUCAUCUUCGAGUCACUACUCAUCGCCUCCCAACCAAUAUUCGCCGUCUCCUGUUCCGUGGCAGCCUCGUGCUAACAUGGCCAUGGCGUCAUCAUCCUCAUACAAUCCCAAUCCUUGGAUUCUUGACAGUGGAGCAACUCAUCAUCUCACCACGGAUUUGAAUAAUCUCGCUCUACAUCAGCCUUACAAUGGUGGAGAAGAAGUCACCAUUGCUGAUGGCUCUAGUCUUCCGAUCUCGCACACUGGUUCAUCUAAUCUCUCUACCCCUACUCGUUCCCUAUCCUUGACUGAUAUACUUUAUGUGUCAAAUAUUCAUAAAAAUCUUAUCUCCGUUUAUCGCUUGUGUAAUACUAAUAGAGUAUCUGUUGAAUUCUUUCCUGCGCAUUUUCAGGUGAAGGAUCUCAGCACGGGGGCCCGAUUACUCCAAGGCCGAACUAAGGAUGAGCUUUACGAGUGGCCCGUCAAUCCAAACACUCCCAUCUCAUUUUUCGUCUCUACAACUCUAAAAACAUCUCUACCAUCGUGGCAUUCUCGACUUGGUCACCCGUCUUUUUCUAUUUUGCAAUCUCUUGUUUCUCAAUUUUCUUUACCGCUUUCUCAUUCUUCACAAAAACAGUUUCCUUGUUCUCAUUGUUUCAUCAAUAAAAGCCAUAAACUACCAUUUUAUUCAAACACAAUUACUUCUCAAAAACCUCUUCAAUACAUUUAUACCGAUGUGUGGACGUCACCAAUAAUCUCUGUGGAUAAUUUCAAAUAUUAUCUCAUUCUUGUUGAUCAUUACACGCGAUACACAUGGUAUUAUCCGUUGCGACAGAAAUCACAAGUACGGGAGACGUUUAUUGCGUUUAAGAGUCUGGUGGAAAAUCGAUUUCAAUGCAAGAUCCAAACACUCUAUUCCGAUAAUGGUGGUGAGUUUGUUGCUCUCCGACAAGUACUAGCGGCUCAUGGCAUUUCCCAUUUGACGUCACCUCCACAUACACCGGAGCACAACGGUAUUUCGGAACGCAAGCAUCGUCAUAUCGUGGAGACUGGGCUCACAUUGCUCCAUCAAGCUUCCAUUCCUACGACGUAUUGGACUUACGCAUUUGCAACGGCGGUGUAUCUUAUCAAUCGUCUACCAAGUCCGGUGAUCAACAACACCUCUCCGUAUGCAAGGUUAUUUCAACAACCACCAAAUUAUCUAAAACUCCGAGUGUUUGGGUGCUUGUGUUUUCCAUGGCUUCGCCCGUAUACGAGUCAUAAAUUGGAGAGCCGCUCCCUGCCGUGUGCGUUUCUAGGCUACUCCAUCACUCAAAGCGCUUACUUGUGUCUUGAUCAACGAACUGGCUGCAUCUACACCUCUCGCCAUGUAAGGUUUAUGGAAGAUCAAUUUCCGUUCUCGUCAGCCACCAAUCAAAUAGCCUCCUCGUCCGAACCAGAAAAUCUUUCACCACAAAGUCACUCACCUCCAACAUACAUUACACUCCCUCAUCCGCCACUCGUAAUAGCCCCUUCGCCCCCGAGCACGGAUCCUCACCCUCCGCCACCGCCACCUGCUCCGGUCCCAGCGCCGGACUUCACUCUUGAGUCACCAAGGCAAGAAUCAUCUUCGUCUUUGUCACUCUCGGGUGAAGCUGCAGGUUCAGGUAAUGUAAAUUUGGGCUCAGGAAUUAAUUCAACAAAUACUCAUGGUAUUUCGCAGGCCCAAACGGACUCAGAGGCCCAACAGUCACCAAACCAUUCACACAGCCCAACCCGAUCCAACAACUCUUCCUCCUCAAAUCCAGCAGCUUCAUCAUCGUCAUCUUCCUCCGAAAACCUGCAACCACACCCAAAUUCACCGCAACCUGCAUUCACAAAUCAACACCCAAUGAGAACCCGAGCCAAGAAUCAUAUCACAAAGCCAAAACAAAAGCUCUCUCUCACAGCCACCAAAAUCCCGACCAAACCUUAUAUCCCUAAUACCGUGAAUCAGGCCUUGCGAGAUCAGAAGUGGCGUGAUGCGAUGAGUGAAGAGAUGAAUGCACAAAUUCGCAACAAUACAUUCGAAUUGGUGCCACCAAGUCCACACCAGAAUGUCAUAUCCACAAAAUGGAUUUUUACUCUAAAGUAUCUUUCUUCUGGUGUCCUUGACAGGUAUAAAGCUCGGUUGGUGGCGCGAGGCUUCAAUCAACAAUAUGGGAUCGACUAUGCAGAAACAUUUAGUCCUGUUGUGAAAUCGCUCACAAUUCGCCUAGUGCUACAACUUGCAGUCUCUCGUUCGUGGGAUAUCAAGCAAUUGGACAUAAACAAUGCAUUCCUUCAAGGAACUCUCACUGAUGAAGUCUAUGUUUCUCAACCACCCGGGUUCAUUGACAAAGACCGUCCACAUUAUGUAUGCAAGCUGAAGAAAGCUCUUUACGGAUUGAAACAAGCUCCGCGCGCGUGGUAUCAAGAACUCAAGACUUUUCUUUGUACCACGGGAUUCUCUAAUUCACUUGCUGAUACUUCGGUGUUUAUUUAUAUCCAAGGAGCUGACAUUGUCUACAUUUUGGUAUACGUUGACGAUAUUAUCGUCACGGGUUCAAGACAAAGUCUCAUCUCUCAAUUCAUCACCAACUUGGCCAACCGGUUUUCGUUGAAGGAUCCAAAGAAUUUGUCUUAUUUCUUGGGUAUUGAAGCUACUCGAACAACACAUGGCCUACAUUUAAUGCAGCGGAGGUAUGUCUUUGAUUUGCUGGUCAAAAUGAAUAUGAUUGAUGCCAAUCCUGUUUCUACUCCAAUGGCGCCAACUCCAUCAUUGACUCUAAUGUCGGGAACAUUACUUGAUGAUCCCAAAGAGUAUCGAACAGUGGUAGGCAGCCUUCAAUAUUUGGCUUUCACACGGCCUGAUAUAGCGUACGUUGUCAAUCGCUUGUCGCAGUUCAUGCAUCGCCCCACUGAUUUACAUUGGAACGCGGUAAAACGGGUAUUAAGAUAUCUCGCUGGAACAACGUCUCAUGGGAUUUAUCUGAAUGCUGCUUCACCACUUACUCUUCAUGCGUUCUCGGAUGCGGAUUGGGCACGAAAUACCGAUGAUUUCGUCUCCACCAAUGCUUACAUCCUCUAUCUCGGAAAAUCACCAAUCGCGUGGUCGUCAAAGAAACAAAAGGGUGUAGCUCGCUCCUCUACCGAGGCUGAAUAUCGCGCCGUCGCUAAUACUGCUUCCGAGAUCAUAUGGGUCUGCUCUCUUUUAUCCGAGCUUGGUGUCAUCCUAUCAUCUGUUCCAAUCAUCUAUUGCGAUAAUAUUGGCGCCACAUAUCUCAGCGCAAACCCGGUCUUUCACUCAAGAAUGAAGCACUUGGCGUUGGACUAUCACUUCAUCAGAGAUAAUGUUCAAUCCGGAGCUUUACGGGUAGCUCAUGUCUCUACCAAGGACCAGUUAGCGGACGCUCUUACGAAGCCGUUAGCACGAUCUCGAUUCCAUGAACUAUUUGACAAGAUUGGAGUGACUAAACCCCCUCCAUCUUGCGGGGGCGUGUAGAAUGUGAAUAUGUAAAGGGUAGAUUAGUCUUUGUUUAAUCCCUAAUUAGCUUAUGAUUCUCCUUAUAUAUAUUGUAACAUGUAAAUCUAAAUCAAUAAGACAUUCUCAAACCUAUAAUACCAUCCUAUCCUUUUAUUACCUUGUUUUCCUUUACAAUCGUGUAGAAGCGAGCUUCUUGGCAAAGAGUUUUGUGCUUAAUUUUGUGGAAUCUUCUGAACAUUGGCCUUUAAAAAGAGAGACAUUUCUGCUGCGUUGGCAAAGAGUGGGCUUCUUGGCAAAGAGUGGGUUUUGUGUAGAACAACGAAUUUUGCCACGGAAUGUUUUGGUUGUCAAAGUAGUAGAAUCAGUUUAAUAAGUUAAUAUCCUGCCCUUAGUCAUAUGCAUUAAGUUAACUAAACUUAAUAAGAUGUAUGGCUUAGAAAUAAGAUGUUUUUGUCUAUUUUUGGAGUUGCUUAGUGUGUAGAAAAAUAUCACUCUUCAUUGGAUUAAAAAUAUACAAUUUUGUAUUUUAUAAAUCAAAUCUGUGUAUUUAGUUAUAACCUAAAUGUUGUGUUUCUCUUUCUAGUCUCUUAAGAAAGCAAGUCUAUUUUUUUUCUUAAAAACAAAGUUUGUAUAAUUUCUUGGGAUUCCCAUGACCAUAUGUUCUUUGAAUACCCGAAUUCUCAAAGGCAGUUUGGUUGUCCCUCGCAUCUCAUGUUUUCCAUAGCCCUCCUCUGCACUUGCUGAAGAAGUUAAAUGGUUUAGUUUUGGAAGCAGAAUCAUCAUAACACAAGACAUGCAAUUGCUUAUUUCAUCAGUAGUGACGAGUGUCUACGAAGUUGAGCUCUUGAGAUGUUACGAAGUUCGACAGCUCUUUAGGUCAGAUGCCUUCAAACAUAGAGAUGAAUGAUGAUCAUGUAUGUUUCGAGCAGUCUACAUAUCGAGCCUUGAAUCUUUUAGGUCAUGUUUAUUUGACUUUGAGAAAUAUAUUCACUUUGUUGUGUGAAAGAGGUCAACUUUAAGAAAGAAUAAAUGCAAUAGUAUAUAGUCUUUAGAUUCAUUUGAUUUAUUUAGGUCUAAUCAGUUGUUUAGAUUCAGGAAUAUUAACUUGAUGUGUUUGUUUGUUCCUUAGUUUUUAAGAAUCUUAGCAUCUCCAAUGGUGUAUCUUAGGUGAUUCUUAGCAAAAAAUCUUAGAUUAAAAUACUUGAAAAUAAAACAAAACUCUGUAAAUUGCUAAGAAGUGCUAAGAAGUAUAUCUAAGCUAAGAUUUUUUUGGUGUGUUAAGAAGUGAUGACGUGUCGAGUGGUGGUUUGUCUGAGAAAUGAACAAAAUGAAAAAAAACAAAAUCCCGUGUUUUUGUUUCUUCUCUGACUCCGUCGACUCUCUCUCUAUGUCUCUCUAUUCUUCGACUCCUCCGACAGCGAAAUCUCUCCGAUGCUUUUGAUCCGCCUCAGAUCUCUCGCUCUUUCGUCUUCUUCUUCUUUCCGAUUUGCACAUCGUCCUCUGUCAUCGAUUUCACCGAUAAAGUUACCGAAUUUUCGUGCUUUCUUUGGUACCGCAAUGACAGAUACUAAAGAUGCUGGUAAGGAUGCUGUUCAGAGACGUCUCAUGUUUGAAGACGAGUAAGUCUUUUCUUUGAUUUCUUAUUCUCUCUACUUUGAUUUCAAUUUUUGGGUGUUGCCAAAAUUUUACAUUUUUCUUUUAAGUCGUAUUCACGAACCUGGUUUGUCUUCAUCGUUGGGUCACUGGGAAAAUGGAAAGAAAAUUGACCAAGUUAGGUAACUGGAUUUGGAGUUUUUUCGAUUAACAAUGAUUUAGGAACUUGGGUCUGUUGAUUUGUCGACUUUGAUGUAAUAAAAAAUGAGUUUUGGAUUUAGUACUUGUUAGGGCCAUCUUUUAUGGUAUCUUCUGUGAAAGGUGUCAUUGUUUUUAGGAGGAACAUAGUCAUGUUUAGCUAUGUUCACAGGUUUUUGGCCAACAAUAGAUUCUUCGGAUAUAUAUUUUUGUAUCUCUCCUUUUAGACAAUUUUCUGAUCAUAAUGAUUGAUUUUUUUGCUAUGAUGGAAGUGUUUCCUCUAAGAUUUUUAGGUUUCUUGAUGCAUAGUACAAGAAUCUAUACGAUCUCUCCACCUUAAUUUAGUGAUUUGAUUCUUCGUUUUCAAUCUUGCUUGCAGAUGCAUUCUUGUUUAUCGUUCUCCUAUGACUGAAGUCAUUGAACUUAGCUACAGUUGGGGGAUCAAGAAUUGAUAUAGCGUGGGUGAUUUGAUUUAAUGUUGAUCUAGCUAGCACCUUUGAGUGUCCAUGAAAUGUCUUAGGUCUCUCCGUGAAUGUGAACAUACUAAAAUGAUAGGAGGGCUGUUUAAUCUCUGUCUAUUCCCUUGUUCAAGAUACUGAUACCUUUUCAAAUUUGCAGGUCAUCUGAUGGCUGUUCUCCUCUGUUUCUCUCUGUGACAUCUUCCCCUCUGUUUCAAUGAUGAUACUAGCAAUUCUUUAAAUUCUCCUUUGUAAUGUGUUUUACUCAUUGUUACUUGUAUUGUAAGACAAUGUUUUACAACACUUUGAAUUUUUUUUUUCUUAAGAACCCCUUGAUUCUUAACCAUUGGAGUAGUAAUUUGUUAAGAUCUUCUCUAACUUUUCUUAGCUCCAAAACAGUGAAAUUUUAAUUUAAAAUAAGGCUAAGAUUCAAGGUUAAGGUUAAGAAGAAAGAACCUUCUAAGAACAUAUGCAAUGCAAGUCUCUCAACUACAAAAAUAAUAAAAUAACAAAUAAUAAUAUUAAAUUAUAUGAGUCUCUCUAAAGAGAAGAGCGAGUCUCUCAUAGUCUCUCCCAUCCAUACACUAGAAACAAACCAUUAUAAAGAGGAAAACAAUCUCUCAUCACUAAAGAGACCUGCAAGCCAAAAAGAAUAGCUACAAGCAACAUAAGAAUUAAGACGAGAAUCCCUUAGUGACAUUUUGUGCGAUGAGAGAAGCUCAUGUAUUUGAUGUCAGAGUUUCCACAACCAUUCUCCAUUCCAAAAUUAAAUUCAGCAUUGACAAUAUAUGUGAUGACUAAGACCUAAAAGAUGGCCAAGCUUGAGACCAAUUAACCACUCCAACUAGAACCACAUCCUCCACAACAAAGACAACUCUGUUUACUAUGUGGCUAACCAUACUCUCCACCGCCCAGACAAUGCUAAGAAAAUGUGUUUCCAAUUUAGUGGAGUUGUAACUGUUAUGCAUCAGAAGAUAAGAGGUAAAACUCCACUAGAAUCUUCGAAAGGAAAACCUUAAUUUUUGGUUCAGUCUUGAGCUUCCAAACUUUAUGUUUUAACUCGUUGGUUGAAGGUUGCACAUUGCUUCAUAGAUCACACCACUCUUAUAAAGCUGAGUAGCCAACCAAUAACCCGAUUUCACGUAGAAAUCUCCACAUUUAAUUUGUUGUUUUUCAAGACUACAAAAUCAUCCAUUGACACCACUAGUUUGUUGCGAUCUUAUAAAGCUGAGUAGCCAAACCAAUAACCCGAUUUAAUUUAGAAAACGUACGUGAGUCAAGCCGAAUAAACUAGAUGCAACCUAUUCGUUUUAAACUUGUAAUUGUUUUUUAAAUUAUCCAUAUCAAUCGUCUUUCUCGUCGACAGUUGACUCAGUUGUAACCAUUCGUUUGAUCGAUAAUCAAACAAACAGUUGAAUCUUCAACCAAUCAAAACCACUAAAUGCCAAAACACCAGAAAAGUAAGAGGAUGGUUUUUGUUCGUUAAUAUUUUAUCCAUGCUCAUUUUCUUAUUUUGGCGGCCCAUCUUUUCUCUACCCUCUUUCGGAGUAGCUUAGUGAAACAGAAGCUGACAGAAAAAUAGAAAAUGCCAGGAAAUGCACACUUAGCAGCAUAAAGACUCUUUAUAGUCAACUCCUCUAGUGGUAGUGGCUAUAUAUAUCCUUGAGAGUUAUUCAUAGAAGAAUCAGAAAUCAAAAUGUCUUGUGCUACUGCGACUAAGUACGAUGUUUUUCUGACUUUCAGAGGACUUGACACUCGCCGCAACUUCAUCAGCUUUCUCUACCAAGAACUGGUUCGAAGGAAGAUUCGAACCUUCAAAGACGACAAAGAGCUGAAGAAUGGCCAGAGGAUUUCGCCGGAGCUCAAACGCGCCAUCGAAGAGUCGAGAUUCGCCGUCGUUGUUGUCUCCCAGAACUACGCUGCGUCUCGUUGGUGUCUCAAAGAGCUCGUGAAGAUCAUGGAUUUCGAAAACAAGGAUUCGAUCACCGUGAUACCCAUCUUCUACGGCGUGGAACCGGCCGGUCAUGUGAGAUGGCAGACCGGAGUUGUCGCUGAACAUUUUAAGAAGCAUGAGAGUAGAGAAAAGCAUGAGAAAGUGCUUCAAUGGAAGCAAGCGUUGGCCGCUUUUGCGCAACUAUCCGGCGAUUGUUCAGGGUAACUUGCUGAUAAAGAUUGAAUUUUUUUUAUUGUUAAGACUUAUUUGAAUCGAUGCUAAACUUUCCUUUUUUUUUUGUCUCUGUAGGGAUGAUGACUCGAAGCUGGUCGCUCACGAGAUAUCAAAAAAGAUGAAGAUUUUUGCAACAAUAAGCAAUGGGAGGAACCUAGUUGGGAUUGAUACACACAUGAAGGAACUUAACAAAAAAUUGGAUUUGAAUUCCAACAAAGGUGUGAGAAUGGUUGGGAUUUGGGCAAGAGGAGGCGAAGGUAGAUCGGCUCUAGCUAAAUAUGUUUAUCAGGACAUGUGUCAACAGUUUGAGAGCCAUUGUUUUCUGGGAAACGUGAAAACGGUUUCUCAGGGUCGACACUCAGCGCAUCUACACCACGAGUUUCUGCAAAAUAUUCAAAGAGAAAACCCUAGCAAACAAACUCUCAAGAACCAAAAGGUUCUGCUUGUGGCAGACGACGUCGAUAAGCUUGAACAGUUAGAAGCUCUUGCAGGGGAUUUCAGCAGUUUUGGUCCGGGGAGUGUUGUUAUCAUCACCACACAAGACAAGCAGUUGUUGACUUCUUAUGGUAUAAAGGAUGUCUACGAAGUAGAGUAUUUGACAUUCCAGAAAGUUUGUCAACUCUUCCGACGACAAUUCGCCUUUAAAAAGAGAGACUUUUUUGCUGCGUUCCAGUGGGCUUUGUGUAGAGCAACGAAUUUUGCCACGGAAUGUUUUUUUAGUACAUCUGGUUAUGGGAAAGUGACAGAUCAAAUUUAAUAAGUUAAAUCCUUCUUAGUCAUAUGCAUUAAGUUAAUAAGCUGUGUGGCUUAGAGAUAAGAUUGUUUUGUUUCUUUUUGGAGUGGGUUGCUUGGGGUGUAGGAGAAUAUCAUUCUUCAUUGGAUUCAAUAAUAUACAAUUUUUUUAUAAAAAAAUUCAAAUCUGUGUAUUAUAGUUAUAAAUGUAAAAUAUACUUUAGAGAUAAAUGUAAAUAUUCCAUACUAAUAUAUGAUAAUCUUCUAGAUCCUUCUUGAUCUUCAUGAUUUCCUUAUUCUUGGGCUUCUCAUCUCGACCGUCGAUUUCGGUUGAUCUCCGGUUCAACCAAUACCCCCCGGCAAGCUCAUACGUGGUAACACGUGUGAGAUUGGACAAAUCUUAAAAAUAGCGGCUUUAUACCCGGCCAUCGGGUCAUCAUCGACGUUUAUACCCGGUCGUAGGGUCAAAGCGGCUACAAAACCCAGCCGUUAGGUCAUUGACGUUUAUACCUGGUCGUGGGGUCAUCAACGGCGUGUAUACCCGGCCGUAGGGUCAAAGUUGUGGUCACCAUCAUGUUCGUAGUUAAUGGAGAACCACAUGGAAAAAUACAUCACCAUCGUAGUUAUGUAUCUCCAUCGGUUUUAAAUCACAAGUCUUGGUCGCUCUUCGAACCUUUUGUUCAUAAAGAAACUUGUGUUAUAUUCAAAUUCAUCACCACCGGAUCAGCAUCGUAUCUAUUGGAGUCCUAGUCAUCAACUCCACAGCAUCGUUGGAGUAGUUUCAUCACCAUCACCAUAAGCAAUCAUCGGAGGUGUUCAUCAAUACGGCAUCACCAUAUAUAAUCACGUGACUUAAGAUAUCUUUUUCUCCAAGGUACUAGCAAGUAUGCUAGUCAAUAGAAAAAAAAAAAAAAAAACAUCAAUCGUGACCAAUAACUUGACCAAACCAACAACGUAUACAAUAUCACGUCGUCUCCAUUCUUCUUCUUUUUUUUUUUCUCGAUACACCAAAAGUAAACAGAAAUUGAAAUCAAAGGAGCAUGUUUGAUUUUCCAAAGAUGAAAAGUAGUAAAUCAAAGAGACGAAUCUCGAAUCAACAUUUUUUUUUUUUUUUUCAUAGUUGCGGAAGCAAAGAAAACCUUAACCCAUAUAAAUAGGAUCAAGGCUCUGAUACCAUGAUAAAUUGAUGAGAGUAAGAAUACAAAAAGUGUUUAGAAAGAAUUAUAAUUAGACUCUCAUAAGAUUCAUGUUCUAAAAUACAUCGAUAUAUAUAGAGAAAGACUAAACUUAAUUUCCUAAAUUAAAAUAAAGAUAAAUGUAAAAUAUACUUUAGAGAUAAAUGUAAAUAUUCCAAACUAAUAUAUGAUAAUCUUUGAUGUGUUGCGUUUUUAACGGUUUCGAGUCUUGGUUUAGUUCAUGUUUUGAGUCAUCUAUCGUGUCAAAGUCCGUCUUUUGCGCCUUUUCGGUUGUGUCUUGAGUCCUUUGCAGGCUAUAGGUGCUCGAGCUGGAUUCGGAGCAUCUUGUGCAUGAUUGAGCCUAUUCGGAGCUAAAACAAUGGAGAAACGGUACAAGAGAUCACCAGGAGCUGGGGAUCGAUCGAUCCAAGGCGUGGAUCGAUCGAUCCCAAUUGUGACGAUGAAGCCAAAAGUUCCAGUCGCUCGAGAUCGAUCGAUCCCAGGAGGGGAUCGAUCGAUCCAACCUCAUUCGUCCAAGACCAAUUGAUUCAGCAUUUCUGGAUCGAUCGAUCCACCCAUGGGAUCGAUCGAUCCAACCUCAUCCGUCCAAGACCAAUUGAUUCAGCAUAUCUGGAUCGAUCGAUCCACCCAUGAGAUCGAUCGAUCCGAGCCUCGACGCCCCGAGACGGUUUUCCUAAACCGGGUUUUGUCUUUCUUUUUUGUACUUGGAUAUAAAAACCGCAGAAACCUAAUUUUCUUUUUACGUUCUUUUCUCUGCAACUUUUGAGACUUCUCUUUGUAAGCUUUUUGGGAUUCUAGAGAUUCAUCCUCUUUGACACUUUGGAGAAGAUUUCUAAACCCUUAUUUCUUAUUUAUCAAUUCAAUUAUGCUUUCUUUUCAAUCUAUUUCUCUUGUUUCUGUUGUUAUGUGUGAGUAGUUUUUUAAUUGGGAUUUAGGGUUCUAAUUAGGAGAUUCAAUGGAUUAAUGGAUUGAUUGUUAUUAGGAAUUUCAUUCUUUAGGUUCUUUGAUUCACAUGUUCUUAAUGCUAGAAUAGGAUUGAUCACCCUGUUGUAGAACCUAGGUUUUUCUAUGCAUCAAAAGUAUUCGAUAGAAUGCCUGAAAGAAUGUGAAUUGAGCAAUGUAUUUCUAGCCAACGAAAGUUGACGUUAGGACGCAUUGUGAACUUAAUGAACUUGUUUGGUAAUGCGAAUUUGACUAGGAAAUUGCAUGCGAAAGUUUAGUAAUCGAAUAGUCAAAUUUAGUGAUUAAUGUCUUGAAAGGGAAUUGGUCUAAAUGUGUUCAUGUUCAAGAACGGGUCGUAAUUGUUGAAUUCCUUGUCUCAUGUUUCCAUUGUUCGUUGAUCUCUGAAAUACCCUAACGCCCAAUGUCUUUAAAUCUUGAAGUUAAAUCGUUUAAUUAAUUUGCAUUUUUAUUUUACAAACUGAAAACCCGAACAAGCAAUCUUUUUAGUUUUAGCUAAGAACAAGUCUCGGAAAUCCUUAGAGUAUCUUUGGUCCUUGUGGAUCGACCUCGAAUAUACUGCUUAACGGUUAAGUGUAUUGAGUAAUUACUCGAGCAAUCAAGUUGGCGCCGUUGCCGGGGACCAAUUGCGUUACCUAAGGAUUUAGGAUUAGCUUUUAGUCUAAAGCAUUUUUUAUUUUCUGCUACUAAUUUUCGUUUUCGUUUUCUCUUUGGUGUUUUCAGGUGUAUGACCCGCAGCCAAGGCUCGUCACAUCUAGCGGAUUACCAAGAGGAUAUCGGAAAAUUUGAAAGAGCGAAUAAGAAAAAGAAGAAGAUAGCCGAGCAGAGAGAAGCUGAAAUGGCUGAAUUUGAUGCUGCAGGAAAUCUUCAGAAUAGGGAUGAACUUCCACUUGGAGGUGAUCAUCAAGGAGUGUUUCAGGAUCCUCCACCGCCUAGAAACAAUAAUGCUCCUGCUGCUGGUGAACGUGAUGCUGCUGCUAAUGCCGCCCGUGUAGCUGUAGCAAAUGCUAGGCCCGUGCCUGCUCGACAGACUUUGAGAGAUCAUGAUGCUCCUAAUGUUGUGCAUUUUCGAGACAGGAACCAACAGCUGCCAAUCAAUAGGAAUGAUUUUGAGAUCAAGACAGGGUUGCUAUCUUUGGUGAAGCAGAAUCAGUUCCAUGGUCUCACCUCAGAGAAUCCAGUCUACCACUUGGAUAACUUCGAGGAUAUAUGCAGUACAACAAGAAUGAAUGGAGUACCUGAUGAUAUCAUCAAAUGCAGACUUUUCACCUUCUCCUUGGCUGACAAAGCCCAUCGCUGGUUGAAGUCUUUGGACACUGAGAAUUUAAGAAGCUGGGAAGACUACAAGGCUGCAUUUCUGUCACAGUAUUUUACACAGUCUAGGACAGCCAUUCUGAGGAACAAGAUCUCUUCUUUUCAGCAGCAUGGUACAGAAUCGUUCCAUGAUGCUUGGGAGCGGUUCAAAGACUACUACAGAGAAUGCCCUCAUCACGGGUUUCCAUAUGCCACUUUGAUCAAUACUUUCUACAGGGGAGUCGAUAAGGACUACAAGAUGGCUUUGGAUACUGCUAGUAAUGGGGAUUUCAUGACCAAGACUGAGGAUGAAGCUACAGAGCUUAUUGAGAAUUUGGCAACCAGCAACAGUAACCACAAUGUUGACUAUGACAGGUCGAACAAAGGUGGAGGAGGAGAGUCGAAACAGAUUGCUGAGUUGACAGCUAAGGUAGAGCAACUCCUCAAGAGAGAUCAGCGGGUUGUUAAUUUCUGUGACGAUAGUGGUGAAGCUCAGGUGUAUCAAGAGUUCGUCGGGGACGGUUCAGAGGAUGUUCAGGCUGAGUUAAACUACAUCAACGGUCAGGGCAAUUACCAGAACAGGGGAUUCAAUCAGAACUACAGGAACCACCCUAACCUUUCCUACAGGAGUACCAAUGUAGAGAAUCCGCAGGAUCAGGUAUACCCAGCGCAGACGGGAUCACAAGGUCAGCAAUUUCAGUCCAAGCCUUUUGUACCUGGACAGGGAAAUUUCAACAAUAAGGUGUUUGUACCUAAGCCACAGAUGCAGGGCAAUGGGUACAAUCAGGGAGGUUUCCAGCAGAAAUCUCAGUUUAACAACUUCCAGGGAAGUUACCAAGCACCUACAGGUAAUAAUUCUGCAUCUUCUUCAGGAGACAAUGAGAUGAAGCUCAUGAUGCAGCAAAUUCUUGAGGGACAGAAAAAGAACGCUGCAGAUAUUAAUGUCAAGGUUGAUAGCAUGUACAGUGAUCUUCAUGGGAAAUUCGAGUCACUAGCUUCACAUGUUAAGACACUUGAGAAUCAAGUAGCUCAAACAGCUUCUGCAUCUACAAGACCAAUGGGGGUUCUUCCUGGAAAGCCGAUCACGAACCCGAAAGACUACAACAAUGGUAAGGAGUAUGUUAAUGCUAUCUCACUGAGGAGUGGCAAAGAGCUCAACCCAAUCCUGAAGAAGGAAAAGGCUAAGGCCAUUUCUGAUGACUCGGGAAAGGAUGAUGUUGAGAAGAAGUCGGAUGAUGAGCCAUUGGUUGAGAAAGUUGAAGCUGAGAAAACAGUCCCUGAGAAGGAGCAGGUUGAGAAAGUUGUACCACCACCUUAUGUGCCUAAGCUACCAUUUCCGGGCCGCUUGAGGAAGAUUCAGAGAGAAAAAGAGUAUGCUCAGUGUGAUGAGAUCAUGAAACAACUUCACGUUAGACUUCCAUUUCUCGAGUUAGUCCAGAAUGCCCCGGUCUACAGGAAACAUCUGAAGGACAUUUUGACUAACAAGAGGACUCUUGAAGAAGGAGCUGUAUUAAUAAGUCAUGAGUGUAGUGCCAUUCUCCAGAACAUUGUACCUGUGAAGAGAGAGGAUCCAGGUAGUUUUGUGUUGCCUGGUACGAUUAGAGAAUUUUCUUUCGGUAGAUGUCUCUGCGAUUUGGGAGCAGGAGUGAGCUUGAUGCCUCUUUCAGUCUCUAAGAAGCUUGGUAUCACCAAAUUCACUCCAACGAAGAUGUCGUUGAUACUUGCGGAUCGUUCUGUUCGAUUUCCUGUUGGAGUAGCUGAGGAUGUGUACAUUCGCGUUGGGAACUUCCAUAUCCCGACCGACUUUGUCAUCAUUGAGCUUGACGAUGAGCCAAGAGAUCCGCUCAUUCUUGGUAGACCAUUCCUGAAUACUGCAGGUGCAUUGAUAGAUGUGAGGAGAAGUAAGAUCAAGCUGCAAAUUGGUGAUAUUGUUCAGGAGUUUAACAUGGAGAGAGUGAUGUCUAAACCCACCAUUGAGGGUCAGACAUUUUGGGUAGACAUCAUGGAUGAGCUAGCUGAUGAGCUCUUAGAAGAGUUGAACACCGAGGAUCCUCUUCAGAUUGCCUUGAUUACGGAAGAGAGUGAGUUUGGGUACCUUGGAGAGGCAACUACUGGGUUUGCUAGGAUGCUGGAUUCUAGUUCACCAAUGACAAAAGUGGUAGCAGUCGCUGAGUUUACAGAGAAUGAGGUAGAGAGAGCUAUGGUUGUUUCUACUACAGAGGACUGCGAUGUUUGGAGCGAGCUGAAAGCUCCAAAAAUUGAACUCAAACCACUUCCUGCCGGGCUAAGGUACGCGUUUCUUGGUCCUAACUCCACAUACCCUGUGAUAAUUAAUGCUGAGCUGAACAAUGUGGAGAGCGCCCUGUUGUUAUGUGAGUUGAGAAAGUACAGAAAAGCCUUGGGCUACUCUCUUGAUGAUAUCACAGGCAUCUCUCCAACUUUAUGUAUGCACAGGAUAUAUCUAGAGGAUGAAUCAAUGACUUCUGUAGAACAUCAGAGACGGUUAAACCCGAAUCUUCGAGAUGUUGUAAAGAAAGAGAUAAUGAAACUUCUAGAUGCGGGUAUCAUCUAUCCUAUCUCUGAUAGUACUUGGGUGAGCCCGGUCCAUGUUGUGCCUAAGAAGGGUGGUGUCACUAUGAUUAAAAACGAAAAGAAUGAAUUAAUCCCAACAAGAACUGUCACAGGACACCGAAUGUGCAUUGAUUACCGAAAACUUAACUCUGCCACCCGUAAGGACCAUUUCCCACUACCCUUCAUUGACCAAAUGCUUGAAAGACUGUCAAACCAUCCUUAUUACUGCUUUCUUGACGGGUACUCGGGAUUCUUUCAAAUCCCGAUUCAUCCCGAUGAUCAAGAGAAAACCACCUUUACUUGUCCCUAUGGUACAUUUGCUUAUCGUAGGAUGCCCUUUGGUUUAUGUAAUGCCCCUGCCACGUUUCAACGUUGCAUGAUGUCUAUCUUUAGUGAUAUGAUUGAGGAUUUUAUGGAGGUUUUUAUGGAUGAUUUUUCUGUGCAUGGCACGUCUUUCGCUACUUGUUUGUCUAACUUGUGCAGGGUACUUCAGCGCUGCGAGGACAAACACUUGGUUUUAAACUGGGAGAAAUGUCACUUUAUGGUGAGGGAUGGCAUUGUACUUGGGCACAAGAUUUCGGAGAAGGGUAUUGAGGUUGACAAAGCCAAGAUUGAGGUGAUGAUGAGUAUGCAGCCGCCGAAUUCUGUGAAAGGAAUCAGGAGUUUUCUGGGACAUGCUGGUUUCUACAGGCGGUUCAUCAAGGACUUCUCCAAGAUUGCUAGACCGCUCACACAGUUACUCUGCAAGGAACAGAAGUUUGAGUUUGAUGAGAGUUGUUUGCAGGCAUUCACGUUAAUCAAGAACUCUUUGGUGAGUGCUCCUAUUGUUCAGCCACCUGAUUGGGAGCUACCUUUUGAGGUAAUGUGUGAUGCCAGUGACUACGCUGUGGGUGCUGUUCUGGGACAGCGGAAAGAUAAGAAGUUGCAUGUUAUCUACUAUGCUAGUCGCACUCUUGAUGGAGCACAGGUGAAUUAUGCAACAACAGAAAAAGAACUCCUCGCGAUCGUGUUUACUUUUGAGAAGUUUAGAUCCUAUCUGGUUGGGUCUAAGGUUAUUGUUCACACGGAUCAUGCUGCAUUGAGAUACCUGCUGUCUAAGAAAGAUGCCAAGCCGAGACUAUUGAGAUGGAUACUUCUGUUGCAGGAGUUUGACUUGGAGAUUAAAGACAAGAAAGGUAUUGAGAAUGGUGUUGUGGAUAACUUGUCUAGAUUGAGAGUUGAGGAAGAUAUUCCAAUGAGAGACGCUCUUCCAGGUGAAGAGCUUGCUUUAAUCGCAGACCGCUACAUUAGUGAGAUGGAGAGAGCACGCGUCAACGCUCUUGAGCUUAUGACGUUACACACUGGGGAAGGCAAUUUGCCUUGGUAUGCUGAUUUCGCUAAUUACUUGUCUUGCGAUGUUCCACCUCCCGAUUUUACAGGUUACGCUAAAAAGAAGUUCUUGAAAGACGUGCAGCGUUAUUACUGGGAUGAGCCUUACUUGUAUAAGAAGUGUGCUGAUAAUCUUUUCAGAAGAUGCAUUCCCGAGAGUGAAGUUGCUGGUAUCCUCCAUAGUUGCCACGCUUCAGAUUAUGCAGGCCACUUUGCUUCUUUCAAGACUGCUACAAAGGUUCUCCAAGCUGGUUUUUGGUGGCCUAGCCUGUUCAAAGAUGCUCAUGAGUUUGUUGCGAGAUGUGAUGCUUGCCAGCGCAAGGGGAGUAUAAGCAAGAGGAAUGAGAUGCCUCAGAAUUUCAUUCUCGAAGUUGAAGUGUUCGAUGUGUGGGGAAUUGACUUCAUGGGUCCUUUCCCAUCCUCUUAUGGGAAUGAAUACAUCUUGGUAGCUGUGGACUACGUUUCUAAGUGGGUUGAGGCUAUAGCGAGUCCGAAGAAUGAUGCUGCGGUGGUCCUCAAGAUGUUUAAGAAGAUCAUAUUUCCGAGAUUCGGAGUCCCGAGAGUGGUGAUUAGCGAUGGUGGAAAGCACUUCAUCAAUAAAGUUUUUGCGAACUUGUUGGCGAAGCACGGUGUUAAGCACAAGGUAGCCACACCAUAUCAUCCUCAAACAUGUGGCCAAGUUGAGCUUUCUAACCGAGAGAUUAAGGGAAUCUUGGAGAAGACUGUAGGUAAGUCUAGAAAGGAUUGGGCUGCGAGGCUAGAUGAUGCUCUUUGGGCAUACAGAACCGCCUACAAGACUCCAAUUGGAACCACACCGUUCAACCUAAUCUACGGGAAGUCUUGCCAUCUACCGGUUGAGCUAGAGUAUAAAGCACUAUGGGCUACAAAGUUGAUGAACUUCGACAUCAAGCCAGCUGCGGAACGGCGUUUGGUUCAACUCAAUGAGUUAGACGAGAUCCGUUUGAAUGCUUACGAGAGUUCCCGGAUCUACAAAGAGAGAACCAAAGCAAUACAUGACAAGAAGAUCAUCUUGAAGCAGUUCACGGAAGGUGAUAAGGUACUCCUUUUCAACUCUAGGCUUAAGCUCUUCCCUGGAAAACUCCGAUCAAGGUGGUCGGGUCCUUUCGUUAUAAAGGAGAUGAGAUCAAAUGGUUCAGCGAUACUUUUGGAUAAUGAUGGGAAACCGUUUUCCACAAACAGUCAAAGGAUGAAGCCUUAUCUCGCGAACUCAAUUCCUGAAGAGAGCACUACGGUCUCUCUCACGGACCCAGCUCAAGCGUAAGAACUCAUUGAGGUCAAGCUAACGACCUUAAGCAAGCGCUUCGUGGGAGGCAACCCACUAGGUAUUGUACAUACUUUGUUUUCAAUUUUUCAUUUUCGUUCUUCUUUUCGUUUUGACUUGAUUCACUCCGCUGUGGAGAUCGGACUUAUCGAUCCAGCUGUUGCAUCGAUACAGUCUCGGUAUUUGAUGUUGCUUGUGAGUUUGACUUUGAGUGCAGGACCUCCACGUUGCAUAACCAGGAUUCCAGAAGAUGUAGAUCGAUCGAUCCCAGAAGUGGAUCGAUCGAUCCAGAUGUUGGACGUCGCCUGCACAAAGUCACCAGAGGCUGGGGAUCGAUCGAUCCCACCACCAGAUCGAUCGAUCCCAAGGUAAGGUCGAUAAUUUUUUUUUAAAAUUUGGAUAAACCGGAAUUAAACCGAUCUCGACUUGAAUUGAACCGGUCAUAACCGGAUCGACCUAGCCUAACCACGGGAUCGAGCUCCCCCUUCUCAUUCACGAGCCACACACUUCUUCUUCUUCGUUUUUGAGAGGUUUCAAGAACACAAAAUCCCCAAUUCAUAACUUUCUCAAUUCUUGAUCGAUUUCAACGUUUUUGGUGUCCAUUCCACUCGGUUUUUCGCCCUCUUUCUGUUUCUAGUGUUGGUUUCUUCGAUCUGCAAAGGUACGAGCUCGAAAUUCCUCUUUUUGGUUCCGUCUUCAAAGGUGAAGAAUCACUAAUUCCUUGAAUUUCAUGCUGUUUUUGGAUUGUUUGAUGCUAGAUUCUUGUCUAGGAUGGUUUAGGAAACCUUUUUAUGCCUUUAAUUGCUGGAUUAGGGCUUAAAUUGAAGAUUGGAUUUUUCUCUCUUUGAUAAAGACGGCCAUGGUUGAAUUUUGUAGAUAAACGAUUUUAAGAGCUUUAAACUUGAUAGGUUACGAUGCAUUGUUUAGUUCUAGUAACUAAAAUACAAUGAUUAAGCUCUUUGAUUUGUUUUUGAGUGAUUUCUUGAUUUACCUUUGUCUCUUUUGCUAGAUAUGGGACGAACAAACGAGGUUGCAGGAACUUCUAGACCACGCACGGGCACUUCCAAAGCUCCACAGAAAGAAGAUCCGAAUAAGCGUCCUGUUACGGGCGUAUGGGACAAAGAGGACACCAAGUUCAUGGCAAUUUUGAAAAAUGUUCCUGUUUUACCAACACGAGUCGCUUCCAAAAUAACGCUCGAUAUGCUCGGUUUGCUUGAGGAUGUUACGACGGUGUUUCAAACGCUCGGCAUGGGGAGAUUGUGGAGAGUUGAGCAUCGUGUGUACACUAAGCUUGUGACGGAAUUCAUAGCUACUUGUCGCCUCACAUACCAGAACCCGCAGAAACCAACAGCAAGUGAAGGAACACUCACAUUCUUCCUCAACAAACAGCAUUAUAGCAAGACUUUGUUCGAGAUCUGCGACAUGUAUGGGUUCACCAAGGGCGAAUCCGUUACAUUCCCGAAAUUAUCUUCUGAGGUUGCUAAUGACUUCUGGAACAAGAUUGCUGUGGGACCCUACCAGUCGCGUAAGGCGAAAAUUACUCUUAUCCGGAGUCCGGUUGUGCGAUAUGUCGCAAAGAUCAUCAGUAGUGUGUUGUACUUCAAACCCGUGAUCGCAUCAGUGACAGAGACUGAGUUGUCAAUGCUUUUCUAUGGCGUCAAGCAUCUGUUAGAAGACUAUACUGAUUUCCCAGCACCUGACGCUAAUGUAGCUGCAAUUCUGUGUGACGUGUUAGUAAAGAUGAAAACUUUUGUCCCCAAAUCCGCCGCGAAAAACAUCUUAGCUGGUACUACACUCACUCCAUUGUUUCUCGGCUGCAGGUUAGACCUCUCCAAAGUUGCGUAUGACUAUAAACAAGAGUGUAUGGAUAUUCAACAUCUGUACAAUACUACCUACCUCAAAAAGGGUAGGGUGUAUGUAUUCACGGGUAGGGAUGGUUCUUCUUGCUUCUGCAAGCUACCCAACCGGCAUAUCACCUCCCUUGUUUCUCUUGAUAAUUUGGAGUUCGCACUUGAUGAGCAGUAUUUGAUUCCUGAUCCUUCCGGGACCAUACCUAGACGUCGUAGUCACGCACAGGCUCCACCUACAGAUGAGCAUUUUGUCGAAGAGGAUGAGAUUCAGGAGGACUUAGAUGAUCAGGCGCCUCCGUCGCAUGCCCAACCGUACUUGUUGCUUCCAGAGGAUCCAGGACAGUUCCGCCUUUCACCACCACCUGCAAGUAACGACAUCUCCCAGCAGAUGGCAUGGAUGAUAGCAUCGACGAAGAGGAACAACAGCAUGAUGCACAGGAUGUGGAGAGCCAUAUCCAGGAUCAGGCCUUGUGUGUGUACUCGCGGAGAAGGAUCAGAUGAUGGAGACCGAGAGAACCGGUCUAAGGCCACCGAGGAUCGGCAUGCUGAGAGGUUGAUCCCUGCUGCUGGACAGAGUAGAGCUUCGACUUCGCGGCGUUCACAAGAGCAUUCUCCAGACACACGCUUAGGCAGGAGCAGGAGACAGCCAGGGGAGCAGAGCUCUAGCGAGAGCCCCACCCACCACCGUUGAGUACUACAGUAACUCACCCUUUUCCCUUGUUAUAUACCAUUUUUAUUUUCUUGCGUCCGUGUGGCAUCUUUUCUUUGAACUGUUUUCACGCCGAGUCGGUGUGAAGCAAGUCGGGGGGAGGCUGCCACUUGUCUACUAAUCUAGUUUGCAUUUUUGAUGUUUUUCUUUUGAGUCAUCGAGUCUGUUUUAUCGAGUCAAAAUCGUGUCUUUUAUUGAGUCAAAAUGUUGUCUGAGAACUAUGAUCUUUUCUUAGGGAAUUGCACCAUGUUUGAUUUAAUUGCCUUUGGGACCAUUUUAGCACUAUUCGAUAACUUGGAAGUUCAGGAAAAUCCAUCACUUGAUCACUUUAUAGUAGUCCCUAUCUCUUUGAAUUUUGGAUGAAUUGAGCUUAAUCUUAUAUACUUGAACUUAAUCUGGACUUAAUUUAUCUCACUUAGGGGCUUGAGAAUCAUGUAAUGGAUCAUACAUUCAGAGUUUUGUUCGCAUCAUUUUUACCACUCUUUGCUAACUCUGAAUGGCUAGACUCAUUUUUAGUCUAGUACCGCACCUGUUUCCCCACCCAUUGUUUGAAACCUCAUGCAUUCUUAUAUGAUCAUCAUGAUAUGCAUCCAUGUGCGAAAACUACGGAGUAUACGGACCGACAUAGCUUUCCUUUUGUUAGGAUAGUGAGUUGUAGUUUACUGGUUGUCGAUAUGUGAUGAGAUUGAGCCAUUGUGGUUUAGAGGUUAUAUUCAUGGGUAUAUGCUGCUGUUUGCGAUUGUUCUUGAUGCAGAUUUUUGUGAGACACCGGUUCCACUCCCCCGCUUCUAUAUAUAUAAAAAAAAAAAAAAAAAAAAAAAAAAAAAAAAAAAAAAACCGGAAAUGUCGAGUUAUUAUUGGUUAUAUUGAUAAGCAUCAAGGGUACACUUUGAUUUGAUUGGGGGUAGUGUGUUGGUUGAUUUGAUCCGAGCUUAAGGGAAGCUAUGUACCUCCUAGUUGGUCUGUGUCUCACUGUGAUUUCGCAUAAUGUCAUGCAUCCGUUUAUACUGUUCGAGAACCCGAAACACUUUGAGCCACCAUAUAUUAGCCCUUUUUACCAAGCCCAUAGCGUGUUCGAUAUCCCCUUUGUGAGAAUACACGCCACUGCUAAUGAAUGUUAAAAGGUUAAGUUAUCUGACUCUGAAAGUUCUUUUAGAUCUCGGGACUUAAUUUUGUUGCUACGGUUAUGGCGAAGUACAGUCUAGUACGGUUUGAUGAGUUGUGUGAUAGUGGUUUGCAGGCAAUUGAUAGAACAUGAUCCCGAAGAAAAUGUGAGUUCUCGUGUUUUCAAACCUCUUCUCUUGAUAAGGAUUUCUGCUUUCCUUGAGGACAAGCAAAGAUUUAAGUCGGGGGGAGUGAUGUGUUGCGUUUUUAACGGUUUCGAGUCUUGGUUUAGUCCAUGUUUUGAGUCAUCUAUCGUGUCAAAGUCCGUCUUUUGCGCCUUUUCGGUUGUGUCUUGAGUCCUUUGCAGGCUAUAGGUGCUCGAGCUGGAUUCGGAGCAUCUUGUGCAUGAUUGAGCCUAUUCGGAGCUAAAACAAUGGAGAAACGGUACAAGAGAUCACCAGGAGCUGGGGAUCGAUCGAUCCAAGGCGUGGAUCGAUCGAUCCCAAUUGUGACGAUGAAGCCAAAAGUUCCAGUCGCUCGAGAUCGAUCGAUCCAACCUCAUUCGUCCAAGACCAAUUGAUUCAGCAUUUCUGGAUCGAUCGAUCCACCCAUGGGAUCGAUCGAUCCAACCUCAUCCGUCCAAGACCAAUUGAUUCAGCAUAUCUGGAUCGAUCGAUCCACCCAUGGGAUCGAUCGAUCCGAGCCUCGACGCCCCGAGACGGUUUUCCUAAACCGGGUUUUGUCUUUCUUUUUUGUACUUGGGUAUAAAAACCCCAGAAACCUAAUUUUCUUUUUACGUUCUUUUCUCUGCAACUUUUGAGACUUCUCUUUGUAAGCUUUUUGGGAUUCUAGAGAUUCAUCCUCUUUGACACUUUGGAGAAGAUUUCUAAACCCUUAUUUCUUAUUUAUCAAUUCAAUUAUGCUUUCU